rnacentral:lncRNA from 1 species
UACCUAUGUGUAUCUUUGUAAGUGUUAGUUUGGAAGUACUGUACAUACUUCUAUUGGCUUUUAAAUUAAGCAUGGUGCUUAGGUUAAAUAGCCUUCCUUAAUCUAAUUAGACAUGGAGUCUAGUUUGGUUACUGAACUAAAAACUGCUUGAGUAGGCUUUGGUAUAUUUUGUCGGACUAACCCCUGCAGGAAAACUUUCAAUAUCAACCUGGGAAGUCCUGAGAUAUAAACUCAUUGGAGAUAAAGGAGACACAUGAAGUUUAACAAUUUGCACAAGAAGGACAUAGCUCAUUCAUCAUAAAGAGAUGAUCCAUGGAGGAUGCCACAAACACGAUGCACAACCGCUAAGAAAGAAAAGCUUCCACAAGGUGAUACUAUACCAUCACUCUUCAAUUAAGGUAACAUCUUAAGGUACUUGACUAUCGCUUCUAUAAGUUUCUUCUUGGUUCCAGCAUACACAUGAAUAAAAGAGACAAACAUGUAUGAUUUGUAGCUCCAAAUUAACCAACCCAACUAAUUCAAUAUGUUUAGUCCUUUAAUCUUUGUUCUUAGUACUACCUUUGUGAUCCCACACUCCUAAUCAUAUAAGCUAAUAUGUUGCACAUUCAAUCUUUGGAAGAUAUAAACAAAACAUAAAUAUAGAUAGAUUAUCUUUCCAUUAGGUUCAGCCAUCUCACAAAUGCUACACUCAUGAUCCAUCAACUUUGUCUUGCUCACUAUGCUUAAGGUUAGAGAAGAACAAAUACACUUUUGGUUCUGUUGGUGUUUUCCACCAACAGGGCCCAUGCACUUGAUCUCUGCCUUCUCUCUAUGAACAGGUACACUUCAAGGAAAACAUGGAGGAGUUUUACAACUUCCAGACUCCACCAACUGAAGGACUUGGAUCUACGAGCACAAACACACUGCACAGGAUAUUGCCAACACCGCACUUCGAACUGCUGGGCAAACGAAGAACAUGGGUGACACUGUAUCAAGAGGUGCAAACGUCAAGGUCCACACCUAAUCAAAUGAUGCACCUAAAUGAUGAAGACGGUGAGAAGUCUUGUAGACUUAAAACAUUGGAUCCUUGUCGGAAGAGAUCAAGAUCGUCGACUCAAGUCGCCUUUCCUGAUCAAGAAGGACGACCCUGGUGUUCCAAGCAUCAAGUGCGCAAUCAACGGAUAGUCUUUUCAGAAGACACUCUACGACACAGGAUCUGAUGACAACAUUAUGGCCGCAGUCACUUAUCAACUCCUGCAUGGAACCAUGCCCCUACAACUAAUAUACAUUCAGCUCCAGAUGAUUUUUAGGACAUUGACAUGGGAGAAGACGAGUAUGAUCCACCCACAAUCCUUGGAAGACCGUUCCUCAACACUAUCAAAGUUAUCAUCUAUAUUGGAACCGGAGAAGUCUACAUGCACUUCCCCUCCAAGAAGCUACGCCACUAUUUUACUGACCUUAACUAUAUAGUUGAAGACUCUAAGUAGGUCAGGACAAGAAGAAGACGACGCAACCAGAGGAGGCAAAUCAUCAAGGACGGAUGGGCAGACUACGAAGGAAAAGUGAUAAGGUCUGAAGACAUAUAGCUUGAACAGAACUGUCCUGAGGAGACCGUAGCACCGAGUCAGGUGUGGAGAGAGAAUAUAGUUACACACGAAGAGGAGGCGCCGCCGGAACCACCGACUACGCCAUCCAGCAAAUCCCAGGACGACUGAGAAAACGGAGAGUCCCGUUCAGAGGACUUAAAAAUACCGAACGCCUUGCCAAGAGGUAAACUUGGUAGUUAUCCUUUGCCAUUCAAUAGUUUGCUUAGUUAAUCAGGUUCAUGCUAUCUUGAAAAGAAAAUAAAAAUGUUAAAAAAAUAGUAAGCCCCAUGUGAGUAUGCUCAUGGCAUAAAACCCAUAAGUACAUUCACUGUGGUGGCAUAAAAAUAAAAUAAAUAAGUUUUCAUCUUACAAUAAAAAUAUAAAAAUAAUAAGUGCAUGAUCCUGCUAAAUAAAUAACAUUUAUUGAGGAGGCUCAACAUGAUAAAGGCAAAGAGAUUUUAUGCUAACACUUAACCAGUUCCACAAAGCUUUGUUGUCUAUUUGAGCUCCACAGAAUUCAAGGAUCAAAGAAGACUAACAAACGGAGGACAUCCUAAUCGCUGUCAGGGUGCUGCCGACUUUCAAAUAUACCUCCACCACCUGCUAGCUACAUUAGAAGAAAUUAUGUCAAAAUCCAGCUUGGGGAGAGCACCCCCAUUUUUCCAGCUAAGUGUUUAUACUCGCGUUUAUACUUUACUCAAAUAAUAAAAAGAUGCAUAAUCAUAAAAAACCCAAAUAAAAAUUUUGUGCUUUUAUAUAUAUCUUUGCUUAGUUUGCUAAAUAAAUAAAUAAAUAAAGUUUUCUAUGAACCCUCAUGAUAAACUCUCACAUGGAAAUGACGAAUAGUUGCUCUGCUAUGACUAGUUCUUAAAAUUGAAAUCCCUCUCAAGUUUAGGCAUAACUGUUAUAAUUUAAAGCUUGCUCUAAACCUGAACUUGUGGGAAAAGUACUUGAUCUAAAGUCAAAGUUGUUAACGGAUAUGAUAUGGGAAGGUUUUGCUGUUGUUUAUCUGUUCCUAGAGAUGCUAGAAUUCUGGAGAAUUUUAUCUUUGAAAAAUCUUUAAAAUAUCACAUGAUGAGUUCCUUUAUGAUGAGAGUUUAAAAUCCUACCACAGCCAUAUAUACAUUCUUAUUAGUCUUUGAGCCAAACAUUUACUUUUUACUGCUUAUGAGCAUUGAGUGUGGUCAAGCUGUGUAGACCCUUAGGAGCUUGUCAUGUGGUUAAAAUCAAGAUUCACUUGCAUGUUCACUCGUAUAUGCUGCUUCUACUCCGGAAGUACGCAUCCACAUACAUCCACUCAUUUCCAUCUCCAGAUUCACCCAAAAUUAUUCUACACCUAAUCAGGGAGAGAAUAGCCAAAAACAUUUUCCUAUCCCUGUUAUUUCCUGUGAAAUAAAUGCUCCAGUUAUUUUGGUUACUACCACUUGCUACAUUCUUUCAGGAGAUGAGUGCUCUAAAAAAAAGAGAGAAAAAAAUAUAAUACGAGGAAAUAAAAAGGGGCAAGUGCCUGGAACCUCGAAGAAAAGAAAAAGUGAGACGAGAGGUAAAAAUGGACAAGUGUCCGACAGUAGAAUUAGGGGUACAAGAUACCCACCUGAGAGAAAAAGAAAAAGAAAAUAAAGAGCAUCUCAUUAUCCUCAAAAAGCUUCAAAGUGCAAAAAAGGUAUGUAUCCCCUUAAAAGUGCAAACGUAGAAUUAGACUUUCACCAUUGUUAUCACCAUCAUCACCAUACACCAUUCAUUCGCCACACAUGCACAUCUUGAUUUGACUUAUUAACUUGUUUCUCUGGAUCUAUGGUUUGACUAUGCAAUAAAUGUCUUGUAAGUAUGUAUUAGCUGUCUCCCACCUAUGAGCUCCAGAUAUCAAAACAUUAUUAGAGUAGGGUGAGAGAGAAGGUAAUAUCACUAUACAUUAUACCAAAAAUACCACAUACUUUGAGAGAAGGCAUAUACCAUUACUGCCUUGGUAAGGAUCUAGAAAUACCACAAAAGAGAGAUUUGAGGGAGUCAUACAAGGAAUCUCUGAGUUUUAUUUGAAAAUCUGCAAAAACUCUAGAGCUAUAGCUGAUCAAGAAUAAGAGACAUGGCGCUUGACUUGACCGUUCUAUCUUUUAACUGCUCAAGACACAAGUGACGGUUACAAGCCCCAUGGUGAAAGGUAAAAUGAGUAAGUAUUAAGUCUUAACAGUUUAUUCUAACUCAGAGAUGAGAUCUUGCUUGAAUGCGUGUGUACUUUUAAGGCAUAAAACCACUACAGAAACUCUUGAGUUCAUCCUUGCUCAGGGACGAGCAAGAGGUAAGCUUGGGGGAGUUGUUGACGGUCCUUAAGUACCAAAUAUAAGCAUCAAAUAAAUAAAGAAAAGGAUCCAAAUGUAACCAACACCUAGACUUAGAGUUUUAUCUGACAGAAUUCCACGAGUUUUGGUGUUUGUCUAUUUCUGCAGGGGGUUAUCAGGAAAUAAGGAAGAAAGGCCCACACGUCGGGAUUACAUAGAGAUAUCAAAGCACCGUGCAAUUUUCUACCAUCUAGAAGACUCCAGAAGCCACGGGAAGAAAGCAGAGGCCGAAAGGGGCCAUGCCCAGGGCGCCCGCCCUGAGGACCUAGGCGCCCACCCUGUCCUGGACUCCGUUCGGGACUCUCUUCACACACGAUGUUCCACCGACCUAAAGGAUCAAGGAUAACGUAGUACCACAUCGCCUACCGACCCAAAAACGCAUAGAGGAGGAGGAAGCUCUGUUGGUAGAGCUGAAACAAGUAGAAGAAGCUCUGUCCCAAGCUCAACAGGAAGAGAGUCAGCUGCCCGAGACGAUCAAGACCCUUGAACAAGAGCGAAAUGCCCAAGCUCGCAAGGCGCUGCAGAUGAAGAAGAAGCUGAAACCGGUGGAAGGCUCUGCCGAUGAAGAUAUCAAGGAAAUAGAAGAAGCCGACCAAAUUCGUCUGCGUGCUAUAUCGGCCAUUCAAGCCCUGCUGAAUGUAUGAACUCUUCAUCGGUGAUACGUUCUGCUUUUUCUUCAAAACUGCUGAUUAUUUUGGUCUAGCUGAUAGGACUGUUAUUGGCAUUUCUUGAAACAUCAUAUUCAGUCCAAAACACACUUUAAUCCAGCCGAUAGGAAUGUUAUCGGCACUUAAACUUUUAUGCAUCGACCCAUAUGCUUGAGUAAUACUUCUUCAAAUAUUUUCCAUUCAACGCUCUAGGAAAUUCAACUCCUUCGAGAGUUUCCAAAAUAUAGGCAUUACCAGGAGCAGAUCGAUUUUUCUGAUAAGGACCUUCCCAAUUGGGAGACCACUUGCCAAACUUUGAACUUUUAAUCCCAAUCGGUAAUAUUAGUUUCCAUACCAAAUCUCCAUCGGAAAAUUCCUUAGCCUUUACCUUUUUAUCAUACCAUCUGGCCACUCUCUUUUUAUUCUCUUCCAUACUUAUCAAAGCCUUUAGCCGAUACCCUGCUAAAUCAUCCAACUCGUCUUUCAUCAAAGUAGCAUAAUCAUCGGCGGCCAACUGAUCUUGAAACGAUAAUCGCCUAGAUCUGGUCUUAAUUUCCCAUGGCAGCACUGCAUCGUGUCCAUAUGCUAGUUGAUAAGGUGAAACUUUAGUCGAGCCAUGACAUGCCAUUCGAUAUGACCAUAAAGCCUCACUUAACAAUGUAUGCCACCUCCUAGGAUUUUCUUCAAUCUUCUGUUUGAUGAGUUUAAUAAUCCCUUUGUUAGACGCCUCGGCCUGCCCAUUGGCUUGAGCAUAAUAAGGAGAAGAAUUCAACACUUUAAUUCCCAUACCGAUUGCAAAUUCAUCAAACUCUCCCGAUGUCAACAUAGUACCCUGAUGGGUAGUAAUUGUCUGAGGAAUACCAAAUCGGUAAAUAAUAUGCUCUUUCACAAAAUCAAUCAUAUUAGCCGAUGUAACUUUCUUCAAAGGAAUAGCUUCAACCCACUUAGUGAAAUAAUCAGUGGCAACUAAGAUGAACUUAUGCCCUUUGCUCGAUGGUGGGUAAAUCUGGCCGAUUAGAUCAAUAGCCCAUCCCCGGAACGGCCAAGGCUUAAUAAUAGGAUUCAUGGCCGAUGCGGGCGCCCUUUGAAUAUUGCCAAACUUCUGACAUCCUUGACACCCUUUGAAAUAUCUAAAGCAAUCCUCGAGUAUAGUUGGCCAAUAAUACCCAUUUCUCCUGAUCAUCCACUUCAUCUUAAAAGCCGACUGAUGUGCUCCACACACUCCUUCAUGGAUUUCACCCAUCAAACUCUUAGCUUCAUCAUUACCUAAACAUUUGAGAAGAACUUCAUCUAUAGUUCGAUAAUAUAGCUCAUCCUCAAGAAGCACAUACUUGGUAGCUUGAAACCGGAUACGCCUCUCAACCUUCUUAGAUGGAUCCCUUAAAUAAUCAACAAACUCCUUUCUCCAAUCAUCGGCACCGAUUGCCGAUAACGUGUUCAGUAUGGGUUGAUAUCCCGUGGCAUGCUGAGCCAACCGAUUAGCCUCCUCAUUAUGUAACCGAGGAACAUGCUCUAAUCGGAAAUCUUUGAAUUUCUUUAAUAGUUGUAUACUCUUUUUGAAAUAAGUUAUCAGGACUUCGCUUCGGCAUUCAUAACUUCUAGCUAAUUGAUUUAUAACCAGCAUAGAAUCUCCGAAGAUCUCAAUAGCAUCAGCAUGAACCUCUUUCAACAAUUCCAAUCAUUUUAUCAAAGCUUGAUACUCGGCUUGAUUAUUUGUUGACGUGGCAACAAUCGGCAAAGAGAACUCAUACAUCCUUCCCUGAGGGGAAAUUAACACUAUGCCAAUUCCUGCCCCCUGGUCACACGUGGAUCCAUCAAAGAAGAGCGUCCAAGGCACAAUUUCCAAAGUUUCCACUACACCACAAUGUUGAGUCACAAAAUCGGCCAUAAUCUGCCCUUUAACCACAUUAGCCGAUUCGUAACGUAGAUCAAAUUCCGACAACGCCAAAAUCCACUUACCGAUUCUUCCACUCAUAAUCAGCAUAGAUAGCAUAUAUCGGACCACAUCAUCUUUGCAUAUAACAGUGCAUUCGACCGAUAACAAAUAGUGCCUCAACUUAAUGCAGGAAAAAUACAGGCACAAACAUAAUUUUUCAAUGGCCGAAUACCUGGUUUCAGCAUCAAUCAAUCUUCUACUUAAAUAGUAAAUCAUACGCUCCUUCCCUUCAAUUUCUUGAAUCAAAGCUGAACCGAUGACCAUCCCAUCGGUACACAAAUAUAAUCUGAAGGGCUUUCCUUGCUGAGGUGGAAUUAAGACUGGAGGAUUUGUUAAAUAAUUCUUGAUUUCAUCUAACGCCAACUGUUGCUCUUCUCCCCAUAUUAAUUCUUGAUCGGCUUUUAAUUUAAGUAAAGGACUAAAAGCACGAAUUUUACCAGACAAAUUGGAAAUAAAUCGCCUGAUAAAAUUUAUUUUGCCGAUCAGAGAUUGGAGCUCAGUUUUAUUGGUAGGAGCAACUAUUUUGUUAAUAGCAUCAAUAGAUCUCCUACUAAUUUCAAUUCCUCUCUGAUGCACCAUGAAACAAAGAAAUUGUCCUGCCGAUACACCAAAUGCACACUUGUUGGGAUUCAUUUUUAAACCAUGUUUCCUUGUGCACUCCAAUACCUUUCGCAGAUCGCCAAGAUGCUUUGUGAAAUCCCUAGACUUAACCACCACAUCAUCAAUGUAAAUUUCUACCAGCUUGCCGAUGAACUCAUGAAAGAUAAAAUUCAUAGCUCUUUGAUAGGUAGCACCAGCAUUUUUCAAACCAAAGGUCAUGACUACCCAUUCAAACAAUCCAACAUGACCAGGACAUCUAAAUGCAGUCUUUGGAAUAUCUUUCUCAGCCAUGAAUAUCUGGUUAUAUCCUGCAUUGCCAUCCAUGAAGCUAAUAAUUCGAUGUCCAGCCACAGCAUCAACUAGUAAAUCGGCAACUAGCAUGGGGUAGCCAUCCAUCGGUGUAGCCUUGUUAAGAUUUCUAAAAACAAUGCAAACUCAAAGCUUCCCAUUUUUCUUGUAAACAGGAACAACAUUGGAAAUCCACUCGGCAUACCGACACUGCCAAAUAAAUCUAGCUUCGAUAAGUUUGGUUAUUUCAGCCUUAAUAUCAGGAAGAAUAUUAGGAUUACAUCGGCGAGCUGGCUGCUGAUGUGGCCGAAAUCCAAAUUUGAUAGGCAACCGAUGUUCAACAAUAGAUCGGUCUAAGCCAGGCAUCUCAGUAUAAUCCCAACCAAAGCAAUCUUUAUAUUCCUUUAACAAAUCGGUUAACUGUUGCUUACACUCAGAAUUUAACUUAGCACUAAUAAAAGUAGGCCUUGGCCUAUCACCAUUACCCAAAUCUACUUCUACUAAAUCAUCGGCCGAUGUAAACCCCUGGCCUAAUUUUUCAUCAUCGGCGAACCUAUCCAUUAAAACUCCUUAUCAGAACCGACUGCUUGGAUCGGUGGAAUCUCAUAAUCGGCAACUUUGAGGAAAUCCUUCUCCAAAAUCUCUCCUGAGAUGCACCUGGUCCUUCCAUAGGUAUCUGCUUCUGCCGAUGCGAUGACAUAAGAAGAAUCUCCGGGGACAAUCUCAAUCUUAUCACCUACCCAUUGAACCAAGCAUUGGUGCAUUGUUGACGGGAUGCAACAAUUGGCAUGGAUCCAAUCCCUUCCUAAUAGCAGAUUGUAAGCACCUUUUCCACUAAUAACGAAGAAAGUUGUCGGCAAGGUUUUGCUGCCGAUGGUCAACUCGACACAUAUUGCUCCCUUAACCGGAGACAUAUUUCCUUCAAAGUCCUUUAACAUCAUAUCGGCUUUGGUCAAAUCUUGAUCUCCUUUCCCAAGUUUUCGAUAGACUGCAUACGACAUGAUGUUAAUAGCAGCCCCACCAUCAACUAAUAUCUUGGUCAUCGGCUGCCCAUCAACUCUUCCUUUAACGAACAGAGCUUUAAGAUGUUGCCUUUCAUUGUCGGCGGGCUUUUCAAAGACAGCCGUCAUCGGAUCCAGAGCCAAUUGAGCUCUCUGGUCGGAAAAAUCCAGCUCCUCAUCAUCACUGGACGGCGCAAGAAACUCCAUCGGCAACAUGAAUACCAUGUUAACAUCUGCCGAUGGCCCUUUGCCUUUGGGAUCCAGCUGCUGCUAAUCUCUAGAUUUGCCAGGAUUCUCUCCUUUGCUCAAGUCUUCUCGCCUUUUGCGCUGUAGCCUUCUUUUCUGUGUCCUAGUCAAUCCCUCUGGACACCACAGAGGAAGUUGUGGCUGUCUCAUCGAUGGGCGACGACUUUCCCUUGACUCCACUCGAUAGGUGUUAGCAUCCCUGCAAAAUAUGAACUCAUCUGGAACUCAAGCAUUUGCCAUUUCUUCAAGCUCCUCUUGGUUCCUGGGAAAGUACCCAACACGGUCACCAAGUCUAUCAUGCACACUGAGCCUGCCCCCAGCCGAUCAUGAACUGAGGCUCUUCCCCUAAUCGGUUCAUUAAAUCGCCGAUCAUCGUUCUGAUACUGCCGAUUAGGUCUAUCAUACCGGUCAUAACCAUUGCAUUCAGGGCAGUCCAUAACAGUGGGCAACUUGAUGUUCUACUCCCAGCAAUGGAUAAAGAACGGGCAGUUCCAGUGAUCUUUAUGUCGAUUCCACUCCUAUCGGCGUCGGUCCUCUUCUCGGCGACGAUCUUCUUGUUGAUGCCGAUACCGAUCUUCACAUUGCUGCCAAGUCUCCCGAUGCCUUCUAUGAGUUCUCACAAUUCCAGAUCAGGGAGGCCUUCCAGAGCUAGUUCCUUCCUGGAUUAAACCCUUCACUUUGGCAUCGGCAGCAGUAAUCUGAUGCUGAGGAUCCACCGAUGCACUUCUUUUAGCUGCUUCUGAUGUCAAGACCUUGGUUUUUCCCUUAGCAUCCAACAUAUUUGUAAGGAAAGGAUGUUGAUCGAUCUUCAUUGGCUUUUGAGCUUUGGAGCUAUCGAAUUUAAUUCUCCCAGAAUCUAUAGCCGAUUGCAGCUGCUGCCUGAAAACUUUGCAUUCAUUUGUACUGGGAGAUGUCACAUUAUGCCACUUGCAGUACUUAAUCUUCUUUAAUUCCUCAGCCGAUGGAAUCACGUGAUUGGGCGACAACUUGAUUUGCCCUUCCUGAAGUAGAAAGUCAAAUAUCCUAUCGACUUUGGUAAUAUCAAAUGCAAACUUUUCUAGCUCUUUAUGCCCAAAAGGGCAAGACAUCGGCUUCUUAUUUUUUACCCACUAUGCCAAGCCGAUGACUGGUUCUUCAUCAGAAUCUGAGCUUGUUGCCUCAUCGACAAAUGACACUUUUUUAUUCCAUGCUCUAUUAGGUUCAAAAGAUUUGAUAUCUUGGUCAGAAAUCCUCUGCACUAAAUGACUCAGACUUUCGAACUCUUGAGAAGCAUACUUGUCUCUGAUAUGUGGCAGCAACCCCUGGAAAGCCAAAUUAGCUAGCUGUCGAUCGUCCAGAACCAGACUAUAGCAUUUAUUCUUAACCUCUCGCAACCUUUGCACAAAGCUUUCAACCGAUUCAUCAUUGCGUUGCUUCAGCCUGACUAAAUCGGUAAUCUUCAUCUCAUAAACUCCAGAAAAGAAGUAUUUAUGGAAUUGUUUUUCUAGAUCGGCCCAAGUAAUCACUGAAUUAGGAGGUAAUGAAAUAAACCAAGUAAAGGCCGAUCCAGACAAAGAUGAUGAGAACAAGCGAACCCUUAACUCAUCUCUGUUAGCAGCUUCUCCACACGGGAUGAUGAACCUGUUAACAUGCUCCAUGGUCGAUGUAUCAUUCUGCCCAAAGAACUUAGUGAAAUAUGGUACCUUGUACCAAUUUGGAAGUGGAAUCAAGUCAUAUGCAGGAGGAUACGGUGUCCGAUAAGAGUAAGUGUUGACUUUGGGUUUUAUCCCAAAUUGGUCUCUCAUCACUUCAGCUAUCUUAUCGGCCCAAUAAGCAUCGGCAUCUUGCCGAUGGGGUGGUUGUGGAUCUGGCACCUGCUGAUAAGCUUCCACGUGUCUCUGUGGUGCGCGAUCUUCAGGGAACAUUGGAUUAGCCAUCACCUGCUGACCACCAACUUGCUGACCAAGAUACAUCGGCUGGUUGAUCAACCCUUGAUUCUGAAACCCGGGCUGCAUCAGCCCCUGCUGAAAUCCCGUAGCCUGAUGAUUCUAGUGAGGUGCCUGUGGAAAGACAAACGGUCUUGUCCAUCCAUUAUUAAUGUUCAUCUGCGUAGGCCCUACCGAUGACUGAUAAUUGGGCGUCAUCAUUGAAUUGACGUACCCUGGUUGCGUCAUAAACCUUUGCUGCGUCGGCAUUGGAUCUGACGAUGCAUUAGGCAUCUGGAACAUUGGUACUUGAGAAUUCCCAGUAAAAGAUCUUGCGGUAGUAGUUGUAGAAUACUGGGGAUUUUGAGUCAUCGGCGAGCCUGGAGGUGCCGAUGCCAUAGGAGCCUUGCCUGUUACGUCAGCCGCUUGAGAUGUCCUAGAGCUCUUUGCCAUAAAUUCUGGAGGCAUACCAUAUCCCCACCAGUUGGGAGGAACAGAUCCUGACAUUGCCGAUGCCAAUAAAUCUGUAGCAAGUUUGAUUUGCCUGUCUGACGUUGACGGAUUAGUCGUCAUUGGUGUAGACUGCGCAUUAGUGAUCCCUAAUGUGCUUGGAGGAGAAGUAGCUUCUGUACCCGCAACGGCUGUAGUAGUCGAUGGACCAUAACCAAUGAUGAACCUGGCUGAUGAUAGGCAGGACCCACAUAAGAUGGUGGCACUUGUCAUUCUUUGAAAGUUCUAGCCACACCAUUGAAAACUAUAUUGGACAGCACACUAGAUUGAUUGAUUAGAGCACGAUUAAUAGCACUGUCAACCAUCUCUUGAAGUUUACCAGGAUUGGCUUCAAAAGUAAUUUGCCAAGGCAUCGGCAAUGCUUUCUUUUGGAUCACCUCGCCACUCCUGUUGAUGCUGAAGGAUAUCAAGCAUAGCUGCUUGUAGUCCUCCAUAGCUUUCGCCAUAGCUUGCUUCUACUCAUCUCUAAGAUUGGCUUCUGUUACAGGGAUGACGUUCUCCAAGUCGAAGUCGGUGUUCGACAUGUUGAUCUUGAUCUUGAAUAUAUGUCCCACUGGGAAUCGACAAAAGAUGUGUUGAUGCAAAAGCUGAUCUGUAGACACAAAGGGCUAAUACCCAAUUCAAACGUUAAGGCGUGCCAGCUGAUUUGACCUUGCAACCGACAAAGGUGGUAACUCGAACACUUUGGUCCUGACAACAGCGAUGCGCCCGGAUGUCACGGCCAAGAGGUGCUCACGUGGAACUCGAGAAUUCGUCGAGAUUGACUCAAAGAAUCCUUAAGAACUCGUAGUAAAAAGAAAAUAUGACAAAGUUGUCGAGAAGUAGAUGCUAGAAUAUGUGUAAAAACUUGUGUUUGAUUGAUUGAUAGAUCUCUCAUUACAUCGCCAUGGGGUCUAAAUUUGUACCUUGUCUCAAAGAGCUACAACCAGACACGACUAGGACUCGAACUCCAUAUUAAACAGAAUCCGUAUACAAAACAAACUCUAAUAACUAUGGAAAGCAUUAAAUUAUCUUCCACAACCGAUCGGUACAUCAUCACGAGUCAAUCAGCAACCCCUACGCUUUUCUUCAUAACCAUCGGCAGACCACCUUUCACAGCCAUCAGCAACCAUCAAUACUAGUCAUUGGCACAAAUCCAUCACCACUCCUGAACUUAGUCAUAUCCUACCGUUUUCCCAUCGGCACCAACCCUCAUCAGCAACUCUCCUGUAGAUUAAUCACGAUUUUUCCACCUGCCUAUCCCCAGGUGCGCAUCCAAAGAUAUGUGUCCAAAAAUGGUGUCAACACUAUGUCAUGUUGGGAUGCCUCUAAGGGCAAACCUGAUAACUUACCUCCUACAGAUGAGGUAAAGUUUAGGGCUGAUGAAAAACUCUUUCAAUGUGCACUGAUUAGCGCACUUGAUCCAAAAUUCUAGAAAAGUUACGUAAUUCUUCCAAGUGGGAAAGAAUUAUGGGAUGUUCUUGUGGCUAAGUUUAGAGUUACUAUUGCUGGUACUGAGCUGUAUCUCAUGGAGCAGUUGUAUGACUACAAGAUGGUUGAGAACCGUUCUGUAGUGGAACAAGCUCAUGAGAUUCAGGCACUAGCUAAGGAACUUGAACUUUUCCCUUGUCCCCUGCCUGACAAGUUUGUGGCUGGCGGUAUUAUCGCCAAGUUACCACCUUCUUGGAAGGAAUUUGGUACUUCUCUCAAACACAAGAGGCAAGAGUUCAAUAUUGAGGAACUCAUUGGCACUCUUGAUGUUGAGGAGAGGGCAAGAGAAAAAGUUGAUGGGAAAGGUGUUGAACCUUCUACUGCCAAUGUGGUGCAGAAGAAAUUCUACAAGUUUAACAAGAAGAAAAACCAAAAAAGAAAGAGAACAACCAUAAGCCCAAUCAGUCCACUCAAUUCAAGAAAACUACCAACAAUAACAAGAAGGGAGGCUACUUUGUUUGUGGCAGUAAGGAACAAUAGGCAAGUGAGUGCCCAGAUCGCAAGUUCUUCCAAGAGAAGAAAAUAGCUAAUGUGUAACCGCUAAGACUAUAGGAACAUCUAGGUGCAGUUAAUUUAUACCAACAUCUAACAACCCAAAAACCUAAUUAUAGGCUUUUCUGUUAGAGGUUUUGCUGUUGUGUUAAAGCCUGAUCAUUUUGAUGGUAAAAACUUCUUGAUCUGGAAAGCUAAGAUGGAACUGUGGCUCACUACUAUGUCAUGUUGGGAUGCCUCUAAGGGCAAGCCUGAUAACUUACCUCCUACGGAUGAGGUAAAGUUUAGGGCUGAUGACAACCUCUUUCGAGGUGCACUGAUUAGCACACUUGAUCCAAAAUUCUAGAAAAGUUACAUAAUUCUUCCAAGUGGGAAAGAAUUAUGAGAUGUUCUUGUGGCUAAGUUUAGAGUUACUAUUGCUGGUACUAAGCUGUAUCUCAUGGAGCAGUUGUAUGACUACAAGAUGGUUGAGAACUGUUCUGUAGUGGAACAAGCUCAUGAGAUUCAGGCACUAGCUAAGGAACUUGAACUUUUCCCUUGUCCCCUGCCUGACAAGUUUGUGGCUGGCGGUAUUAUCGCCAAGUUACCACCUUCUUGGAAGAAAUUUGGUACUUCUCUCAAACACAAGAGGCAAGAGUUCAAUAUUGAGGAACUCAUUGGCACUCUUGAUGUUGAGGAGAGGGCAAGAGAAAAAGUUGAUGGGAAAGGUGUUGAACCUUCUACUGCUAAUGUGGUGCAGAAGAAAUUCCACAAGUUUAACAAGAAGAAAAACCAAAAAAAGAAAGAGAACAACCAUAAGCCCAAUCAGUCCACUCAAUUCAAGAAAACUACCAACAAUAACAAGAAGGGAGAUUGCUUUGUUUGUGGCAGUAAGGAACAAUAGGCAAGUGAGUGCCCAGAUCGCAAGUUCUUCCAAUAGAAGAAAACAACUAAUGUUGUAACUGCUGAGACUGUAGGAACAUCUGGGUAUGGUAAUUCUUUGCCAUAUAUUGUUUUAGUUUGUAAUUCACCUGAGUGGUGGAUGGAUAGUGGUGCAAAUAUACAUGUGUGUUGAUGUUUCCUUAUUUGCCACUUACCAGGUCGAGACGUCUAGCGCCUUGUUGAUGGGAAAUGGGUCACGUGCUCAUGUUCUUGUUGUUUGUACGGUCAUUCUAAAGUUUACUUUGGGGAUGACGGUGCCACUACAUUGCAUGCAACAUCUGCCCUCCAUCAAGAAAAAUCUUGUUAGCACCACUAUGCUAUGUCGAGAUGGUUAUAGUGUUGUCCUUAAAUCGAACAACUGCGUUGUGUCAAAACAUGGAUCCAUUGUUGGUAAAGGAUAUGAUUGUGGAGGUCUGUUCCUCUUAUCUUUGCAUGAUGUGUGUAAUAAAAUGGUGAAUUCUGUUAAUAUUUCUAAUGAGUCAGAUUUAUGGCAUUCACACUUUUGUCAUGCAAGUUAUGGUUCUCUUAUGUGGUUAGCAAAUCUGAAUUUAAUUCCUAAAUUUAACUUGGUCAAAAAGUCUAAGUGCCAUGUAUGUGUUGAAUCAAAACAACCCCGCAAGCCUCACAAGGCUACUAAGGUGAGGAACUUAGCACCUCUAGAACUUAUUCAUUCCGAUUUGUACAAAAUGAAUGGUAUUUUGACUAAAGGCGAUAAAAGAUACUUUAUCACAUUUAUAGAUGACUCCACUAGAUUUUGCUAUGUGUAUCCCUUAAAAACAAAGGAUGAAGCACUCCAUUAUUUUAAGGUCUAUAAAGCUGAAGUUGAGUACCAACUAGAGAGGAAAAUAAAACAUUUAAGGUCUGAUAGAGGUGGAAAUAUUUCUCAAAUGAUUUUGAAGAAUUUUGUGUGGAACACGGUAUUAUUCAUGAGAGGAUAUUGCCAUUCUCACCACAAUCCAAUGGGAUUACUAAAAGGAAAAACCGCACUUUAACAGAGUUGGUGAAUACCAUGUUAAAUACAGCGGAACUAUCCAAGGAAUGGUGGGGUGAGGCAAUUUUGACCGCGUGUCAUGUUCUAAACAGAGUUCCCACUAAAAACAAAGAGAUCACUCCAUUCGAGGAAUGGGAAAAGAAGAGAAUAAAUCUUUCAUAUUUAUGCACCUGGGGUUGUUUGGCAAAGGUGAAUGUGGCAAUCAACAAGAAAAGUAAAUUACGACCUAAAACUGUUGAUUGUGUUUUCCUUGGUUAUGCUUUCCACAACAUUUGAUAUAGGUUCUUAAUGAUAUAGGCAACAUUCUUUGAGAAUGAGUUCCCCAUGCGGAAUACACCUAGUGAAACAAGUCACGAGACUAUAAUUCUCCAUGAACAUGAAAAAUUUACUCCGAUAGAACACAUUGAUAAAAACCGUGAGCAUAAUCUUGAGGAGGAUGACACUAUAGUCACUCGAAAGAGUAAAAGGAGAAGAAUUGCAAAGUCCUUUGGUGAUGACUACUUUGUGUACCUCUUGGAUGACACCCCAACGACCAUUGAAGAGGCAUAUUCCUCUCCUGAUGCUGACUUAUGGAAGGAAGUAGUACAGAGUGAGAUGGAUUCUAUUAUGUCUAAUGGAACUUGGGAAAUUGUUGCAUGUCCUUAUGGAUAUCAAACAAUAGGGUGCAAAUGGAUUUUCAAGAAGAAGCUUAGGCCUGAUGGUACUAUUGAGAGGUACAAGGCAAGGCUUGUAGCCAAGGGUUGUACAGAAAAAGAGGGUGAAGAUUUCUUUGACACCUGUUCACCAGUUGCUAGAUUCACUACAAUUCGCACUUUGAUAGCCGUGGCAGCCUCUUAUGGUCUUAUCAUUCAUCAGACGGAUGUUAAGACAACUUUUCAUAAUGGAGAGUUAGAAGAGGAGAUCUAUAAGGUUCAGCCAGAUGGUUUUGUUGUGAAUGGUCAAGAAAGCAUGGUGUGCAAGUUGUCGAAGUCGUUGUACGACCUGAAACAAGCACCUAAGCAGCGGCAUGAGAAGUUCGAUAAGACUUUAACAUUGCGGGCUUUGUUGUUAAUGAAGGUGAGAGAUGUGUAUACUAUCGGUAUGGUGGGGGUGAAGGAGUCAUCUUGUGCCUAUAUGUUGAUGACAUUUUAAUACUCAGGACCAAUCUUAACAUGGUUAAGGAGGUCAAAGAAUUAUUGUCCAAUCAUUUUGAGAUGAAAGAUUUGGGAGAGGCUGAUUUUAUUCUUAGCAUCAAACUCCUCAAGGAUGAAAAUGGUGGGGUGACUUUAUCACAAACUCACUAUGUGGAGAAGGUGCUAAGUCGCUUUGGGUAUAGCGAAUGCCAGCCGGCACCAACUCCGUAUGACCCUAGUGUGCUAUUGAGAAAGAAUCGUAAAAUAGCAAGGCAUCAUUUCAUAUGUUCUCGGAUUAUUGGCUCCCUCUUCUAUUUGGCUAGCGCCACAAGGCCUGAAAUCUCAUAUGCUAUAAGCAAACUGAGCCGAUUCGUGAAAAGUUUGGGAGAUAGUCACUAGCAAGCUGUUGAGAGAGUUAUGCGGUACCUGAAAGGCACAAAGAGCUAUUGCAUUAACUAUUCUAGAUACAUGAAAGUAUUUGAGGGAUAUUAUGAUGCAAACUAGAUAUCUGAUGCUGAUGAGAUGUACGCCACAGGUGGAUAUGUGUUUCUACUUGGAGGUGGUGUUGUUUCCUAGAAGUCUUGCAAGCAGACCAUCUUAACAAGGUCAACUAUGGAAGCAGAACUAAGAACAUUAGAUAUCACUGGCAUUGAGGCCGAGUGGCUUCAUGAACUCCUAAUGGAUUUACCAGUUGUUGAGAAACCUAUACCAGCUAUUUCCAUGAACUGUGAUAAUUAGACAUUGAUAAUCAAAAUGAAUAGUUCAAAGGAUAAUAUGAAGUCCACAAGACAUGUAAAGAGAUGUUUAAAAUCUGUUAGAAAACUGAGGAACUCUGGAGUUAUAACAUUGGACUAUGUCCAUACGUUGAAUAAUUUGGCAGAUCAAUUUACUAAGGGAUCGUCACGUAAUGUGAUUGAAAGUGCAUCCAGAGAAAUGGGUAUGAGACCCAUGUGAAAUCUACUAUAGUGGUAACCUGCUCUAUGUGAUCGGAGAUCUUGUGAAGUAGAGUGGUGAAACAAGCUAUGAGUAGGUUGAGAGGAAAGAUCCCUUUCUUGACUCAUUUCUGAUGCACAUCUUUCCUAUCUGUAAGGCAGAAUGGUAUUUACCUUAAUGUAUUCCAAGAGUCUUAUAAAGGUGAGAUGUUUUCCUACAAAACAUCUUUUGAGAAAUACACCUAUAUGAGUCAGACUACUGGUCACAGUCUAUGGUACUUGGGUAAUCCCUAAAUACUCAUGAAAGGCACUGAAGUAUGACUUAUAUGCUUCAAAUAGCGGAGAUGUCUUGUGCAGCCUAGUAUCAGGUAAGGACUUGAGUGGAUCAUCUCAUCUCGCACAAAACUAUCAAUUCAAGGCUUAGUCCAUUGUUCAGUUGUGAGUGGGUGAAACUCUUGUUCUAGAUGGAUGUUCAACUUAACAGUCUCCAUUGAAAAACUAGUAUAUCAAAGAACCGUGGUUUUGAUGCUUCAUCAUUACAAACCCUAGAGUUUGGUGGGGAUUGUUGGAUUUAUUAUGGGCUAGACCCAUUUAGAUUUAAUAAAUCAAAUAAACUUUAUGGUGUGUAAUUAUGGACAAUAUAUGUUGUACCAAAUUAGAAGUCCAAGAGUCCAUGACAUAACUUAUAUGGUGGGUGUUUUUCCACCUUAAAUUGUGAAGUUAAGAAAAGGACAAAGGCAUGGAGUGGAGUGUAGGCAGGUGGUGCAGGAGUUUUAACUCAGUUAUGUGUGAGUUUUGACACACUAUCUGCGGGUGUUUAGAUAGAUAACUAAGGGAGUUUCAACUCUACGUGGAAACCCUUGAGAUGUCCAUCUCCUCAGCCGCCAACAGGAAGUGCCUUCCCCUCCUCUCCUCUCCAGCCACAAGGAUAAAUAGGAGGCUCUCAUCUCUUUGGUACAAUAAGAGAGAACACUCAGAACACAGUUUCGUUGCAAAGAAGAAAUUCCCAUCACGUAACUCUGCGUGCAUGGAGGAGCGAGAGGGCAGGUGCCUCCAAAGCCCUUGCCAUUCGAGACAUUGCACGAGGGAUCGACAAUUAGGUUUUUGGGAAGCGUUGUUGUGACUGCCCAAACCACCGUUGCUGUUCGUUGUCGUCUUCGAGCGCCGUCAUCGUCUUCCUCAUGCGGACACAGGCAGAUUUCUCCUUCUCGGUGGAGAGAUCAUCCUCAUCCUCUACAUGAUGCAAGUAGGAUAGGGAUCGGGAUCCUCGGAGCGCAUGGGAGUGUAUGAUCUAUUUAUCUUUGUAUCGUGUUUCGUCUUCCAGAUCCUAUAUGUUUUAGUAGUUCUUUCAUGUUGUUUCACUAUCUAUCCUGUGUUUGUUACUGCUAUAAGAUAUAUAAUCUAUCUGCAUGUUUCGAUAGUUCUAUCAAGUCACUUCGUAUAUCGUUGCCUAUCUGUUUCAGUAGUUUUGUUUCCUCGUUUCACAUGUUGUCUCAUGUUUGUCGCUAUUAUCAGAUUUAUGUCUUGCCUUGUUGUUAUGUUUUAUAUAUCAUACUUCCAUGCUUUUAAUAAUGAUGUGCUUCACAUAUUAAUUGAUCACAUGUUCUAAAUUGCUAUGAACAUGUUUGAUAUCAUAAUUUCUAUGAUUAAUAAUCUUCUAUAUGUCAUCAUCAUAAUGUUGAUUUAUGGAAUAUAAAAUUAAAAUGAUAUAGAAUUUGUCUAUUUAUCUAACAUAUUGUGUAUACUAUUUUGAUUAAUUUUUUGAUAUAUCUCUACUCUUCAACAUCGGUAUAAGAAUCAUCAUUCUCUCUCCUUACUUACUUGCUCACCUUGCUUAGUUGUGUAGCUUGUGUAGUUUAAUCUCUUGUUUAGGAGAGUAGCUAGCUCUUGUUGUACCUUGUUGCUGUGGUUUAGUGUUUAGCCUCUUAGUAGACUUGUGUAGGUGGCUUGCUUAGCUUAGUUGUGCUAGAGCUAGAGUCUUCGCCAUUUGUUUUACUAACCAACUUGUCUAGUGGAAUUUGUAAAAAAUUUAAAUAGACUAUUCCCCUCCCCCCUUUACCAUUUAGACCUUACACUCUGAACAUAACUUAUCUGCUUGGUUUCAAGAAUGUAGCGAGUUGUUUGUGGCUAUUCCAAGAAUUACCCAGAUGUGGCCAAACAUGCAAUUUGUUGAUUGCAGUACCAAAACCGGUUCUGUUUAUACUUGGUGGAGCUGGAGUGUAUAUGUAUUGUCGAGAAUAAGCAUGAUCUGGAAAAUGUAAGGCCAUCUUCAUGCGCAGGUCAUUGUAGGCUUACUCCUUAUUCAUCAAUUUUUAUUUAUAUUUUACAAUUCAAGGCAUAUUGACGACUGCAUACAACCCUGUAGUCCUCCAAAGGCUCCAAUGGCCACUGCCCUUGAUUAGCCCACAUCGUUGCCACCAGCUCACAGCAUUGCCUGGCUGGAUUAAAGUUAUUACUGGGCCAAACGAUGACAACGGCAUGGGAAAAAAUAUAUAACAACGGGAUAAAGAGCAUUUAUCUGAUUGUUUUUUUCGUUUACUGUAUUUCAAGAAGAAUUGUGCCUAUAUUUCCUACGUCAAAGAAUUCCAAUGUUCAACUUUAGCACCCCUUUAGCAUAGCUCGGCUUUACCAAUAAAGCAGUUUAUUUUGGCUUUAACUCCAUGAGUAGCUUUACUGGUGAAGUUUUGAUAAAAUAGUAAAUCGUCUUAAAACAUGUUCUCAAAAAAUCUCACCCAAGACCCACCAAAGCGAGUUGUAGUUAGGAGAAACUAUUAUUUUUAGCUUCAUCUUACACACAUUGCCUGUGUCAAAUAGAGCUAGUCAUGUACUCUAGACUAGUGCCUUGGCUCUUUGUAUAAGAGCGUCUUCAUUAGGUAUUAUUUUCCAAAAAAAAAACUUUGCUGUAGGUAAUUGAGAAAAUAAAGUUUUAGGUUAAAGGUGAUGCUACUGUAGCAGAUUGAUUAAACUCCAUCCUUUUUAUUUAAGUGGGACCCACUUGUCAGUAAGUAAAACUCUCCUUUUUCUUUCUCACCUAAUACUCGCCCGUGCGAUCCCUAACAUGUUCUGGGCUUUAGAAUGCCGGCACUCCACACCCUCGUUGUGCGACGCCCCCAUCCGUGUGACACCCUAUUGUUGCGGCAUGGCCGGUAUGCAUCCUUAUCCGCAUGGUGCCCCACUGUGACCGGUGCCCACCCACGCCAGUGCGCCGUUUGGGCACAGUUCUGUGGCCAGCCCCACCCUUGCCUGUGCAAUGUGCCACUACAGCAAUGUGUGACAAGCCCCAGGUCUGUCUGUGGGGCACCUAAGCAUGACAACAUGGUCGGCCCUCGCUCCGGUGUAGCGGUGGUUUGCCAGCGACGAGCACCACAUCCAUUAGAUGCAUGCAUCCAACGGUUGACGCGAGUUCAGGGAAGAAAGGGGACUGACAAAAAUCUCUUAUUCUUCCCCUUUCUUUCAGCGAUUGACGACAGGAUUGAGAAAUUGGGAAAAAUUAUAGAGAAAGGGGAUCCAAAAGAAUGGUAUCUAUUAGAGCUAUUUUUUCCUACAGAAUCCCCUUUGUUAGUAGGGGAAAAGGGACUGAGUUUCUCAAUCUGGUGGAGAUGCUCUUGGAGCAUCAAUUGCCGUCUCCCAUCUAUGUAUGUGACGUGGUGCUAGUGCUAAAUAAGAUAAUUGCCCUUGCUAUUUUUUUGUGUAUAGAACUUCCUUUACAGUAUUUUCAUGUACAUUGAUUAUGAUUGCAAGCAGCCUUAUACUCUUAUGAAAUGCACUUCAUACAUCUGUUAGGAAAAUACAUUCAUGAAGCCCCUCAUUCAAGAAGGAUUAAGAAAUGAAAGUUUCAAGCCAUACUAUUUUUAUCAUAGCUACCAAAAAAAUUAUUUCGAAAGAAAAUGUCUUUGUUUUAUUUUUGGACCAGGUUCUUACUGAAAAAGCCUGAAUAGAAUCAAACACAAAAUUUAUUGUGGGCUUAUUCUCCAUGCGCUUCUCCCUCCUUUACUACGAACCAAUAAGCCCAAAAACCCAUACAGUUUUUAUAGAUUCUCUUUUCUUGCUCACUCCGCCCACCCUGUGCCGUCUAAAGAUGGUAAUUUUUACCAGAAACCCGAAACAUGAUGGGUAAUUACCUCAUUAGGGUAAGGGUAUGGCUAUGUUUUGUACCCAUGGGUAAGAUAAUGGGAAAAAAAAAACUUUACCUAGCGGGUAAAGCGGGUAAGGGUAUGGGACUGCAUUGCCCAUACCCGUUAAUCCAUGGGUAAAUUGAACCCGAUAAAUUAUACUAGAAUCAUGGAACUUAUGGAUUUUAUGACUUGUUAUCUAGUAAUGACGGAUUUACCCAUUAGAUCAUUUGAUUGUGUGUUCAUGUAGCUUGUAUAUUUGAAGAGUUUAUUAAUGAUUUAUGAUAUUUUGGCUAAAUUUGGAAGCCUGAUAUAUUAAAACAUAUAUUUUUUCAUAGCAAAUAUUCUCAAAAUCAUGUGUAAAGAUAACCCAUGGGUUACUCGUUACCCACAUGGGUAAGGGUAUGGGAAAAAACUCUUACCCGUGCACAUGUAUGGAUAAAUUAGCGGGUAAAAUAUUUUCUCGUGGGUAAGGAUAUGGGUAACAUAUACCCAGCGGGUAAUUACCCAUUGCCAUCCCUAGUGUUGUCCCACUUAUGCCUCCCUCAUCUGCCCUGCCCGUGCUGCCCUUGCCCACUCACCCCACCUGCGCGGCAUUGGUUGGUCGUCCUCCAAAAGUGUGAGGUAGCUCCUCUCUUCACCGGUCUUCCUCUUUGUCUCCAAAGUCGUGACGCCUCCUCCCACCUAUCCCUAGGUCUGAUGUGUCUUCAUCGUAGAGAUCUCGUCGUGGAAGCCACCAUGUGUGGUCAAGAAAAACCUGAUGUGUCAAAUGGUAAGUUUCUCCUGGCUUGAACUAGCCCACUAGUACAGGGAAGGGCUUUAGCCCCGGCCGUAAGAGCCUUUAGUCCCGGCUACGGAACCGGGGCUAAGGUUUCGAGACUAAAUGUCCCACCUUUAGUCCCGGUUCCACGCACUAGGACUAAAGGUCCACCUUUAGUCCCGGUUGGUAACAGCACCCGAGACUAAAAGGUGCGACAGGGUGUGCCACCUGGCCUCCACUUUUAGUCCCGGUUAUUGCUACCAACCGGGACUAAAGACUUUUUUCUUUUUUUCCUUUUCUUUUCUUUUGGUUUUUCAUUUAGAGUUUACAAUUAUGUUAUUAUUAUUUUUGAAUGCGUAUUGUUUGCUGCUUGUUUAUAGAACACGGACCUAUAAUUUAUAUAAUUUAAAGCAUUACAUAUAAAUAUACUAUAAAACACUAUAUAUAUAUAUAUAUUAUGUAUCUAUAGGUCCAUAAUAUAAUAUUUACACAUAUGCUUCACGGACAAAGUAUUUACAACACAAUUUAUUUCCGCCACUCAAGCAUCGUACAAAUGAUCAUCGUGAUUUGGUUUCAUCGGCUCCUCAGGGUUGAAGUAGCACUCGCCGCCGGGAUUCAGGACUUGGUCAUUAAGAAAUCCUACGAUUGUCUCGUGAAUUCCUUUUAGGCGGACCGCAUCCAACACCUGCUCCUUCAACCACAUCUCCUUUAAUAGACAUUAAAGAAAAAAGUUAGAGGUAUGAAUAGGAUUUAUUAAAUAGCAACAAAUAAAUGAAAUAAACUUAUUAUAUAUACAUGUUACAUACUUUUAGGUGCUCAAGAUUAGUUCUUUUGGCAUAGACCGGCAUAGACUCGCACACAUAGUAGUCACACAAAUUAUUGCCCGGUGUCUACUGUAGAACCCACUGAAGUAAGAUAGGCUUUGAAAGUGCUGCAUUCAACUCUAGUCGGUGUUUCUGCACGAACCCAGCCCAAACCUAGCAAUAAAACGAUCAUUAUUAAUUAUAUAUUACCGAGUUAAAAGAGUAGAAUUUAAUAUAUAGAGAUCGGAGUUACCCUUUCGAUAAUAUCUAUCAUUUCUUGGUAAUCGUCCUGUGGUUUUCUCAACGAGUCAUAGAUUACCAAUUGACAUUGCCAGAGAUCAAUCACAAUUAGUAUCCAAUGAAAGCUGCAUUUGUGUGCAUGUAGGCAAAAUUAGUAUAUAUCUUCAUACUGAUCUGAUUAAUUAGUGAAAUAGAAUGUACACACGAUAACGACACUUACUUAAAGUUGUAUGGAAAGAGUAUUAUCUUUUAUUUUUUUGGUUGAUCAAGAACGUCCGUAGAUUUCUCUCCAUUUGAGUUCUCCAUAAGACAUACGGGGUCUUCUUGUCUUUGAAUAUAACAUUUGGAUCCACAAAUCUAUUCUCCUUGUCAUUUCUAACUCUGAGGUCCCUCAUCAUGUUUCUGCAUAUGUAUAGCAGGUUUCUAUAAUUAGUUAUAUAUAUACAUGAUAAGUUACAGUGAUAUUAUUGAAAGAAAGAAUCACUUAACUUUAGAGAUUUGUCAAGAGCGUCCAUGUUGCAUAGUUGGUGUAGCUCAUUAAAUAGAACAUAAAUAAUAUCAUCACCACGGAAGUAAUGAUAGUUUCUAAUUCGGACACAAAGAUAGUCAUCUGCUUUUCUGACACACACUGCCAUGUACCAUUUGUUUAGCAUGUACAUUUGCGUUCCAAGUUUGUUGAGGGCCACAGGGUUGUAUAGACUCUUGCCAUAUGUAUAUUCCUUCCGCCAAUUAUCAAAAUCUGGAGCACUUUCAAUUGGUGCCCCACCUAUCAUUUGGGCUAAGCUAAGACCAGUUUCCGCAAAAACUUUUUCAAGCUCAUCAAAUUUUAAAUAUGUCGGUAUCUGCUGGUCUAGCACAUCGAUAUUUGAACCAUAUUCAUUUCCAAUUACUAGCGGGAGCACUGAUUGCUUUGUUUGCUCCCCGAGCUGUGCUACACCCUUGCGUGCUCUUUUCUCUUUCUUCUUCUCUUCUUCUAUCGAUUUCUUUAAAGUGUGAUCAUAGUUCGAUAAAGAUGAUGAUUCUUUCUGAGCUUCACGCCUCUUUUUUUGUUGAGCCUCCCUUUGUCAUAGAUCUUCUGGCCGUAAUAAGAGAUAUGGCUUCUCAGGAUUUCGCUUGGCUUCUCUUUCAGUCUUAAGUUUCUUGAAGAAACUAUCCACAUCUGAUUUUACCGAAGCAUCUAGUUCCACAUCAGUCUUCUCAUAGGACAGCUUUUUAGGAAUCAUAGCUUGUUUCUUUUUGGAGGUUUUCUUUUUUGGCGGCGGGGCGACCGACACAUUUGAUUGUAUGGCCGGCCUCUUCUUUCAUGUCGGAGCCACGUGUGGAGGCGAUGGGGCGGCCGGUGGCGGUGUUGGAGCCCUAGGUGGUGGUGUUGGAGCCCGAGGUGGCGGUGUUGGAGCCCGAGGUGGUGGUGUUGGAGCCCUAAGUGGUGCCGUUGGAGCCCUAGGUGGCGGUGUUGGAGCCCGAGGUGGUGGCGUUGGAUCCUGAGGUGGUGGCUUUGGAGACCGAGGCGAUGCAGCCGUGUCUUGCACUCCCUCGUCAUCACCCGCAGCACUAUAACAUGUUGGUGACCACCUGUGAAACCAAAAGGUAUAUGAGUAAACCGCUAACUAAGAGAAUGCAAAAUAAAGUUAGUGAACAAAUGUAUAGUCCAUUUUCAUCCACACCUAGGAUUAGAUUCAUGACGCGGAGGUGGUGGUAGACUACUAGGUCAUGCCCCAGGAAUAAUGAUGUAGCGCUUGCGCCAACAAAUAAAAGUCUUCUCUGCUUCUCCUAGAGUCUUCUCUCCAUCACCUCCUUCUAUCUCAAGCUGCACAUUACUGAAGCCUUCGACAACUCUAUCCAUCGAGACACUAGCAUAUCCAGGUGGAACUAUCGCCCCAUGGAUUCUUGGUGUAUUCGUAGGGUCGACAGGAGUUACAACACCGACAGCAACCAUGACUGUGGCAGUCCCCUGUGGAAUGUGCAGCUCACAUUUUGUCAGAGGUUCAGUGAUGUCAUCCACCAGAAAGUGCAGCCCCACGUCGUCUUGAAUAGUUGGCAUCUCUGUGGAAGCGCAACUGCUUUUCAACGGACCGGGGGGCUAAUGUUGACUCCAGGCUCUGAUGCAGUUUGCCUUUAUAUAGAACUUACUGCCAUCUACACUUGUCUUUUGAUCUCCUCGUUCAUUCUCUCUUCAAGCGCUUUCUCUCGUGCUAUCGCUUCACGAGCUGCUUCGUGUGACUCCAUCACCAUUGCCUCUAACCUACGCAACCGCUCUGCUUCCUCUUACUUCUUUCUUUGGUGGCUUCUAUAAGUUGGUCUAUCUUUAGGGAAGCCAUGCUCCCACGAUACCUCCCCAUAGCCUCUUGUUCGCCCACCAUGUUCAGCAGUCUCCAGGGCAUAUGUCAGCUCAUCCUUCUCUCUAUUUGGCUGCCAGGUGCCACUUUCAACUAAUCCUCUAGCAUAGGUCAUUCUUUGUUCUACUCUCUGGAGCUUUUCGCCGUACACUACCUUUCCGGUCUCUAGGUCUAUGGUUCCCCCAUGACCGAAGAACCAAUACUUGGCGUGCUCAGACCAGUGCAGUGAUUCUGGUUCGAUCCCUCUCUCAAGAAUCUCCUGUUCCAUCUUUUGCCACUUAGGAAUAGCAGUCCUGUAGCCUCCUGAACCCAAGUGAUGGUGGUAUUGCUUUUGUUUAGCAUUUUCCUGAUUGUUGAUCAGCCAUGCCUGACCCUCUUCUGAGUUCUUAAAAUCUACGAACUCAUCCCAAAAAGGCCUCAACUUGACGUAGGCCUUGUUGGUGAAAUCCGGUGUCCGGCCAUGUGCAACAAUAGUCUUGUAUAAUGUCUUCUUCCAAGCUUGAAAUUGUUUGGCCAUCGUCUGCAUAGCCCAGAUUUUAACCUUCUCCUUCAAAGCUUCAUCUUGUGUAUCGAGCGUGAAAUGUUGAAGGAUAUCUAGCCAAAUCAAUUCCUUGUCACGAUCUGAGACAAAACUAAUAUUAGGGUUAUCUUUUCGUUGCCUCCAUUCACGAGCACUGACCAGGAGCCUAUCCCUUACAAGGUACCCAUAGUGCGCAACAAUUUUUUUAGAAUUGGUCCCAAGUACUUGUCCUGUACCCUCAUCGAAUUCUGACAGAAUAUACGGACCCUCCAACGGCUUCUUCGAGCCGUGCACUUUUCUACUCUUCUCAGAAGUUGUCGCCGAUAUAUAUACAAGAUUAUUGAUAGACCUUAUUAGGAUUGUCUCCCACAAGUUCUUCAUAAUCAGCAAAGUACUGACUCCCAUCAUCUUCGCCUUGGGGAUCUGGAUUGGCGCCGCUGUUGAUUAGGUCCAUCAUUGCAUCAUCCAUGUUGUCAUUCGGAUUGGCCAUUUCUGCAAGUUUAAUCAAGAGUUAAAAGUUAUUUAUCAAAUCCUGUACUUAAUAUGUCCAACGCAAAAGUAUUUGGAUAGGCUAAACUUAGAUAAUAUUUGGAUACAAGAACUAAUUACUAGUUAGCUAAAAAUUAGAUAAAAUUAGCUAUACUGCAUAGAGGGCUAAAUAUUUAUAUGUAUUAAAGUUUUUAUCCACACAUUUUGGGAUUUUUAUUAUAAAGAUAAAGAUAGCUUUUGAGUGGCUUAAGAGGGUUUUUUUAUUUAGAUUAGGAUUCCUAUAAAAUAUUAUAUAUGAGUUAGAUGCUUUUGAGUGGCUUUAAGUCACCAUGGCAAAGCCAUUCGGCCCGUCGCACCGCCAGUUCACCAUGCUACAGGUCGCGGGCCUCAUGGAGUGGCCAUGGGUGUCUGCUUAAAAUGACAUCACACAUAGCAAAAUGGAGUCAUCGUCACGCGCCUCAAGCCUACACGUCCUGGUUUUGACAGUCGAAACUCGAGAGCUUUAACACCAGGACUCACCAUCCUUGCACUCAGGGCGGCCGUAGAUCCCUUAACCCAUAGGACCUACCGCGUAGCAAGGGACUAGGAUACGGGACAUAUGCUUAUGUCCUGCUAUGCGUCACGAAAAGAAGUAGGGCCCCGAUACCAUGCGUUAGUGUGCUCGAGUGCUCAUAGACAUGUGAAAAUGCUCUAGUAAUUUAUGGCAAGUUGACCCCGAAUAAGGUGUUAUGAGAAAUAUAGUGCCUUUUAUUUUGUUCUACGAAGGUAUAGAAAAGUCAACAAAUUCAACCGUAAUAGUCUUUGUCCAUUAUGUGUGUAAUAAUUAUUUUUCUCUGGUUGUAACAAAUGAAUAUAUUUGCUAGUUAUUACUCAAUUGGCCUGAAAAAACUUAGCUCUAGCUUCUGCCUUAAGUUAUAUAUAAGUCACUUAGACAAAUUUCAUUAAACUAUGAGAGAAAACAUAUAUAGCUUGAGAUAGACAAAUUUCAUCAAGUUGAUACAAUAAUUAUGAAUCUAUUUUCGGUUUCUGCAAAAGCACACAACCUAAAAACAAAAAAAUCUUGACAGCCUAAUCUAUAUCUCUUAUAAAGCUAAUGCCCACUACAAGUUCUAUCUUAACAUGCCGCCUUAUAUCUUUUAUAGAAAUGUAUUUGAUUUCUAACAAAGCGAAUUGCAUUAGGUUUAAAUAUAUCAAUUCAUCAAUAAUAUCUAUAAUGAAACUAUAAAUAAUAAUAAAAUAAUACAUAAGUAAAUGGAUAAAUUGAAGUAUUAGAUAAUUUACAACAACAAAUAUAUUAGGUUUAAUCUAAAUUAGAAAAUAUUUCUGACCGGCUCCGUACGGUGCUCCGCGGCCGGGGACGAGGGUCGGGGACGAGGGCGUCGGUGCCGGGGACGAGGGUCGGGGACGAGCUUUCGUCGCUGCCGGAGAAGGAGAGCUCGGCGCGGUGCUCCGUACGGUGCCGGAGAAGAAGACGGUGCCGGGGACGAUGGUUGGCGGCGGCGGCGGCGGCGGCGCUCCUGUUGAUAUUUGUUAACGCCAUCAGAAAAUGAUCCGCAAGCGCACGGAUAUCGGUGAGCACUUCUCCGGCACCGUAUAUCGUAUUUAUAUUUUUACCAUUGGGAGAAAGUGUGCAUCUAACUAACCAAAUCUAUUGCUACUACCCUUUAUGCUACAAACAAUGUGAUUUGAUGUCAGCGAUGUAUAGAGAAAACAACAAGUGUACCCUCGUUCUAACCUUGGUAAGGAUGAUCUACUGUUCUAUUGGGGAGGCUUACGAAAUCUAGACAACACAAAGGAUGUUCGACCCGCUCCUAUAAACCCUAUCGAUCCUGCUAACGGGAUUAUGGGCUACAAAGGUAACUCAGAAAUGUCACGUUCCUCGCUACUACCGCGGUCCGGCUAGACAGGGGAUAUCUAUGAGUAUCCUAGCCCAAACACCACAUUUACGCUAGAGAUGAUUACUCUAAACUCUACGCGAAGAGAUCAAAGUAAACUCAUAAACCAAAGAACAAUAAAACAAAGAACUUACUAGAAUUUAGAAGUCGAAAUAUUUAAGAAUCCUAGGAGCAAGCCUCGGGUUAGGAGACUUAAUCCCGCGGGUACAACCUCGGAGUAGACACCGACAGACCGGGCUUCCUCCGAUCUACACCUCCACUCUAUCUCUCUCAAUCUAGUAGAACUAAUUCUACUCUCACAUUGGAUGCUAAGCCUUAUGAGGUUGGAACCCUAAAGGAACCUCUCUCUGAAUCCUCUCUGAAAAAUAUGCUAAUGAAUAAUGGGGAUUGCCCUCCUCCAGGGGCCAGGGCGCCUGCUUAUAUAGCCCCUCCAAAUGAACGUGGGCCGUCGGAUCAAACCGACCUUAAUCGUACGGUUUUCCUUAAUCCUUUAGGUCGGUGGAGCAUAAUAAGCGAGGUGGAGCCUGAUUGGCUGAGACACUUGGGCGGGCGCCCAAGGGGGGAGGGCGGGCACCUUGCCGUCGGUAUUUUUGGUAUGAGGCAUAGUAAUAUUACCUUCUCUCUCACCCUACUCUAAUAAGGUUUUGAUUUCUGGAGCUCAUAGGUGGAAGAUAAAGCAUACAUACUUACAAGACAUUUACUGCAUAGUCAAACCAUGGAUCCAGAGAAACAAGCCAAUAAGUCAAAUCAAUAUGUGCAUGUGUGGCGAAUGAAUGGUGUAUGGUGAUAACAAUGGUGAAAGUCUAAUUCUACUUUUGCUCUUUUAAGGGGAUACAUACCUUUCUUGCACUUUGAAGCUUUUUGAGGAGAAUGAGAUGCUCUAUAUUUUCUUUUUCUUUUCUCUCAGGUAGAUAUCUUGUACCCCUAAUUCUACUGUCGGACACUUGUCCAUUUGUACCUCUCGUCUCACUUUUUCUUUUCUUCGAGGUUCCGGACACUUGCCCCUUUUUAUUUCCUCGUAUUUUCCCUUUUUUUCAGAGCACUCACCCUCCUAGAAUAAUGUAGCAAGUGGUAGUAACCAAAAUAUCUCGAGCAUUUAUUUCACAGAGAAUAACAGGGAUAGGAAAAAGUUUUUGGCUAUUCUCCUCCGGAUUUGGAGUAGAAUACUUUUGGGUGGCUCUGGAGAUGGAAAUGAGUGGAUAUAUGUGGAUGCGUACUUCCGGAGUAGAAGCAGCAUGUGUGAGUGAACGUGCAAGUGAAUCUUGAUUUUAACCGCAUGACAAACUUCUAAGGGUCUACACAGCUUGACCACACUCAAUGCUCAUAAGCAGUAAAAAGUAAAUGUAUGGUUCUUAGUCUAAUAAUCAUGUAUGUAUGGCUGUGGUAGGAAUUUAAACACUUAUCAUAUAGGAACUCAUCAUGUGUUAUUUUAAAGAUUUUUAAAGAUAAAAUUCUCCAGAAUUCUAGCAUCUCUAGGAACACAUAAACAGUAGCUCAACCUUCCCAUAUCAUAUCCGUUAACAACUUAGACUUCAGAUCAAGUUAUUUUCCCACAAGUUCAGGUUUAGAGCAGGUUUAAAUUAUAACAGUUAUGCCUAAACUUGAGAGAGAGCUCAAACUUGAAAACUAGGUACGUGGCAGAGCAAUUAUUUAUCAUAUCCAUGUUAGAGUUUAUCUUUUAAGUUCAGUUUGGCCUAGACACUUUAUUUAUUUAUUUAGCAAACUAAGCAAAGAUAUAUAAGCACAAAAAUAUUUAUUUGAUUUUUUCAUGGUUAUGUAUAUUUUUUUUAUUUUAAUACAGUAUAAGUAUAAAUGUGGAUAGAAAUACUUAGCGGGAUAAAUAGGGGUGCUUUCCCCAAACUGGAUUUUGACGUAAUUUCUUCUGAUGUAGCAGGCAGGUGGUGGAGGUGUAUUUGAAUGUCGGCAGCACCCCGACAACGAUUAGAAUGUCCUCCGUCUGCUAGUCUUCUUGAUCUUUGAAUUCUGUGGAGCUCAAAUAGACAACAAAGCUUUGUGGAACUGGUUAAGUGUUAGCAUAAAAUCUCUUAGCCUUUAUCAUAUUGAGAUUCCUCCUAAUAAAUUUUAUUUAUUUAGUAGGAUCAUGCACUUAUUCUUUUUAUAUUUUUAUUGUAAGAUGAAAACAUAUUUAUUUUAUGCCACCACAGUCAAUAUACCUAUGGGUUUUAAACCAUAAGUCUACUCACAUGGGGCUUUAGAUUUUAUGAUGCAGUGCAAUUAACAAAUAUUUUUCUUUUCUUUUCUAAUGUUAAUAUGGAAAAGUAAAUUUGCUAAUGCAAGUGAUGAAAUAAAAAGGAAAAGGAAUGCAGAAAAUAUAAAUAUGGAUAAAUACCGAUUUUACCUUCCGGCAAGGAUCCAAUGUUUUAAGUCUUCUGGACAAGACUUCUCACCGUGUUUAUCCUUUAGGUGCAUCAUUGAUUAGGUGUGGGCCUUGACAUCUGUACCUCUUGAUACAGUGUCACCCAUGUUCUUCGUUUGUCCAGCAGUUCGAGGUGCGGCAUUGGCAGCAUCCUGCUCAGUGUGUUUGUGCUCGUAGAUCCAAGUCCUUCACUUGGUGGAAUCUGGGAGUUGUAAAACUCCUUCAGGUUUUGCUCGAAGUGUACCUGCUCAUAGAGACAAGGCAGAGAUCAAGUGCAUGGGCCCUGUUGGUAAAAAACACCAACAGAACCAAAAGUGUAUUUGUUCUUCUCUAACCUUAAGCAUAGUGAGCAAGACAAAGUUGAUGGAUAAUAAGAUCAUGAGUGUAGCAUUUAAAACAUUUGUCAGAUCAGGUCGCUCGUCCUAAUGGAAAGAUAAUCUAUCUAUAUUUAUGUUUUUUUAUAUCUUCCAAAGAUUGAAUGUGUAACAUUUUAGCUUAUAUGAUUAGGAGUGUGGGAUCACGAAGGUAGUACUAAGAACAAAGAUUAAAGGACUAAACAUGUUGAAUUAAUUGGGUUGGUUAAUUUAUGUUUAUCUCUUUAUUCAUGUGAACGCCAGAACCAAGGAAAAGCUUAUAAGAGUGAUAGUCAAGUACCUUAAGAUGUUACCUUACUUGAAGAGUGAUGGUACAGUAUCACCUUGUGGAAGCUUUCCUUUCUUAGCGGUUGUGCACCGUGUUUGUGGCACUCUUUGUCUCGUUCCAUGGAUUAUCUCUCUAUGAUGAAUGACCUAUGUCUUCCUUGUGCAAAUCGUUAAACUUCAUGUGUCUCCUUUGUCUCCAAUGUGAGUUUGUAUCUCAGGACUUCCCAGGUUGAUAUUGAAAGUAGUCCGACAAAAUAUACCAAUGUCUACACAAACAGUUUUUAGUUCAGUAACCAAAGUAGACUCCAUGUCUAAUCACAUUAAGGAAGGCUAUUUAACCUAAGCACCACGCUUAAUUUAAAUGCCAAUGGAAGUAUAUCGAGUACUUCCAAACCAACACUUGCUUGUGAAUAGACAAAGGUAGCAUGACAGCAUUUAUAGAGAUCUACUCAGGUGGAGAUGAAAAAUAAGUUUAGUGUUUAGAAAAAUUGAGCAUGCCUCAAUAGUAGGGACAACCAACAUAGCAACAUGGCAAAGGAUAUUCUUAUGUAUGGUCUUUCCCCCAAGCUUGAAUUUUGCAAAAUUCAAGAUUGGAUGAAUUUAAUUCAAUGUUGCAUGAUGAUUGGUUGGGCAUACCUUGCGCUUGUCAUUCCCCGGAUCUUCUUGCUCCAAUCCUAGAAAGGUUAGUGACACGAAUACCCGAAGGAAUAUUUCCACAAUUAUCUUUAUAUGCUCAAUACACAAGGCAAUGUUGCAAAUAAUUAAAAGUUCAUGUUACGAUCUGAUAAGUGCUUGUUUUAGGACACUAAGCUUGUCCUUGGGAAACCAUCAAAUUAUGUUGGUGAAGUGGUUUCCCCUCCAACACCAACCUAAGCGAGGCUUACAUCGGUGGUGUGCCUUACUUUAAAAUGCUUUCGUUUCUUUCUAACUGGGUGAUUCAUAGAAAGAAAUCGACGAUACCCAAGGUACACGACCUUUCUGCAUUUUUUCAAAUAUAUGCUAUCAAGGUCAUCAAAAUAGUGUGUGCAUGCAUUAUAUCCCUUGUUUGUCAGCCCUGAAAGAUUACUUAGAGCAGGCCAAUCAUUGAUUGUCACAAACAACAGUGGUCGCAGGUCGAAGUGUUCCUGUUUGUACCCAUCCCACACACGAACACCUGUUUCAUUCUAUAAAAGAAGGACAUUGUACAUCCAAUGACGUGUCAUUGUCUGUAUUGCAACAUAAAGUAUUAUAAGUUUCUAAUUUUUUAUACAGAAAUUAAUUAAAGUAACAAAUAACCUAAAAUUCUCUAUUUCUAAUUUUUCUAAACCAGCAAAAUUUAAAAGACAUAAAAGUUCUCUAUUUUUCUAACUAAUCAUGAAAUGUGGCAUGCAUACUAGUUAUAAUUAACUAAUUAACCGUGUCAUAAAUUGCAAAUUAAAGAAAUAUAAGUUUCUAAUUUUUAAUAGAGAAAUUAAAGUAACAAAAAACCUAAAAUUCUCUAUUUCUAAUUUUUCCAAACAAGCAAAAUUAAAGAAGCACAAAAGUUCUCUAUUUUUAUAACUAAUCAUGAAAUGUGGUAAUGCAUACUAGUUAUAAUUAACUAAUUAACCUUGUCAUAAAUUGAAAAUUAAAGUAUUAUAAGUUUCUAAUUUUUUAUACAUAAAUUAAAGUAACAUAAAACCUAAAAUUCUCUAUUUCCAAUUUCUCUAAACAAGCAAAAUUAAAAAAACACAAAAAUUCUUUAUUUUUCUAAAUAAUCAUGAAAUGUGGUAUGCAUACUAGUUAUAAUUAACUAAUUAACUCGGUCAAAAAUUGCAAAUUAAAGUAUUAUAUGUUUUAAUUUUUUUCUUAACUAACUAAAAUAAAAAAACAUAGAAUCACUAUUUUUCUAAAAAAAUGCGUCGAUGUUGAGAAGACGAUGAAGCUAGUGACCUCUUAAAAAAACCAUAAAAUAAAAAACAACAUACAUAACACUAGGAAACGACAUAUGCCGCUGCUAAAUGUUGAGAAGAUGAACCUAGUGACCUCUUAACAAGUCGAUGACGGCGUAGAAAUUAUGAAAUGAAUCAAUAGCCGAAGAUGAGAGCAAGAACAAGCAACUGCAAAUGAAGAAUACAGCAAAAGAGUGAAGAUCGAUGGGCUCGACCAGGGGAAGAAGAAGAGUUCAAAUAUGGAGAAGGACAUUUAGUCCCGGUUCCAUUUAACAAUCGGGACUAAAGUCCAACAUUAGUCCCGGCCGGUGAGACAGACCGAGACAACAACUUUUAAUCCCGGUUGGUGUUACCAACAGGGACUAAAGGCUGGGCUUUAAUCCUGGUUGGGGAUACCAACCAUUACUAAAGGUCCCUUCUGCUGAUCUCUGACACCAUAAUCGUUGGGCAGGGGACUUUUAGUCCCGGUUGUUCUCACCAAUCGGAAGUAAAGUUAUUUUUAUCCCGGACGCUGAUUGGGCCGAGGUUAUUGUUCACUUUGUUCAAGUGACGAAAGACCUGUUCUGUAGUAGUGGCCUCUUCUAUGCUAAGUGGCUAGCUCUUCUGGUGUAGCUGGAGAAAAGAUGGUUUAUCCUAAAAUGUUGCUCCAAGUAGGACUACUGGAGCUAGGUAAUAUACGAGUCUCGCACUACCAAAAUGUUAGAGUGCUCCUAGUACUUUUGAGUAUUAAUAAAAUAAUAUAAUAACUAGUCAUAGCACAUGAAAAUCCUCACUAGGAGGCAUUUUGUGAGGAAAGUUUAUGCUAAAUGUUGAAUGCCUAAACACAAGAAGAAAUCCACAUCAUUAGAAAGAAAUUGCAGAUUUUAGUACAUUCAUGUUAUCGUCAUGCAUAUAUGCACUAUAUUAUAUGUAUACACUCGUUGGUACUGACAAUGUAGAUUUAAACUGUGCGCGGAUGCAGCUAGUAGGUGCUGUUACAAGCUGAGCACUACGGAAGUCACAGUCAAUCUCUCACAGAGCUAGGACGUCCGUCCGACGGUUUCACCAACUGCCAUGCAGGUCGUAAGACAGUUUCACCUACUGCGUGUACCGGCGUACGUUCCCCGGCGCUCACCUCUCGAACACACUGGGUCAGUGCCACUGCCAUGCAUGUGCUCCGUAGCUAUGUUUCACAAGUUUGACCCCUUCGUGCUUGCGCAUGCACCGGCUUAGCUGCUCAGCCUGCCAACUCCAGCCAUGCACGUACCUGGCAAUCAUUCACAGAGUGGCGCCCUAACAUCAUCGUUUUCGUAAGUAACGUUGUUCCCAGUAUCUGCGACCAGGUCAUGGAUGCCAUGCAUGCAUGCAUUUUCUGAAUUCUGAUCGGCUAUACACACAGGAGAAAGUUAGCAGGUCACAUGUUCCCCGAAACACGCCCACAAUUCUGACAGCGGAAACAGUAUGACACGUAUAUGUACACAUGCAUCCAACUCCAACAAUGUACAGCAGGACACCACACAUGUGGCCCUUUAAGUAAAGCCAAAAAAAAACAGCUUUCUCUGUUGCUUCAUCACACGACAGAGACGAUCUCCUGUUGGCCUAUAUAAAGGUGGUCAUGGACGAACCCAUAAGGUCAACAAAAACUCUCCCUAUCUCUACCACAAAAACAGCGAGCACUGACGGCUUAUAUAUAGCUCUAGCUCUUUUGCGUCGAUCAGUGCCUCAUCAGCACCCUGACAUUGCAUGCCAUGGCUCACUCCACCACCUUGGCCCUGCACCUGCUGGUCGUCGUCGUGAUGGCGCUCAUCUUUGUUGCCUCGGCCAGUGUCUCCGCUCCCGUCAACAAGUCGUGCGUCACCGGUAGCGCCGGCGCCAGUGUGAGCAUUGGCUACGGCGGGGCAAGGGCCAGCGCCGGCGCUGGCGUGUCCCUUGGUGCCGACGCGUACAGGACCACCUGCCCCCGCGCCGAGGAGGUCGUCCGUGCGGCCGUUGAGUGGGCCGUCGCUGCCGACCCACGCAUGGCUGCGUCUCUCCUGCGCCUCCAUUUCCACGACUGCUUCGUCAACGUAAUAGGAGUUGAUCAAGCGAUCGAGCUAGCUCCUCCAACUCGAAACCACACACACAUGGUCGAUCGAUCUGCAUGCUUUAUAUAUAUAUUUCUGUGACUUGGCUGCCUGCUGUUUUAAUCUGUUGUCAGGGUUGUGAUGGCUCCGUUCUUCUGGACGACAAGCCGUUUCUCGUUGGCGAGAAGACGGCUGUGCCCAACGCCAACUCGCUCAGGGGCUUCGAGGUCAUUGACGCCAUCAAGGCCGAGCUGGAGCGGGAGUGCCCAGAGACAGUCUCCUGUGCCGACCUCCUUGCCAUCGCUGCCCGUGAUUCCGUCGUCGUGGUAAGGACGACGUAGCAUACAUAUGCAUUGAUCGGUCAUACUGUACAUCUUUUCAAGUCGCAUCUUUUUUCCUACUGUAUAUAUAUAGUGAGUGAUCAUCGUUUGUUGCAUCAUCAUCAUUAAAUUGUCCGGCGGCCGGUGGAUCAGUCGGGCGGGCCGAGCUGGGAGGUAGAGGUCGGCCGGAAGGACAGCCGCACCGCCAGCCUGCAGGGUGCCAACACCAACCUACCAGCACCGACGUCUGGCGUCGCCACCCUCGUGCAGAAGUUCAGGAACGUCGGUCUUUCUGCCAAGGACAUGGUCGCACUCUCCGGUAAGUAUAUAUUACACAUCAUAUAUACACGCUCUCUCUUCACGAAUCUCUGCAUACAUGCAUACUCGGCCGGCACACGUACAUGUAUACGUACGUGCAGACUAAAUAAAUACUAAUUUACAUUAAUACUAAUUCACAUGAAUGUAUACACAGGCGCGCACACGAUCGGGAAAGCGCGGUGCACUUCGUUCAGUGCGCGCCUUGCGGGCGUCGGCGGCGUCUCGGAAGGCGGCGUCGGCGCAUUCAAGGACCUAACCUUCCUGCAGUCGCUGCAGCAGCUGUGCACGGGGUCGGCUGGAUCGGCGCUGGCGCACCUGGACCUCACCACCCCAGCGACCUUCGACAACCAGUACUACAUCAACCUGCUCUCCGGCGACGGCCUGCUGCCGUCAGACCAGGCACUAGCGUCGUCGUCGGGUGUCGCGCCGGGGGUUGAGGCGGACGUCGCCAGCCUCGUCGCCAUCUAUGCCUUCGACGCCUCUGUAUUCUUCCAGGACUUCGCAGAGUCCAUGCUGCGGAUGGGGAGGCUUGCACCAGGCGCGGGCACCAGUGGCGAGGUCCGCCGGAACUGCCGGGUGGUGAACAUCUCCGGCUAGCUAGAUCCAGUCACCAAUGCAAGUUUCCUAAUAAAAGCCAUGCAUGCUCACGUUCAACUCUCUAGUCCAUGCGGCUUGGAUUAUUGCUCCUAUGUUAUAUCAGCUAAUUCAGUCCAAUAAGUUUGUUUUGUUUCAAUUAAUUUUAGUUUCUGCUUUGAGUUUAUUUGGCAUGAGAAUUAUGGUGGGGAUCGUUUAAAUAGUUACUAGUCGGUCUGUGUGAUGUACUUUCACCGUCUAUGUGAUGUACUCUCUCGUUUCAAAAUAAUUAAUAAUGUUCCGAGGUUUACAAUCUGUCAAUUAACAUUUCACAUAAACAUGGCACACUGCCUUCUAUGUGGAUGCUAAUACGGAUGCAUGCCCAAAUCUAUGAGAUAUCCUUUUUGUGAUUAGGAAAGAAUGUGAUGCUGGUUAUAUAUAUGUGCGCCUUUUGUCAACGUUCUUAAUUGAUAUGAAAAUGUUGACAAAGUUCAUUAUUUUGAGAUGGAGUAAUGAUGUAUGCAAGCCGUCUUGGAAAGUACCAAAAGUUUAAUAAUUAAUCUGGAGGUACUAAGUUUGAAUGAAUUUUAGAAAGAAUCCUUUUUGCUCAAGCAUUCUAAUUCUCUCUCACGAAAGAUAGAAAUAGGAGGAACUUGCUAUUGAUAAAGUGAACUCGGAUCAAAUUGAGUGUGUUGAAAUAUCAUGUGAGAUGUGUGAGGGGCGACGAUCUAUUCCAUUCAAUUUUUUUUGAAAGGAUCAAGAUACCCAAGAGGGGGGUGAAUUGGGCUUCUCUAAAAGUUUAAGCAACCUAUAAGCUCCAAUUCAACCCCUUGUGCCUAGUGUGACCUAGAGAGAUUCCGGAUAAAAGUUUUGCAACCUAGUUCCAAUCCUAUUCUAGCAAGACAAUUCUAAGAAUGUAAAAGCACAAAGUAAGUGCUAGAAUGUAAAGGAGUAGUGGAAGAAAAUGCUCGGCGAUGUUUUUCCGAGGUAUCAGACAGUCGCCACUCUUCACUAGUCCUCGUUGGAGCACCCGCGCAAGGGUCUUGCUCCCUCUUGGUCCGCGCAAGGACCAAGUGCUCUCUACGGGCUGAUUCUUCGACACUCCGUCGCGGUGAAUCGCCCAAAACCGCUCACAAGCUUGACACGAGCCACCCACAAGAACUCCAGGCGGUCUUCGUGUCUCCAAUCACCACCGAACCGUCUAGGUGAUGGCGAUCACCAAGAGUAAAAAGCAAAGAACUCUCACUUGACCCAAACAAGGCUCUAGAGAGUGGUGGAUGCACACUUGACUCUUGGAACUCACUAGAGAAGGAUUCUCUCAAGAAAUCACUCAAAUCUCAAUCCUCUCUAGGCUCUUCCUACUCUCUUUCUCCACAACAAGUUUCUCAGAUGUUCAAAUGGGCAAGAGACCUCUCAUGGACGAGGUGGAGUAUAAAUAGUACCCACGAAAUCCAAAGGUCAGCCAACCGUUCUCCACUGAAAACAGGGUCACCGGACGCUCUUUAUGUUGCACUCGACGCUCUGCAUCGAGCGUCCGGUGCUCCAUAACGGCUAACUGUACUUGCGUCUGGCAGGUCACCGGACGCUAACUCUCAGCGUCCGGUGGCACCGUCCGGUGCUCCGGGGAGUUUUACAUGCUCCCUGCGCAUGGGACCGGACGCUACCCGGUGCGUCCGGUGCUAGCGUCCGGUGCUCAGGGCAGGUUUACAACCUCCCUGGGUAUGGGACCGGACGCUGCCCGGUGAGUCCGGUGCCAGCGUCCGGUGCUUAACCCUAAGCACCGAGAACUCCCAACGGCUAAAGACCUCACCGGACGCACUCACAGAGCGUCCGGUGCAGCGUCCGGUCCCCCCUUGGGCACCCUAACUUCGUCGAAACACGAUUGCUCCAAAAUGAAGUUUGUUCCUCUCGAUCUAAGGACUGUCUCUGAGCUGCCUAGUGCUAGAUUUACCAUGUGUGCACCACACCUAAACCUAAAGCCUUGCCUAAGUCAAGCUACUAGAUCAAAGCCCCUCUUAAUAGUACGGUCAAAGGAAAACAAAGUCCUAAACUACUCUAAGUGCCCUUCUUCACCAUAUGGCACUUAGACCUAGUCUAGUCUUGACGAUGUCCAUCCAUCAUUUGAAAACCGAAACGAUUUCCACUAUUAAGUAGGCAUAUACGUCCCUGUCCAUCGAGUACCUAUUCCCAUGACCUUACCUAUGACUUUGCCUCUGCAAAACACACGUUAGUCAUAGUAAUCAAUAUUGUCAAUAAUCAUCGAAAUCACUAGGGGCCUAGAUGCUCUUUCAAUCUCUCCCUUUUUGGUGAUUGAUGACAAUAACCUCGAGUAUGAAAGAGUUGACGUUUUCACAUGACUUGGUUUCAGUAAGCAUGAUACAAUAAGAACAAAGGGAUUAGGCAUGCUUAUAUCAACCAAGUCCAACAUCCUGCAUCCAAAUAUGUGAGUGAAGCACAACAGGAUAAAAACACAAGGCUCAUAAGCAUAUCGAAGUAAAACGCGGAAGCAAAAGUAAUAUGAGCCAAAACACAUGACAUUAAGAUAUCACAAUUAAGCACAAGUCAUAUCUCACAACCAUAGUGUAUCUCACACAAAUGCAAUGCAUAAAGAAAAACGUGAUGCAUGAUGGAGUAGCACACAAAAGAGUAUAUCAAAAGAAUAAAAGCCCUCUCUAGCUCUCUAGCUCCCCCUAACUCUCAUACUCACAACCCUCUCUCCCCCUUUGGCAUCAAGCGCCAAAAACCUAAGAAGACGGUGGAGGAGGCGGAGCAGUGGAGUCCCUCGGCACGGCCUCAAAGCGAGCUGCAUCGUCUGAACCGUCGGCCGUCGAGGCGGAGGAGGUAGAGUGACCCUCUGAAGCUGCACGAGCUGGCGAAGCGGUCUGGGUCUGCUCUGGAGGCACUGAAGCUAUCACCGGCUGUACGGGCUGCUCGAGUCCUACUGACGAAGCUGGCACGGACUCGGUCGCUGUAGCUGACGUCUCGGGCACGGUAGAAGACGUUGCAAGGUGCUCGGACGACGCUACAGACGACGACAGAUGCUCUAUGGUGGUAACUGGCGCCGUAAAUGCUACAGGAGCCUAUAGAGGUGGAGGCGUAGGGUCACCAGUUAGAGCACUGUAGGUGAAGCUGAGGUGCGGGUCUGUCGACGAGUCCAACACAAGCUGUGACGCUGUCGCUGACUGAGGUGUAAAGCCUGAGCGGAGAGGCGUGAACUGGGGUACCUGCUCAAAGCCAGAGGAGAUAGCACCCUGGGAGACCUAGUGCUGAGGCUUCGAAAAUGGCUGACUCUGAGCAGGAAGCUGUGGAGGCUGCUGUGACUGACUCUGUGGAGCUGGAGUAGACGGCCUGACAGACGAUGUGCCUAGAAGCUGAAUCUGUGGAAGCUGAAUCCCUGAGGCGGCCAUAAGAGCGGCCAUCAUCGCUGUCUGCUGAGCCUGAAAGGCUAGGAACUGCCGCUAAAGCUCAUCCUGACGAGCCUGAAUCACUGCAUUUAUCGCAGCCUGAUCCCUGUCCCUCCCGGCCUGCUCCUCAGCUGCUCUGCGCUGGUCAGCUCUCAUCCCCUCUAGUAUGGCGAGCAGAGCAGGGUCCGUAGCACUCGAGGAACCGCCUGCCUCGUGGUCGUGUGCCCUCGGGGGAAGGUCUGACACUGGAGGAUGAUAGUCAUCGUCCGAGCUGUCCGAAGCGAAGUCAAACUCUCCUUCAACCUCAGCAUCUGCAAAAGCUCCAAUGGCUAUGUCCUGCUGCUCCUCAGUCUCUGGAACUGCUCCUAAACUGCGAGUGCCCCUAGGAGAAGGUGGGGGCAUAGGGCCACGUGGUGCACGAGGAGGUUGAGUAGCACGGAGGUCGUGGUGUGCUCGCAGCAUCUGCCAGGGGUCGUAGUGAGGGAAGACGGUGUCCGAGUCUGUCAGCUCUCUCUGUAGGUGAGCCGGAAGAGGUACUGGCCUAGCACGAAGAAUAAGCAAGGUCAUCCAAUGUGCAUACAGCAGCUGACGCCGUCCCCUGAAGCUCUCUGAGAUAGUGUCCUCGAUCUCUGAGACUAUCAAGUCCCACAAGUCAAACGGUGUCUGUGAGAUGAGGUGAGCUACGAGCCACUCCUGGAUACGAGUGAAGCCAUCUCUAUAGCCUGUACUGGGGAGGAGUGUCUUCCUCAGCACGAAGUCGUGGAUCCUGGCUGGGCGUGUCAAGUCUCCCACUGUCCGCCUGGAGCCCUCUCCAAAAGGUGGACGGAAACAAGGAGCCACAAAGUCAACCGGUGGUAUCUCACCACCAUGAGGACGUCGAGGGGGCUCGAAGUUCCCGUAGCACAGUUGGUGAAUCCUAGUGGAGUAAGCUCUCAAGCCAAGCACCUCUCUGGCCCUCUGUGCUGUCACUCUAUAACCUGUCCCUACCAGUGCAUAGUGGAUAUAACUGUGAUCUAGAGAAACCCACACUGAAGCAUAGAACUCUCUGACCCACUGCUCACAGUAAGUGCCAGGUAAAGCUAGUAACUCCGAGAGACCCUGGAGGUAUAUGAAAUACUGACGGAUCACUCUGUGCUCCCUGAACUGAGACUGUGAGCGAACCAGUGCCUCGUAGAUGUCCUCCUGUACCACUGUGUAGAACUUGGCACCGACUCGUGGAUCCCUAGCAGUUGGAAACCAAGUGGGAAAGGGAACGAACCGCAGCUGCUGGAUCUCUCUAGCUGACACGAGAGUGAGAUCCCUGUGAAUCCUGACUGGUCCCUGACGAGGAGCUGGUGUGCCUCUAGCUGGUGUAGCACGAGCAGCGGAGGUAGACUGGCCCUGCGUACCAGUCCGAGGAGUGGCCUGAGUACGAGUGCGGGUCGACCUCCUGAGGGGCUGCUCCUGCUCCUGUGCCUCUACUAGACCCUCUGCCUGGGCCUCUGCCUCUGUGUCUAUGUCUGGGUCCUCCUGAGCUGGAUCUCUGACAUUUAUCCUGACACGCUGCCCUCCUAUCAUGAUGGUGCCUGGAGGUGAUCCAUGACGAGCCUUGGCCUCAAGAACGGCACGCCUCUGACGUGGCGUGAGAUCAGCCCCUAUCCUCAAAGCACCUGACCGUCCACCCCUCUCAGCUGCCUCUGCUGCUGCUGCAACUGCCUCGGCCACCUCUGGCUCUCUGUCGCUGGCCUUGCGCUUCUUGGUGGCUAGCUUCUUGCCCUUGCCCUUCUCUACCGCUGACAGGCGACGGGGAGGAUCACCUCCACCAUCACCUCCUGGAGAACCUCUGCUGGACCGCUGACGUUCUUGCAACGUGCCAUUGUAAGAAUAGCUGACUGAACGAACUGCCGACAAAUAGCCAACUAACAAAGGAGAUCAACACGGAUCCAAGGACGAGAUGCGUUCCGGAUGAGAUGUCACGAUCGAAGACUGUCGGAGAACAUGAAUCAUCUCCUCAAGGUGCCAAACCCUAACCACCCCACAGGAAAGAAAUCCCUGCACGAGGAGAGGGAAAGGAGGAGGCCUGGAAGAGGAUCUGCGCGAGGGUGAAGCUUCGAGGUCACCGGAGAAAACGUGAAUCAUGGCGGCGGCGGCGAGCUAGGGCACGGGGCGCCUGGACGAGAUCACGAGAGGAGAAGAAAAACUACCGAUCCAAACACCCCGGCCGCGGGUUAUAUGCGGCCUCCAUGGGGUCACCGGACGCACUUAAAGUGGCAUGCGUGGUGAGCACCGGACGCACAUCACCGGACGCUGUAGGGACACUGUUCCUGCGUCCGGUGAGUGCAGUCUGGCACACUCACCGCACCGGACGCACGGAGACAUCGUCCGAUGCAUCGUCCGGUGCACCUCUGAGUCCUGUUUCAUCUUAGCACUACGUCCGAAUUUUGACCCAACCAAUUUCCAUCUUCAAAAACACACAGAUGAACACCAAAUGGAACUGGUAUGAGUUACUUCUCUCAAACCCUCAAUUUUUCACAAAUAUUUAGCCAUAGGCUUAGUAGUUUUUAUGAAAAUAAUUUGAGAAAUCACCAAGGAGCAUCAUAUGGCCAUAAAGCUAGGGGUUUUAAUCACAAUGAGCUUUGAAUGCUCCCCCUAUCUAUGGACGAACAUAAUGGAUGCUCAAAGAAUAACCGAAAAGAAACGGUCAACUAACAAGCAUGCAUAUGAUAUGAGGUGAAAUGCAAUACUUGAAAGUAAACUAAUGCUUGUCAAGUUUGAUCCAAGGUUAAGCUUUUUCACACACACAAGGGGGUUAUCUUAACUAUGUUAGACAAGCCCUACAUGCAAGUUUGGUAUUUUAGUUUUAGUAUGCAUGAUAUGCAAAGCAAAAGCUAUUUACAAGUUUCAACACACAACUUUAUAUUUUAGUGAAGUUAGAGAGAUCAAGCACAUUUAGUUCAUUUCUCAACAUACAAAACCUAGCUUCAUCUAGGGGUUUUGUGAAGAUAUCCGCCAAUUGAUUUUCCAUUCCUACAUUCUCUAGAGAUAUGUCACCUUUAGCAACAUGAUCCCUAAGGAAGUGGUGGCGGAUGUCAAUGUGUUUUGUGCGGGUGUGUUCAACCGGGUUGUUUGCAAGUUUUACGGCACUUUCGUUGUCACACAACAAAGGUACUUUGUCUAGUACUACUUCAUAGUCUAGCAAAGUUUGUUUCAUGUAGAGUAUUUGUGCACAACAAGCACCAGCGGCAAUGUAUUCCGCCUUGGCCGUUGACAAGGCAACACUAUUUUGUUUCUUUAACAUCCAAGAGACAAGUGAUCUACCUAGGAAAUGGCACCCUCCGGAUGUGCUUUUUAUAUCAAUCCGGCACCCGGCAUAAUCCGAAUUGGAAUAGCCUACAAGUUGGAAUCUUGCACCUUUGGGAUACCACAAACCUAGGCAAGGUGUGUAUUUUAGAUACCGAAGAUUCUCUUGACCGCAAUAAAGUGAGAUUCCAUAGGCAUUGCUUGAUAUCUUGCACACAUACACACACUAAACAUGAUAUCGGGCCUAGAUGCGGUGAGGUAGAGUAGACUUCCUAUCAUGGAGAGAUAGAGAGUCUUGUCAAUUGGGUUACCUCCCUCAUCCAAAUCGAGAUGCCCAUUUGAUGCCAUGGGAGUCUUGAUUGGCUUGCAAUCCAUCAUCUUGAACCUCUUGAGAAGAUCUUGAGUGUACUUCUCUUGAGAGAUAAAGACUCCUUCCUUCAUUUGCUUGACUUGAAAUCCUAGGAAGAAGGAUAGCUCACCAAUCAUGGACAUCUCAAACUCCUUGGACAUGAAAUCACCAAAUUCCUUGCAAAAAUCUUCGUUAGUAGAGCCAAAAAUAAUAUCAUCAACAUAAACUUGGCAAAUGAAGAUUUCCCCAUUCAUUUUGUUGGUGAAGAGUGUGGUGUCAACUUUCCCAAUCUUGAAGCCCUUCUCAAUGAGGAAGUCCCUAAGCCUCUCAUACCAAGCUCUAGGAGCUUGGUUGAGACCAUAGAGAGCCUUGGACAAUCGGUAGACAUGCUUGGGGUACCUAGGGUCUUCAAAACCGGGGGUUGCUCAACAUAGACAAGCUCAUUAAUAUAUCCAUUCAAAAAAAGCACUUUUCACAUCCAUUUGAAAUAACUUGAUAUCAUGACUAGAUGCAUAUGCAAGUAGGAUACGUAUUGCUUCAAGUCUUGCCACCGGUGCAAAGGUUUCACCGAAGUCAAGACCUUCCACUUGUGAAAAGCCUUUUGCCACGAGCCUUGCCUUGCUGCGCACCACUUUGCCUUGAUCAUCCUUCUUGUUCCAGAAGACCCACUUUGUUCCAAUCACUCUUGCAUCUUUGGGUCGCUCUUCAAGUGUCCAUACUUGGUUGCGAGAGAAGUUGUUCAACUCCUGUUCCAUGGCCAUGAUCCAAUCCGCAUCACGAAGAGCUUCCUCUAUAGUCUUUGGUUCAUCUUCAAGGGACACAAAAGCGUGAUGUUCAAUAAAUAAAGCAUAUCUAGAACGAGUAGUUACACCACGUGAUGGACUCCCGAUGAUGAGAUCUUGAGAGUGAUCUUGGAGGAGAUGUGAUGUUCUUCUUGGCGCCACUUGAGGGGUUGGUUGGGGAGCAUCAACAUCUUGUGCUUGUGCCACCGCUUGUUCAUGAGUGACUUGAGUGUCUUCAUGAGCAUAUCUCACAUCCUUGUCUUCAUCUUGUGGAACAUGUGAGGUGGAUGGUGGCUCAAUAAUUUGCACAUCAGCAUCAUCUUCUUUUGGAUUGAUGUUCUUUUGCAUCAAUAAUUUGCACAUCACAUUCUUUUGCAUCAAUAAUUUGCAAAUCAGCAUGUUCUUCACGGCAUCCCUCAAUGGUUCACCACCUACAUCAUCAAGAUUAUCACUUGCUCCUUGGGAGCCGUUAGUUUCAUCAAAUUCAACAUCAAAUGUUUCUUCAACCAUGUUUGUGGCAUGCUUAAAGACCCUAUAUGCCUUGGACUUUGAUGAAUAGCCAACCAAGUAGCCAAUGUCACAUCUUCUUUGGAACUUUCCCAAGUGUUGACGCUUCUUGUAGAUGUAGCAUUUGCAUCCAAACACUCUAAAGAAUGAGACAUCGGGCUUCUUCCCAUUGAGCAACUCAUAUGGUGUCUUCUCUAGGAACUUGUGUGGAAAGAGCCGGUUUGAAGCAUAGCAUGCGGUGUUGAUUGCCUCGGCCCACAUCUUCUCCGAAGUGUUGUACUCAUCUAGCAUUGCUCUUGCCAAGGUGAUCAAUGUCCGGUUCUUUAUUUCUACAACCCCAUUUUGUUGUGGUGUGUAUGUUGAGGAGAACUCAUGUUUGAUUCCCACUUCAUCACAAUACUCUUCAAUGUUGGUGUUGUCAAAUUCUUUACCAUUGUCACUUCUAAUUUUCUUGAUCUUGACUUCAAAUUGAUUUUGAGCAUUCUUUGCAAACUUCUUGAAUAUGGAUGCAACUUCGGCCUUAUCUUGCAAGAAGAAUGUCCAAGUGUACCGGGAGAAAUCAUCAACUAUGACCAAGCAAUAUUUGUUGCCUCCAAGACUAGCAUAUGUGGUUGGUCCAAAUAAAUCCAUGUGAAGUAGCUCAAGCACUCUUGAAGUAGAGAGAUAGGCCUUGGUUGGAUGAGUGUUUGCAACUUGCUUGACAGCUUGACAUGCACUACAAAGCUUGUCCUUCUCAAAUGUCACAUCCUUCAAGCCUCUAAUCAAUUCUUUCUUCAUCAACUUCUUGAGUGUGCCCAUUCCAACAUGUGCUAACCUUCUAUGCCACAACCACCCAAGCGAAGUCUUAGUGAAUAAACAAGUCUUGAUAAGAACUUUAUCGGAUGAGAAAUCAACUACAUAUAGAUUGUUGUGUCGGAAGCCUUUGAAUAUCACUUCAUUGUCAUCUUCCUUGGUCACUAUCACUUCCUUCUUUUUGAAUAGGCAUUCAAAUCCAAGAUCACAAAGUUGUCCAACCGAGAGCAAGUUGAAACUCAAGGAUUGCACAUAGAGCACAUUGGUGAUGGAGUUGUCAUUUGAUAUAGCAACCUUUCCUAGUCCCUUGACCUUGCCUUUUGAAUUGUCACCAAAUGUGAUCUUCUCUUGGUUGUCAACAUCUUCAUCAAGAGAGGUGAACAUCCAGGGAUCUCCGGUCAUAUGUUGAGUGCAACCACUAUCAAUUACCCAAUGUGAUCCACCGGUCUUGUAGUUCACCUACACACAAGACAUCAAGCUUGAGAUUUAGGGACCCACACUUGUUUAGGGCCCUUGAUCUUCUCUACUAGUUGCUUUGGCACCCAAAUCUUCUUUGGCCUUUGCUUGUUGGGCGGCCCCAUGAAGCUAACCUUGACCUUGCCACUCUUGUCUUUCCUUACAAUAUAGUGAGCAUUGAAGGCAAAUGGUCUUGCAUGCUUGGGCAAGGGUGGUGGUAGUGGUGCCUUACACUCAUGAGCAAAGUGUCCUUCUUGACCACACUCAAAGCAUCUCUUUGGCUUUGGCUUGCUUGGUUGAUCAUGAGUGGCUAGUGACUUGAUGAGCUUUGUUUGAUGAGCCUUGUAGCCAAUCCCACUCUUGUCCAUCUUCAUGACGGUGUUCAUGAAAAGCUCACUUUGAAGGUCCUUCCCCUUUGUGAACUUUGCUAACCCCAUGGUUAGAUGUUCCUUCUCUUUCUUGAGCUUGUUGUUCUCUUGAGUUAGCUUCUUGAUGAUUGGGUCAUUGUUGCUAGCUAACUCAUCCAAGAUGAAUGUUUCAUCUUCUUCUUGCUUGUCAUAUAUCAAACCAAGCUUGAGAUAUUGAUUUUCUUCCUUGAGUAACUUGUUCUCAUAUGCAAGCUUCUUGUCUUGAUCAAGUGACUCAAUCACAAUGGUCUUGUGCUUGGCUUGUUCUUGCAACUCUUUCUUGAGCAUGACAAUUUCAUCCUUGAGCUUGAUAGUGUCCUCAUAGCUCUCAGCCACUACCACUUUCUUGCCCUUGCAAUCAACACAUUUGCUUAUGCUCUCCACAAGUAAGUCAUCACAAGAUGUGGCUACAUCAAGCUUAGCAACAUUGUUAGUAGCAACAUGUGUUUCAUCAAUUGCAAGUUCAUAGGCAAUUUCAAGUUUGUCAUAGUUUGCUUUUAGAGUUGUUAGCUCUUCUUCUAUAUCUAGUGAUAAGCUCAUCAUGAACACUCUCAAGUUUAUCAUGUUUUUCUUUGAGCUCUUUUAAAGAGAGUUCGAGCUCCUUGAGCUUAGUGGUCAUGAUCUCAUUUUGGUCUCUAAGCUCAUCACUAGACUUAAGCUUUGCUAGAAGUGUUUCAUUUUCAAGUUCAAGCUUUUCAUUUUCACUUCUAGAUUUUCUUAUGACUUUUGUGUACUUGUUAAGCAAUUUUACAAGUUCAUCAUAAGAUGGUGGUUCAAAUUCACUAUCACUUUCACUACUCUCAUCCUCACUUUGUACCUUCCGGUCACCCUUAGCCAUGAGGCAUAGGUGUGUAGAGGAUGUAGAUGGUGGUUAAGAUGAUGGUGAGGAAGCAUCGAUGGCAAUGGCGGCAACCUUCUCAUCAUCACUCUCAUUGCCGAAGGAGUCACCACUUGAGCUCUCAAUGUCAGUGAGCCAAUCACCAACAAUGUAGGCCUUGCCAUUCUUCUUCUUGUAGUGCUCCUUCUUCUUGCCACCUUUCUUCUUGUAUUGCUUCUUGUCAUUUUUGUCAUCAUCACUUGAGUCAUCUUGCUCUUUGUUCUUCUUCUUGUAUUUAUCCUUCUUGGGCUUUGGACAUUGGUGAGCAAGAUGGCCAAGCUCACCACAAUUUUAGCAAUCCAUCUCGGAGAUGGGCUUUCUCUUGCUACUUGUGAAGAACUUCUUCUUCUUGGAGUCAAAGUUGACUCCAUUCUUGUUGAGCUUCUUCAACAUCUUUGUGGUUCUUCUCACCAUGAGGGCAAUAGAUGCAUUAUCAUCACUUGAAGUUGAUGACUCAACUUCAAUCUUCUUGGCCUUGCCCUUGUGAGAAGCUUUGAGGGCCAAGUCCUUCUUCUCCUUCUUGGCCGAUGAGGAGCCAUCUUGCGGGUUCAUGUGCAUGUACAUCCCAUGAGCAUUGAUCUUCCCCAAUAUGGCGGUUGGUGUAGCGGUGGAAAGAUCGCCUUGAUGAAGCACCGUUACUAUGUGCCCAUAUUUCUCAAUGGGAAGCACACAUAGUAUCUUCCUUGCUACAUCCGCCACACUCAUUUGAGUGAGCCCAAGUCCAUUUAGCUCCUCUACAAUGACAUUCAAGCGAGAAUACAUUUCAUUAGCAUUUUCUUUAGGAAGCAUCUCAAAUGUAUUAAGCUUGUUCAUCACUAAGUGAUAGCGUUCCUCGCGUUCACUCUUUGUUCCCUCAUGGAGCGCACAAAGUUCCUUCCAAAGAGCAUUGGCGGUUUUGUGGCUCCUAAUGCGGUUGAACACCUCUUUGCAAAGGCCUCUAAAGAUGUGGUUUCUGGCCUUCGCAUUCCACUUCUCAUUUUCUUACUCUUGUGGAGUAAGAGCGGUGUCUUUUGCCGGAGGGGUAAACCCUUCGGUCGUGGCUUUUAGGCACAUUACAUCGCAUGCCUCAAGGUAUGACGCCAUCCGUAUUCUCCAAUACGGGAAGUCAUCCCCAUUGAACAUGGGUGGCGGUCCAUCCCCGUUAGACAUCUUUCUCUAGGCGGUGAAGCCUAAAUAAUGAGCACUAGGCUCCGAUACCAAUUGAAAGGAUCAAGAUGCCCAAGAGGGGGGGGUGAAUUGGGCUUCUCUAAAAGUUUAAGCAACCUAUAAGCUCCAAUUCAACCCCUUGUGCCUAGUGUGACCUAGAGAGCUACCGGAUAAAAGUUUUGUAACCUAGUUCCAAUCCUAUUCUAGCAAGGCAAUUCUAAGAAUGUAAAAGCACAAAGUAAAUGCUAGAAUGUAAAGGAGUAGUAAAAUAAAAUGCUCAGCGAUGUUUUGCUGAGGUAUCAGAGAGUCGCCACUCUCCACUAGUCCUCGUUGGAGCACCCGCGCAAGGGUCUUGCUCCCCCUUGGUCCGUGCAAGGACCAAGUGCUCUCUACGGGCUGAUUCUUCGACACUCCAUCGCGGUGAAUUGCCCAAAACCGCUCACAAGCUUGACACGAGCCACCCACAAUAACUCCAGGCGGUCUUCGUGCCUCCAAUCACCACCGAACCGUCUAGGUGAUGGCGAUCACCAAGAGUAACAAGCAAAGAACUCUCACUUGACCCAAACAAGGCUCUAGAGAGUGCUGGAUGCACACUUGACUCUUGGAACUCACUAGAGAAGGAUUCUCUCAAGAAAUCACUCAAAUCUCAAUCCUCUCUAGGCUCUUGCUACUCUCUUGCUCCACAACAAGUUUCUCAGAUGUUCAAAUGGGCAAGAGACCUCUCAUGGACGAGGUGGAGGAGUAUAAAUACUACCCACGAAGUCCAAAGGUCAGCCAACCAUUUUCCACUGAAAACGGGGUCACCGGACGCUCUUUAUGUUGCACCGGACGCUCUGCACCGAGCGUCCGGUGCUCCAUAACGGCUAACUGUACUUGCGUCUGACAGGUCACCGGACGCUAACUCUCAGCAUCCGGUGGCACCGUCCGGUGCUCCGAGGAGUUUUACAUGCUCCCUGUGCAUGGGACCAGACGCUACCCGGUGCGUCCGGUGCUAGCGUCCGGUGCUCGGGGCAGGUUUACAACCUCCCUAGGUAUGGGACCGGACGCUGCCCGGUGAGUCCGGUGCCAGCGUCUGGUGCUUAACCCUAAGCACCGAGAACUCCCAAUGGCUAAAGACCUCACCGGACGCACUCACGGAGCGUCCGGUGCAGCGUCCGUUGUCCCCUUGGGCACCCUGACUUCGUCGAAACGCGAUCGCUCCAAAACGAAGUUUGUUCCUCUCGAUCUAAGGACUGUCUCCGAGCUGCCUAGUGCUAGGUUUACCAAGUGUGCACCACACCUAAACCUAAUGCCUUGCCUAAGUCAAGCUACUAGAUCAAAGCCCCUCUUAAUAGUAUGGUCAAAGGAAAACAAAGUCCUAAACUACUCUAAGUGCCCUUCUUCACCAUAUGGCACUUAGACCUAGUCUAGUCUUGACGAUGUCCAUCCAUCCUUUGAAAACCGAAACGAUUUCCACUAUUAAGUAGGCAUGUAUGUCCCUGUCCAUCGAGUACCUAUUACCAUGACCUUACCUAUGACUUUGCCUCUGCAAAACACACGUUAGUCAUAGUAAUCAAUAUUGUUAAUAAUCACCGAAAUCACUAGGGGCCUAGAUGCUCUUUCAUUUUGGAAACAAACAAAAGUGAUUUCUUGAAGGAAAACUGACGAACAUUCAAGCGUUUCUAGAUGAUUUCUAUGCGUUAGAUGUGUUUUUUAGAGUUCGAGGGCCAUCGCCCCGGUCUUUCAUUAACAUAAAAGACCACAGAUCAUUCGGUUACAACAUAGAGUUUAGAGUCUAUCACACCCUAGCCCCCACCAAAGCUAGGGAAAAGCUUACAAAGAACACAUCAAAGAUGACAACCCAAAGUUAAGCAAAGUUCAGAAAACGAAAACACCAGCUCCUUCUCAAGAAAAGAAUCACGCCGCAUCGUCCAACACUUCAUUGAGUGACCUCCACCAGGGUCCCAGAACCACUUGCCCAAUUUUCCACCAGAUGUAUGUUCUUCCACUUAGUACAUCUUGGAUCACCAUCAUUGUGGCUUUUUGUCAGCUUCCCCAUGGUACGGUAACAAGAGAACCUCUCCAGCUGAUGCUUUGAUCUUGUUUGUGAAAUCCAUCAAUUGAUCUCUUCAUUCUUGUGGACAUAGAAUUGACAAGCUUUGUAAGGUCCUAGCUAUCCUGUGAAGUAGUAUUUCUAUAUUCUUCCAACGAACCCUCUAAAUGCAAAUAUCAUUUCUAAGUUUCCAAAAUUUCCAUAAAACUGCAGAAGUGACCAUAGAAUAAGGUUCCAUAUGAUUCGGCAAUUGGUUCCAUCAUGUAUGCCAUGAUAUGUACUCGCCAAGAUGUCUCAUAUACUCUAUGUGUUGUGAGCAGGUACAAAGCUAAACCACAUGAAAGUCGCAGGACACUUUCUAAAACAAUUCUUAAGUAUUUGAGAUGGACUGAAGAUAUGUUCAUAAUCUAUUGAGGUGAGUAGAAGCUCAUUGUAAAUGGUUACACCAACACUAGCUUCCAAACUGACAUAGAUGAUUCACAAUCUCAAUCAGAUUUUGUGGUCAUAAUAAAUGGUGGUGCAAUUAGCUGGAAAAGUUCCAAGCAGGCAACGAUGUCUGAUUCUACAACAGAGGCCAAGUACAUCAUAGCUUCUGAAUCUGUAAAGGAAGGUGUUUGGAUGAGGAGGUUCCUCAUUAAACUUGGUGUGUUGCCAAAUGCGUCGAGCCCAUUGAAUCUACAUUGGGACAACAAUGAGGCGAUUGUGCAAGCUAAGGAGCCUAGGAAUCACCAAAAGAACAAACAUGUGCUACAGAAGUUUCAUCUCAUUCAAGAGUUAGUUAGGCGAGGUGAAAUCAAGGUGUGUAAGAUACAUACGGAUUUGAAUAUUGCAGAUCCUUUAACAAAGGCUCUUCUAUAGCGUAAGCAUGAGGCACACUUGAGGUUUAUGGGUAUUAGAUAUCAUAGAUAUUAACUCUAGCGCAAGUGGGAGACUAUUAGUAAUAUGCCCUAGAGGUAAUCAUGGUGAUAAUGAUAUUGUAUCCAUGACAUAUAUUAUGAGUUCAAUGAAUAUCUGUUAUAGACAAACUUGUAUCAAUUGAUAAUUAUGUGAAUUGUUUGUGAAACUGUUUUACUUGUAUGGUUAUUCUAAAGUUGUCCCUGAUCAGAGUUCAUGUGAGGACACACAUGAAUAUUAGAUUAGCACAGGUAUUAGUUGAUGACUAUGUUACACAAGUCAUAGACAUAGAGAUAUCAAACUAAAAAUGUGGGCACAUGUGUGACAUGGAGCUGGACAGACCCAACCUAAGCUGUUCUUAUUAUCUCUUUAUGCAUCAUGUACGUUAUCUUCUUAGACCUAAGAUUGUUGUAUGUUCUCACGAUGUGAAAUGACCUACUUAGAGACUAUUAAACGCUACUCCGUAAUAGGGUAGUUAUAAGGGUGGUCUUCGGGUUUGUCGGGAAACAUGCUGUGGGACAUAGAUAAUCAAGAUGGAACUUGCCCCUCUCUAUGAGAGUGAGAUAUUACUAGAUCAUUCAAGUGAUUGGAUCAACAAAUGCAUGGACGUGCUUGGGUUAAGUGUUAACCUAGGAGUUGGACCAAAUAUCGUGUGGCAAGGUAAUAACAUGUAUGUGUUUGUAGUGGUUCGUUUGAUAUGAUCUUGGCAUAUGUAUAGGAGUUGUCACGCCUUGCUAGAGGCCACUGUGAACUAUGGGGCGGGUAGGAGUACUUGGCUCUUGUCUAUAUGUAUGUGAACCCAUAGGGUCACACACUUAAGGUGCUGGAAGCCUAACCCGGGUUGGACACAAAUUAGAAAUGAAUUAGGGUUUUCUAAUUGGUCCUCCACCUCAGCGCUGAUUGGGGAUGCCUAUAAGGAUUGGGGUGGCUAGGGUUUCUUAUGCCAUUUGGCAGCAACUGUCGCUCACCCAAGCCCACGCAUGUUGCUCCUAGCGGACCUAGUAGUUCGGAGGUGUGACACUUCUUCCUUGUACAUGUGGGAUACCUUGGAGGUGCUGCAUCUGAAGCACAAGUGACAUGACCAUGCCAGCAAGCAAUAUGUCACAAGCUCCAAGUCAAGCUAUAACCACUCAUGUUUUACCUAGACCGACACCAGCCCAAGUCAUUGAUGGACCGAUUAUACAUAGUCGUGCAAAGAAGCUACAACAAGAGGUCCACGCGCUACUUUGUGAGAUUCAUUUUAACAUUAAUGAGAAUUAUAUACUACCUAAGUGUUAUACCUUGAUUGUACUCAGGUAUAUAGAAGAAAAGAAGGAUGAGUCACACCCUAAAGAACGGACCAGUGCAAGUCCCAGAAGACACUAGCAAAAUGGACCAGAAGAGUCAAAAACGGACCAGUGGAAGUCAAGAAUGGAACAGUGCAAAGAAAUCUUCAUAACUUUUUACUCACAAAAGCUAUGAAGGCCCAAGAGAACUUGUUGGAAAGCUUGUAGAGUCUACUUUCCAAUUUAUCUAGUGGCGAUCAGUUAGAAACUCCAUAUUACCUGCAGACCAGAAUUAGUACAGACUGCUCAGAAAGUCAACAGUUUGUCGUGACAGAAUAUUGAUAUAAAUUGCCAAAUAAAACUCUACCAAUCUACAAAGUUUCGUGCUGGUUGCCAUACAUUGUUGGAAAGCCCUUUGAGUCUAGUUUCACACCCAAGAAGCGGUUCAUCAUUUGGACUUCCCAAUAAGAAGUUAUUGUCAGUUUAUUGGAAACUACUCUGGAGACCAACAGUCACGCGAAGCCAGUUCGGGAAUCCAUUCCGAGGGGACCUUUCACAUUGCCUUCCCUCAGAAGCUCUAUUUUGUUUCAUACCUAUCUAGGAGGGUUGUUCCUAGUAUAAAUAUUUCCUACCUCUAAGCUAUUAGGGACCUUUGAUCAUUUUGAUAAACUACAUGAUAUUGCAGUCGUGCUGCUGAGUGCCUUACUCAACCUUUAUUCUUCCUUGUUCUUCUUGGAGAUGUGAAUUGAAUCCUCUGGGUUCCCCUACUUCGUGCUCUACGGCUGCGCCGUAUUGUGUGGAUUAGUUCUAGAUUGUGGUUCUGCGGUCAUUCGGAGAUCGAGUCGAAGUCUUCGUGGUUUUGGUGCCUCUCUUCCGGUCGCUUGGUCACAUCCAACCUUUGUCAGGUACAAAGCUAGUUACCCACUGUUCGCAGCAAGUUAUCCUUGUUCUUUUUGAUCUACUGUCGUGAAGAUCGGGCCACCCUCGUACCGAUUUAGAUCGGUAACCUAUCAAUUGGUAUCAAUGCUUUCGUUGUCACGGUAGGUCUCACAAUAAUCCACAUAUCUAUCUUUAGUUUAUCUAUCAUUUUCUACUGUUUUGUUCAUCACCUACAGUCCACUAAAAAAGCCACAAAAAAAAAUUCUAAAGCCCUUUGAUGGUACUGUUAUGUUGUGUUUUUAUGUUCAUCAUGUUGCUAGUCACCCUCUUUAUAUAUAUUGUGUUCUGUUUUAUUUGUUAUCCGCACCCCUAUUAGUAUAAAAAAAGUUCAAAAAAAUAUUAGAGAAAAAAAUCAGAGAAAAGAAAAAAGAACAGAAAGAUCCAAAAGAAAAGUAAAAGAAGAGGAGAGGGGUUGUAUUUUGGUUUGCUUACUGUAAAAUUCAGUUUACAUAUUUAGAUUCAUGGGGAUUUAUAUACCAGUAACAUUAUAUCAUUUGAGCACAUCAAACCACUUGAAUUUUAGUACUAUAGCCUCCCUUGUUUAGCCACCUAUAGCUCCACCAAAAAAAACUGAAACUAGGACAUUCGACUCGUAAUCCUUGCGAUCUCAGAAUCACUUCUAUUGAGCUGCUACACUAGCACAAUUUACUGUCUUUGAGACAGGAUAGAGCAUUGGUAAGUAAGAGGUGAGGUUGUGUGAUUCCACAAAUUUACCCAUCCAGUAUAUUUUGCUUUAGUGCUAACAUGACAGGAUCCAACUCAAGUAUACGUGGUGAUCGUCAUGGAGAAGAAUUCCCUGUUGCAUGGGCUGAGUUACACCAAAUGGCAGACUCACUCUUGCAGGCCAUGGAGAGGAUGCUUGAUGCACGCAUACCUGCAGAUGGGCAGAGGGCUCCUCAGCAUCAAUAUGAUGAAUCCGGUGCUCAAAAUUCUGAUGCAGGACAUGACCGUUUCAGAGAUGGUCAUGUUGGUGGCAGGCGGGCUGCUCAUCAUGGCCAAGAUGGAGGACGAGCUCAUGGACGUGGUCAUGGCCACCAUGUUCAUUUUGAUGAUGAAGAAUUUUAUAAUUUUGAUCAUGAAGAGAGGUCUGAUGAGAAUCUCUUUUCAAAUGAUGGGCUACAUAGGCGACGCCAUGAUCAUCAGUAGCAUGCUGAUCAUGGAGACAGAGAGCAUCAUCAUGGUCGUUGUAAUAGGAAAGAUCCAGACAGCAUUGCUCGUGUCAAGUUGAGUAUCCCAAAAUUCACCGGAAGAGAGGAUGCAGAUGCAUAUCUUGAGUGGGCUGAGCAGUGUGAUCAAAUUUUUAGAGUGCAUAAUCUCUUUGAUCAGAGGCGUGUUAAUCUUGCUUCAGUGGAAUUAUGUGGUUAUGCUCUGACUUGGUGGAAUCUGAUACAAGAGAAUCAACUUGUGUUGGGCCAUGAACAUAUCAACACAUGGGAAGAGAUGAAGCAAGUGAUGAGAAGGCAAUAUGUACCGUCAAGCUAUCAGCGUGACCUUCGCAAUGGGUUACAAAGGUUGAAGCAAGGAAAAAGAUCGGUUGAUGAGUAUUAUAAGGAGAUGGAGCUACUGUUAGUGCGGACUGGAAUUAGAGAGGAUCUAGAGUUAAAAAUGGCUAUUUUUUGGGUGGUCUCAAUGAGGAAAUUGCUGGUUUUGUUGAGAUAUUUCCAUACCAUACUUUGCAAAACCUUGUUGAUCAAGCUAUGUGUAUUGAAAGAAAAUUCAGCAAGAGACACGUGGAAAAUCUUAUGCAAGUCAUUCUAUUGCAGCCCCAUGACGCAAGCAGCAGUCCAGCAGUUCUUUCGGUGGGGGACGGUCCCAAGGUGCUCCAGCUAGGCCAUCUUUAUCUAAUGCUCCUUCAAAGAUGGCAGUUUCUACAUCAUCAUCUCCUAGAAAUCAGUUGCGUCCUGCUACAAGUGUAGCAGCCCCAACUGUUGCUCCUUCAGCUACUACUUCCUCUGCACGUAAUAGAGAAAUUGUGUGCCACAAGUGUCAUGGUCGUGGACAUAUUGCUGCAUAAUGUACCAGUAGGAGGACCAUGAUUGUGAAUGAGUAUAAUGAAUGGGAAUCUGAAAGUGAUCAUGAGGAAGAAUGUCUAAGAUAUGAUGAGGAUCAUGAAAACAUUGAUAAUGAGAUCGAACCCGAUGAAGGUGAUAACAACUGCUUUAUUUCUCUUCAUGUGCUUAGUUUUACUGCUGCAAAGGAAGAGAAUGGGCAGCGCCACAAUCUUUUCUACACUCGAGGCAUGAUUAAAGAAAAGUUGUGUAGAAUUAUUGUUGACAAUGGCAGCUGUAACAAUACUACUAGCCAAGAAUUGGUUGAUAGAAUGGAGCUAGAACAAAGGCGUCAUCCUAAUCCAUGCAAGAUGCAUUGGCUAAAUGAUUGUGGUGCGCUGCGUGUGAGCCAUGUUGUGACAGUUCCUUUCUCUGUUUUGAGGUAUAUUGAUCAUGUGGAGUGUGAUGUGUUGCCUAUGCAAGCAUGCCAACUGCUGCUAGGAAUACCAUGGUUAUAUGAUCGUGAUGUUCAGAUCUUUGGAAGAACCAACAAGCUGGCUUUCAUGUACAAAGGAGAGCAAAUUUCUUUGCUCCCUUUGACAUCGGAGGAGAUUUUGAAGGAUAUUCUAAAAUGAAAAUAGUGAGAGAGCGAGAACCACUUGCGAGUGACCCACAAAAAUAGUGAGGGAGUGUUUCCAAAGCGAAAUAAAACCCCACAACCGCAAACAACCAAGACAAAGGGAAAAGAGGGAUUAGUUAUGAUGGCUAGGAUGGGGGAUUUAAAACAAUUGAGUGAACCCAAUGCCACAUUCUUUGUACUCCUGUACAAGAAAAAUUUUCUUUCCACUAACAACUUAUCCUCUACAUUGCCAAGUGUUAUUUUUAAUGUGUUAUAGUAAUAUGAGGAUGUCUUUCCAGAGGAGGUACCACCGGGGCUGCCGCCUAAGAGAGGAAUUGAACAUCAAAUUGACCUUGUUCCUGGUGCUUCACUUCCAAACCGAGUUGCAUACCGCACCAAUCCGGAGGAAACAAAAAAAAUUCAGCAACAAGUGGAAGAAUUGAUGAGAAAAGGGUAUGUGCAGGAAAGUCUUUCACCUUGUGCAGUCCCUGUUCUUUUAGCUCCUAAGAAAGAUGGCUCAAGGAGAAUGUGUGUUGACUGUAGAGCUAUUAAUAACAUCACAGUAAGAUAUAGGCAUCCCAUUCCUAGACUUGAUGAUAUGCUUGAUGAACUUAGUGGUGCAAUAAUUUUCACUAAACUUGACUUGAGAAGUGGCUAUCACCAAAUAAGAAUGAGAGAAGGAGAUGAGUGGAAAACAGCUUUUAAAACCAAGUUUGGGUCGUAUGAAUGGUUGGUAAUGCCCUUUGGAUUGACUAAUGCACCAAGUACCUUUAUGAGAUUGAUGAAUCAUGUGCUUAGAUCUUUCAUUGGCAAGUUUGUUGUGGUUUACUUUGAUGAUAUAUUAAUUUAUAGCAAAGUCUCUUGUGGAACAUGUUGAGCAUAUCCAAAGUGUGCUUGCUGUCCUACAUGAGCAAAAAUUGUAUGCUAACCUUGACAAGUGCACAUUUUGCACUGACAAGAUAGUCUUUUUUGGCUUUGUUGUUUCAGGACAUGGUGUGGAGGUGGAUGAGGAUAAGAUCAAAGCUGUUUGUGAAUGGAUGCCUCCACAAAAUGCAAGCCAAGUGCUUAGCUUCCUUGGAGUUGCUGGUUUCUACCGACGCUUUGUGAAAGAUUUUAGCACCAUUGCUGCUCCAAUCAAUGAGUUGACAAAGAAAGAAGUGCCUUUAAAUAGGGAGAAGCACAAGAGAAGUCAUUUGAAGAACUUAAAAUGAAGUUGACAAUAGCCCCACUUCUUGCACUUCCAGAUUUCGGUAAGAUAUUUGAAAUUGAAUGUGAUGCAAGUGGUGUAGGAAUUGGUGGCAUUCUCAUGCAAGAAAGGAGGUCGAUUGCAUACUUCAGUGAAAAGCUAAGUGGUCCAACUCUGAAUUACUCAGUUUAUGAUAAAGAAUUAUAUGAUAUUGUUAGGAGUUUGGAAACUUGGCAACACUACCUUUUGCCUAAAGAAUUUGUGAUACAUUUAGACCAUGAAUCUUUGAAACAUCUUAAAGGCCAACUAAAACUGAACAGAAGGCAUGCAAAAUGGAGUGAGUUCAUUUAGUCUUUUCCUUAUGUUGUCAAAUACAAGAAAGGGAAAGAUAACAUUGUAGCUGACGCUUUGUCUCGACGUCAUACUUUGCUUUCACGACUUGAUACUAAAAUUCUUGGAUUAGAAAGCAUAAAAGAAUUAUAUGUUAAUGAUUCAUAUGUUGCUGAACCAUAUUCCAAGUGUUGUGGCAGCAAGGGAUGGGAAAAAUUCCAUUUGCAUGAUGGUUUUUUAUUUCAAGCUAAUAAACUUUGCAUUCUAGAUUGCUCUGUUCACAUUUUGCUAGUGCAGGAAGCUCAUGCAGGAGGACUUAUGGGCCAUUUUGGUGCAAAGAAAAUAGAACAAGUGCUGAUAGACCAUUUCUUUUUGCCUAAGAUGAGAAGAGAUGUGGAGAGGCAUGUUCUUCGCUGUGAAACCUGCCACAAAGCUAAGUCCCGUUUGAACCCUCAUGGUUUAUACACUCCUCUACCUAUUUCUAGUGUACCUUUGGAGGACAUUUCUAUGGACUUUGUCAUUGGUUUACCAUGAACCAAGAGGGGAAAGGAUUCCAUAUUUGUUGUGGUUGAUAGAUUUAGCAAAAUGGUACACUUUAUUCCCUGUCAUAAGAGCGAUGAUGCCUCACAUAUUGCUGAAUUGCUUUUCAGAGAAAUUGUGCAUCUACAUGGAGUGCCACGUACCAUCGUGUCUGAUCAUGAUACCAAGUUUUUGAGCUACUUUUGGUAAACCUUGUGGGGAAAACAGGGGACAAGGCUACUGUUCUCCACAACGUGUCAUCCUCAAAUGGAUGGACAAACCGAAGUUGUGAACCACAUGUUGUCAACAUUGCUGCGAGCUAUCCUAAAGAAGAAUCUAAAUUUGUGGGAAGAAAGCUUGCCUCAUGUGGAGUUUUGUUGACACUUGCUAACACCACUUGAAUACUAGGUUGUCAUCCCCAGCAUGGCACUAGAGUGUACUAUGGUAUUUAUACACACACAGAUAAAUCCGCAAGCCCACGGAUACCGUUGUAGCUUUUACCCGGUUAAAGGUUUUAUCGUAUCCACAAGGGAACGGGAGAACCAACUACGCUAUAACUUAACCAAGAUAGAUAGAUGUAAAUAGGAAAGAUGGUAAAAUUGAAUAAGCACAAUAUUAAAGGUACAAUGAUAAUGGGGGAAUAUAGAGUAGAGCAAUCUAAUAUAUGGGCGAUAAUAGGUGAAUAGAGGGGAUAACUAGGGUUUCUCUACUUCAAAGGGGUAUGUCUGUCUGUGGCGUACCAUAAGUAUAAAACAACAUAGAGGAUGCUUAUACCUAAGGUUGAGGACUCCUACCAGUCCUGCUAAUGGGAGGUGGACUACAGAGGACUACGUAGCUGUCACCUAUGCGGCCUACCACGCGAUCCGGCUAACAGGGGAUAUCCACAAGUAAUCUAGGUCUAAGCACCAUGCUUACACCUAUACUACAACUCUCACGUAUAACGUCCUAUAGAUUAGAAGUACUCAAAAGAGUUGUGAACCAGAACAUAUAUGAUUAGUAAUUGCAUAAUGAAUUAGAAGUAGAUUACCAGAGUCAUCCCAUGAGCAAGCUUGAUUAGAGGUUGAUCAUGGCGAAGUACAAUCGGAGGAAGAACCGACAGGCCGGCCUCUCCUCCAAUCCUCCCUCGCUCUCCAUCUCGCUACUAUCUAGAUCUAUUGUAGUUUAGAGAUGAGAGGAGAGCUCUCAUCUCCAAAACCUAGCUUUUGCUCUGUCUAUGAAUAAUGAAUAGGGAUCAAGGGGUGCCUCCUCCAGGGGCCAGGGGGUCUGCUUAUAUACUCCCCUCUAGUGAAUCUGGGCCGUCGGAUCAAACCGACAUUGAUUGAACGGUUAUUCUGGAUCCUUUAGGUCGGUGGAGCAUAAUCCCUGAAGAGAGUCCUGAUUGGACUCUGGGACAGGGCGGGCGCCCUGCCCACGAGCCCGCUCGGCCUCCCGUUCAUUCCCGUGGCUUCUGGAGUCUUCUAGAUGAUAGAAAAUUGCGCGGCACAUUCAUAUCUCUAUGUAAACCCGACAUGUGGGCCUUUCCUUCAUAUUUCCUGAUAACCCCCUGCAGAAAUAGACAAACACCAAAACUCGUGGAAUUCUGUCAGAUAAAACCCUAAGUUUAGGUGUUGGUUGUAUUUGGAUCCUUUUCUUUGUUUAUUUGCUGAUUAUAUUUGGUACAUAAGGACCGUCAACAACUCCCCCAAGCUUACCACUUGCUGGUCCCUAAGCAAGGAUGGACUCAAGAGUUUCUGCAGUGGUUUUAUGCCUUAAAGGUAGACAUGCAUUUAAACAAGAUCUCAUCUCUAGGUUAAGGUAAACUGUUAAGAUUUAAACUUACUCAUAUUACCUUCCACCAUGGGGCUUGCAACCGUCACUUGUGUCUUGAGCAGUUAAAAGAUAGAACGGUCAAGUCAAGCACUGUGUCUCUUGUUCUUUGAUCAACUAUAGCUCUGGAGUUUUUGCAGAUUUUCAAAUAAAACUCAGAGAUUCCUUGUAUGACUCUCUCUAGUCUCUCUUUUGUGGUAUUUCUGGAUCCUUACCAAGGCAGUGAUGAUAUAUGUCUUCUCUCAAAGUAUGUGGUAUUUGUGGUAUGAGGCAUAAUGAUAUUGCCUUCUCUCUCACCCUACUCUAACAAGGUUUUGAUAUCUGGAGCUCAUAGGUGGGAGACAGCUAAUACAUACUUACAAGACAUUUAUUGCAUAGUCAAACCAUGGAUCCAGAGAAACAAGUCAAUAAGUCAAAUCAAGAUGUGCAUGUGUGGUGGAUGAAUGGUGUAUGGUGAUGCUAGUGAUAAUGGUGAAAAUAAUGGUGAAAGUCUAAUUCUACUUUUGCUCUUUUGAGGGAAUACAUACCUUUUUUUUGCACUUUGAAGCUUUUUGAGGGGAAUAAGAUACUCUAUAUUUUCUUUUCGUUUUUUCUUUUCUCUCAGGUGGGUAUUUUGUACCCCCAAUUCUACUGUCGGACACUUGUCCAUUUUUACCUCCCGUCUCACUUUUUCUUUUCNNNNNNNNNNNNNNNNNNNNNNNNNNNNNNNNNNNNNNNNNNNNNNNNNNNNNNNNNNNNNNNNNNNNNNNNNNNNNNNNNNNNNNNNNNNNNNNNNNNNAAAAAGGGUUAGAGCCGUCGCGGAGACGGAGGCAGCUGCAUGCUGCAGUCGAUCUAAGAUCCCUUGACAGUGCACAUUUGACUGACAAGAUAGUCUUUCUUGGCUUUGUUGUUUCAGGACAUGGUGUGGAGGUGGAUGAGGAUAAGAUCAAAGCUGUUUGUGAAUGGAUGCCUCCACAAAAUGCAAGCCAAGUGCUUAGCUUCCUUGGACUUGCUGGUUUCUACCGGCGCUUUGUGAAAGAUUUUAGCACCAUUGCUGCUCCAAUCAAUGAGUUGACAAAGAAAGAAGUGCCUUUAAAUAGGGAGAAGCACAAGAGAAGUCAUUUGAAGAACUUAAAAUGAAGUUGACAAUAGCCCCACUUCUUGCAAUUCCAGAUUUCGGUAAGAUAUUUGAAAUUGAAUGUGAUGCAAGUGGUGUAGGAAUUGGUGGCAUUCUCAUGCAUGAAAGGAGGUCGAUUGCAUACUUCAGUGAAAAGCUAAGUGGUCCAACUCUGAAUUACUCAGUUUAUGAUAAAGAAUUAUAUGAUAUUGUUAGGAGUUUGGAAACUUGGCAACACUACCUUUUGCCUAAAGAAUUUGUGAUACAUUUAGACCAUGAAUCUUUGAAACAUCUUAAAGGCCAACUAAAACUGAACAGAAGGCAUGCAAAAUGGAGUGAGUUCAUUUAGUCUUUUCCUUAUGUUGUCAAAUACAAGAAAGGGAAAGAUAACAUUGUAGCUGACGCUUUGUCUCGACGUCAUACUUUGCUUUCACGACUUGAUACUAAAAUUCUUGGAUUAGAAAGCAUAAAAGAAUUAUAUGUUAAUGAUUCAUAUGUUGCUGAACCAUAUUCCAAGUGUUGUGGCAGCAAGGGAUGGGAAAAAUUCCAUUUGCAUGAUGGUUUUUUAUUUCAAGCUAAUAAACUUUGCAUUCUAGAUUGCUCUGUUCACAUUUUGCUAGUGCAGGAAGCUCAUGCAGGAGGACUUAUGGGCCAUUUUGGUGCAAAGAAAAUAGAACAAGUGCUGAUAGACCAUUUCUUUUUGCCUAAGAUGAGAAGAGAUGUGGAGAGGCAUGUUCUUCGCUGUGAAACCUGCCACAAAGCUAAGUCCCGUUUGAACCCUCAUGGUUUAUACACUCCUCUACCUAUUUCUAGUGUACCUUUGGAGGACAUUUCUAUGGACUUUGUCAUUGGUUUACCAUGAACCAAGAGGGGAAAGGAUUCCAUAUUUGUUGUGGUUGAUAGAUUUAGCAAAAUGGUACACUUUAUUCCCUGUCAUAAGAGCGAUGAUGCCUCACAUAUUGCUGAAUUGCUUUUCAGAGAAAUUGUGCAUCUACAUGGAGUGCCACGUACCAUCGUGUCUGAUCAUGAUACCAAGUUUUUGAGCUACUUUUGGUAAACCUUGUGGGGAAAACAGGGGACAAGGCUACUGUUCUCCACAACGUGUCAUCCUCAAAUGGAUGGACAAACCGAAGUUGUGAACCACAUGUUGUCAACAUUGCUGCGAGCUAUCCUAAAGAAGAAUCUAAAUUUGUGGGAAGAAAGCUUGCCUCAUGUGGAGUUUUGUUGACACUUGCUAACACCACUUGAAUACUAGGUUGUCAUCCCCAGCAUGGCACUAGAGUGUACUAUGGUAUUUAUACACACACAGAUAAAUCCGCAAGCCCACGGAUACCGUUGUAGCUUUUACCCGGUUAAAGGUUUUAUCGUAUCCACAAGGGAACGGGAGAACCAACUACGCUAUAACUUAACCAAGAUAGAUAGAUGUAAAUAGGAAAGAUGGUAAAAUUGAAUAAGCACAAUAUUAAAGGUACAAUGAUAAUGGGGGAAUAUAGAGUAGAGCAAUCUAAUAUAUGGGCGAUAAUAGGUGAAUAGAGGGGAUAACUAGGGUUUCUCUACUUCAAAGGGGUAUGUCUGUCUGUGGCGUACCAUAAGUAUAAAACAACAUAGAGGAUGCUUAUACCUAAGGUUGAGGACUCCUACCAGUCCUGCUAAUGGGAGGUGGACUACAGAGGACUACGUAGCUGUCACCUAUGCGGCCUACCACGCGAUCCGGCUAACAGGGGAUAUCCACAAGUAAUCUAGGUCUAAGCACCAUGCUUACACCUAUACUACAACUCUCACGUAUAACGUCCUAUAGAUUAGAAGUACUCAAAAGAGUUGUGAACCAGAACAUAUAUGAUUAGUAAUUGCAUAAUGAAUUAGAAGUAGAUUACCAGAGUCAUCCCAUGAGCAAGCUUGAUUAGAGGUUGAUCAUGGCGANNNNNNNNNNNNNNNNNNNNNNNNNNNNNNNNNNNNNNNNNNNNNNNNNNNNNNNNNNNNNNNNNNNNNNNNNNNNNNNNNNNNNNNNNNNNNNNNNNNNNNNNNNNNNNNNNNNNNNNNNNNNNNNNNNNNNNNNNNNNNNNNNNNNNNNNNNNNNNNNNNNNNNNNNNNNNNNNNNNNNNNNNNNNNNNNNNNNNNNNNNNNNNNNNNNNNNNNNNNNNNNNNNNNNNNNNNNNNNNNNNNNNNNNNNNNNNNNNNNNNNNNNNNNNNNNNNNNNNNNNNNNNNNNNNNNNNNNNNNNNNNNNNNNNNNNNNNNNNNNNNNNNNNNNNNNNNNNNNNNNNNNNNNNNNNNNNNNNNNNNNNNNNNNNNNNNNNNNNNNNNNNNNNNNNNNNNNNNNNNNNNNNNNNNNNNNNNNNNNNNNNNNNNNNNNNNNNNNNNNNNNNNNNNNNNNNNNNNNNNNNNNNNNNNNNNNNNNNNNNNNNNNNNNNNNNNNNNNNNNNNNNNNNNNNNNNNNNNNNNNNNNNNNNNNNNNNNNNNNNNNNNNNNNNNNNNNNNNNNNNNNNNNNNNNNNNNNNNNNNNNNNNNNNNNNNNNNNNNNNNNNNNNNNNNNNNNNNNNNNNNNNNNNNNNNNNNNNNNNNNNNNNNNNNNNNNNNNNNNNNNNNNNNNNNNNNNNNNNNNNNNNNNNNNNNNNNNNNNNNNNNNNNNNNNNNNNNNNNNNNNNNNNNNNNNNNNNNNNNNNNNNNNNNNNNNNNNNNNNNNNNNNNNNNNNNNNNNNNNNNNNNNNNNNNNNNNNNNNNNNNNNNNNNNNNNNNNNNNNNNNNNNNNNNAUAAAACCCUAAGUUUAGGUGUUGGUUGUAUUUGGAUCCUUUUCUUUGUUUAUUUGCUGAUUAUAUUUGGUACAUAAGGACCGUCAACAACUCCCCCAAGCUUACCACUUGCUGGUCCCUAAGCAAGGAUGGACUCAAGAGUUUCUGCAGUGGUUUUAUGCCUUAAAGGUAGACAUGCAUUUAAACAAGAUCUCAUCUCUAGGUUAAGGUAAACUGUUAAGAUUUAAACUUACUCAUAUUACCUUCCACCAUGGGGCUUGCAACCGUCACUUGUGUCUUGAGCAGUUAAAAGAUAGAACGGUCAAGUCAAGCACUGUGUCUCUUGUUCUUUGAUCAACUAUAGCUCUGGAGUUUUUGCAGAUUUUCAAAUAAAACUCAGAGAUUCCUUGUAUGACUCUCUCUAGUCUCUCUUUUGUGGUAUUUCUGGAUCCUUACCAAGGCAGUGAUGAUAUAUGUCUUCUCUCAAAGUAUGUGGUAUUUGUGGUAUGAGGCAUAAUGAUAUUGCCUUCUCUCUCACCCUACUCUAACAAGGUUUUGAUAUCUGGAGCUCAUAGGUGGGAGACAGCUAAUACAUACUUACAAGACAUUUAUUGCAUAGUCAAACCAUGGAUCCAGAGAAACAAGUCAAUAAGUCAAAUCAAGAUGUGCAUGUGUGGUGGAUGAAUGGUGUAUGGUGAUGCUAGUGAUAAUGGUGAAAAUAAUGGUGAAAGUCUAAUUCUACUUUUGCUCUUUUGAGGGAAUACAUACCUUUUUUUUGCACUUUGAAGCUUUUUGAGGGGAAUAAGAUACUCUAUAUUUUCUUUUCGUUUUUNNNNNNNNNNNNNNNNNNNNNNNNNNNNNNNNNNNNNNNNNNNNNNNNNNNNNNNNNNNNNNNNNNNNNNNNNNNNNNNNNNNNNNNNNNNNNNNNNNNNGUAGAAUAAUUUUGGGUGAAUCUGGAGAUGGAAAUGAGUGGAUGUAUGUGGAUGCGUACUUCCAGAGUAGAAGUAGCAUGUAUGAGUGAACGUGCAAGUGAAUCUUGAUUUUAACCGCAUGACAUGCUCCUAAGGGUCUACACAGCUUGACCACACUCAAGGCUCAUAAGCAGUAAAUGUAUGGUUCAUAGUCUACUAAUCAUGUAUAUAAGGCUGUGGUAGGAUUUUAAAGUCUCAUCAUACAGGAACUCAUCAUGCAACAUUUUAAAUAUUUUCAAAGAUAAAAUUCUCCAAAAUUCUAGUAUCUCUUCCCACAAGUUCAGGUUUAGAGCAAAUCUUAAUUCAUAACAGUCAUGCCUAAACUUGAGAGAGAAUUCAAUUUUGAGAACUAGUCAUGGCAGAGCAACUAUUCAUCAUUUCCAUGUGAGGGCUUAUUACGAGGGUGCAUAGCAAACUUUAUUUAUUUAUUUAUUUAGCAAACGAAUCAAAGAUAUAUAUAUAUAAGCAUAAAAUCUUUAUGCGGGUUUUUUAUGAUUAUGCAUCUUUUUAUUAUUUAAGUAAAGUAUAAACGCGAGCACAAACACUUAGCUGGAUAAAUGGGGGUGCUCUCCCCCAAGCUAGAUUUUGACGUAAUUUCUUCUGAUGUAGCUAGCAGGUGGUGGAGGUGUAUUUGAAUGUCGGCAGCACCCUGACAGUGAUUAGAAUGUCCUCCGUCUGCUAGUCUUCUUUGAUCCUUGAAUUUUGUGGGGCUCAAAUAGACAACAAAGCUUUGUGGAACUGGUUAAGUGUUAGCAUAAAAAUCUCUUUGCCUUUAUCAUGUUGAGCUUACUCUAAUAAAUAUUACUCUCUUUGGUAGGUGUUGACGGUCCUUAAGUACUAAAUAUAACCAUCAAAUAAAUAAAGAAAAGGAUCCAAAUACAACCAACACUUAAACUUAGGGUUUUAUCUGACAGAAUUCCACGAGUUUUGGUGUUUGUCUAUUUCUGCAGGGGGUUAUCAGGAAAUAUGGAGGAAAGGCCCACAUGUCGGGUUUACAUAGAGAUAUGAACGUGCCGCGCAAUUUUCUAUCAUAUAGAAGACUCCAGAAGCCACGGGAACGAACGGGAGGCCGAGCGGGCUCGGGGCAGGGCGCCCGCCAUAUCCCAGAGUCCAAUCAGGACUCUCUUCGGGGAUUACGCUCCACCGACCUAAAGGAUCAAGAAUAACCGUUCAAUCAAUGUCGGUUUGAUCCGACGGCCCAGAUUCACUUGAGGGGACUAUAUAAGCAGACCCCCUGGCCCCUGGAGGAGGCACCCCUUGAUCCAUAUUCAUUAUUCAUAGACAGAGCAAAAGCUAGGGUUUAGAGAUGAGAGCUCUCCUCUCUUCUCUAAACUAGAGUAGAUCUAGAUAGUAGCGAGAUGGAGAGCAAGGGAGGAUUGGAGGAGAGUCCGGCCUGUCGUUCUUCCUCCGGUUGUACUUCGCCAUGAUCAAGCUCUAAUCAAGCUUGCUCAUGGGAUGACUCUAGUAAUCUACUUCUAAUUCGUUAUGCAAUUACUAAUCAUAUAUGUCCUGGUUCACAACUCUUUUGAGUACUUCUAAUCUAUAGGACCCUAUAGGUUAGAGUUGUAGUAUAGGUGUUCAUGGAGAUUGGAAGGAGUUACAUAAUAGUUUUUUCUUUUAAAAUAUUUUCCAAUCUCUAAAGUGGCGGAACUUCAGCGUGAGAUUAUUUCUUUUAGACAACUGGAAGAAGAAUCUCUUGGCAAAUCAUGGGACCGCUUUAUUAACCUUACUCUCACUGGUCCAAAGCUUUCUAUUCCAGAAGAAGUUCUUCUAAUUCACUUUUUUGAGGGCCUUAGUAUGGAAAAUAAGCAAACCUUGAAUACAGCCUCUAGAGGAUCCUUCUGUCACCUACCUGCUAGUGAAGCUAGGGAUUUAAUUGAUUCAUUGAGUGGAAAGUUUCCUAGCAUUUAUAUCCCUGCGAAAGAGAAAGAACCAGUUCCUAGACAAGAAGAAGAAGUUUUGAUAGCCAGAUCACAACCACUUCAAUCCCAAACUUUAGCUAUUGAUCCUAAACCAUCAAUACCCCAAAAUUCUCCAAGGGAGGAAGGAAUUUCGACCUUAAAUCUUUCAGAUACUGAUGGUUUAGACUUCUGGUUCCAUAAGAGACCUUCAAGCAGGGUUAAUUCAAAUCCUUGCAAUAAUGUUUCUCUUAGAGAAUGUCCUGGUUCCUAUUAUGAAGUAGUCGAGGAUGACAUAUCAAGUGAAGGAGAGCUAAGCCAUAUAGAAAACUUUAUCUGCUCCCCUUCCAUGUUCACAAGUUCUAAAUCCAUCCUUGACCUUAGAGACCCCUCUUAUCCAUCUCCUUUUAAGUCUCAUGAUGAUCCUAGCAAUCCAUCAAGAUGACCAAACCAUAGGAGUCAUAAAGACCAUAAGGAUGGUAUGUCAAGUAAUGCCAUAGAAGGAGAGCUAAGCCAUAGAGAAGAUACUAUCAGCUCCCCUGUCUUGAUCACAAGUUCUAAAUGGCAGGAAUGUGUAGAAUGGAUGGAUAAGGAACAAGCCUUAAUGAAUUUUGACUUUGGCUCAAUUUCAAAUGGUGAGUUCUUAACUCCCUUUGAAAAUGGGAUUCAUCCAACUAUAGAAGAGGACAUGCUCAAUUUGUUAAAUACUAAUCACACUACUUCAUCUCCACUUGAGUAGAUCUCUAGAAAUGCCAUCACGCUACCUUUGUUUAUCCUAGUAAGUGUUAGUUUGGAAGUACUGCACAUACUUCUAUUGGCUUUUAAAUUAAGCAUGGUGCUUAGGUUAAACAGCCUUCCUUAAUCUAAUUAGACAUGGAGUCUAGUUCGGUUAUUGAACUAAAAACUGCUUGUGUAGACAUUGGUAUAUUUUGUCGGACUAACCCCAGCAGAAAAACUUUCAAUAUCAAUUUAGGAAGUCCUGAGAUAAACUCACAUCAGAAAUGAAGAGAGAGACACAUGAAGUUUAACAACUUACACCAGGAAGACACCGCUCAUAAGAGAUGAUCCAUGGAGGGUGCUAUAAACACGAUGCACAACCGCUAAGAAAGGAAAGCUUCCACAAAGUGAUACUUUACCAUCACUCUUCAAGCAAGGUAACAUCUUAAGGUACUUGACUAUCAAUUUUAUAAGCUUCUCCUUAGUUCUGGCGUUCAUAAGAAUAAAAGAGACAAACAUGUAUGAUUUAUAGCUCUAGAUGAACCAACAAAACUGAUUCAGCAUGUUUAGUCCUUUAAUCUUUGUUCCUAGUACUACCUCAAUGAUCCCAGACUCCUAAUCAUAUGAGCUAAAAUGUUACACAUUCAAUCUUUCAGGGAUAUAAAGAAAAAGACAUAUACAUAGAUAGAUUAUCUUUCCAUAAGGUUGAGCGAUCUGAUCUGACAAAUGUUAUAAGUACUACACUCAUGAACUUAUCAUCCAUCAACUUUGUCUUGCUUACUAUGCUUAAGGUUAGAGAAGAACAAAUACACUUUUGGUUCUGUUGGUGUUUUCCACCAACAGGACCCAUGCACUUGAUCUCUGCCUUGUCUCUAUGAGUAGGUACACUUCAAGCAAAAGAUGGAGGAGUUUUACAACUCUCAGACUCUACCAAGUGAAGGACCUGGAUCUACGAGCACAAACACACUGAGCAGGAUACUGCCAACGCCGCACUUCGAACUACUGGGCAAACGAAGAACAUGGGUGACACCGUAUCAAGAGGAGCAGACAUCAAGGUCCGCACCUGAAUCAAAUGACGCACCUGAAGAAUGAACACAGUGAGAAGUCUUGUUCAGAAGACUUAAAACAUUGAACCCUCGCUGAAAGGUAAAAUCGGUAGUUAUCCAUAUUUAUACUUUCUGCAUUCCCUUUUCCCUUAAAUUAUUUACUUUCCUUAAAUGGCUUGUUAGUUAAUCAUGCUAUCUUGAAAAGAAAUUAAAAAUGUUAAAAACAGUAAGCCCCAUGUGAGUAUGCUCGUGGCAUAAAACCCAUAAGUACAUUCAUUGUGGUGGCGUAAAAAUAAAAAUAUUCCUGUCCUAUAAAAAUGAAAAUGUAAAAAUUUAUGAUCCUACCAAAGAGAGUAAUAUUUAUUAGAGGAAGCUCAACAUGAUGACGGCUAAGAGAUUUUAUGCUAACACUUAACCAGUUCCACAAAGCUUUGUUGUCUAUUUGAGCUCCACACAAUUCAAGGAUCAAAGAAGACUAGCAGACAAAGGACAUCCUAAUCGCUGUCAGGGUGCUGCCGACAUUCAAAUACACCUCUGUCACCUCCUAGCUCCAUCAAAAGAAAUUACAUCAAAAUCCAACUUGGGGGAGAGCACCCCAUUUAUCCAGCUAAGUGCUUCUAUCUACGUUUAUACUUAUAUUUUUUUAAAAUAAUAAAAAGAUGCAUAAUCAUAAAAACCCAAAUAAAGAUUUUGUGCUUAUAUCUUUGCUUAGUUUGCUAAAUAAAUAAAUAAAGUGUUUAUGCCAAAUUGAACUCUAAUGAUAAACUCAUACAUGGAUAUGAUGAAUAGUUGCUCUGCCAAGUACCUAGUUUUCAAAUUUGAGCUCUCUCUCUCCCAAGUUUAUACAUAACUGUUAUAAUUUAAAGAUUGCUCUAAACCUAAACUCGUGGGAAGAGAACUUGAUCUAAAGUCUAAGUCAUUAAUUUAUAUGAUAUGGGAAGGUUGAGCUGCUGCUUAUCUGUUCCUAGAGAUGCUAGAACUCUGGAGAGUUUUAUCUUUGCAAAUCUUUAAAAUGUUGCAUGAUGAGUUCCUGUAUGAUGAGAGUUUAAAAUCCUACCAUAGCCAUAUAUACAUGCUUAUUAGACUAUGAACCAUACAUUUACUUUUUACUGCUUAUGAGCUUUGAGUGUGGUCAAGCUAUGUAGACCCUUAGGAGCUUGUCAUGCGGUUAAAAUCAAGAUUCACUUGCAAGUUCACUCAUACAUGCUACUUCUACUCCGAAAGUAUGCAUCCACAUACAUCCACUCAUUUCCAUCUCCACAUUCACCCGAAAUUAUUCUACUCCUAUCCAGGAUAGAAUAGCCAAAAACAUUAUCCUAUCCCUGUUAUUCCCUGUAAAAUAAAUGCUCGAGUUAUCUUGGUUACUACCACUUGCUAUGUUAUUCUAGGAGGAUGAGUGCUCUGAAAAAAAAUAUGAAUAUGAGGAAAUAAAAAGGGGCAAGUGCCUGAAACCUUGAAAAAAGAAAAAGUGAGACGAGAGGUAAAAAUGGAUAAGUGUCCGACAGUAGAAUUAGGGGUACAAGAUACCCACCUGAGAGAAAAGAAAAAUAAAAUAUAGAGCAUCUCAUUUCCCUCAAAAGACUCAAGUGCAAGGAAGGUAUGUACCACCUCAAAAGAACAAAAGUAGAAUUAGACUUUCACCAUUAUCACCAUUCAUUCGCCACACAUGCACAUCUUGAUUUGACUUAUUGACUUGUUUCUCUGGAUCCAUGGUUUGACUAUGCAAUAAAUGUCUUGUAAUUAUGUAUACUCUAUCUCCCACCUAUGAGCUUCAGAUAUCAAAACCUUAUUAGAGUAGGGUGAGAGAGAAGGCAAUGUCAGUAUGCCUCGUACCACAAAUACCACAUACUUUGAGAGAAGGCAUAUACCAUCACUGCCUUGGUAAGGAUCCAGAAAUACCACAAAAGAGAGAUUUGAGAGAGUCAUACAAGGAAUCUCUGAGUUUUAUUUUGAAAAUCUGCAGAAACUCUAGAGCUAUAGCUAAUCAAGAAUAAGAGACAUGGCACUUGACUAGACUGUUCUAUCUUUUAACUACUCAAGACACAAGUGACGGUUAUAAGCCCCAUGGUGAAAGGUAAAUGAGUAAGUUUUAUGUCUUAACAAUUUACUCUAACUCAGAGAUAAGACCUUGAUUGAAAGCAUGUGUACCGUCAACUUUCUAAGGCAUUGCAGCAAUUUCUGAUAAAUCACUAAGUCUAUCAUUUCUCAGGGAUGAGCAAGAGGUAAGCUUGGGGGAGUUUGCUAACGGUCCUUAAGUAUCAAAUUUAAUCAUCAAAUAAAUAAAGAAAAGGAUCCAAAUGCAUCCAACACCCAGACUUAGGGUUUUAUCUGACAGAAUUCCACAAGUUUUGGUGUUUGUCUAUUUUUACAGGGGGUUAUCAGUAAAUAUAGAGGAAAGGCCGACACGACAGGUUUACAGAGAUAUUAACGUGUGCGCCAAUUUUCUAUCAUCUAGAAUACUCCAGAAGCCACAGGAACGAACGAGAGGCCGAGCAGGCCUAGGGGCAGGGUGCCCGCCCUUCCCCCUAGGGCACUUGCCCUGUCAUCUGGACCAAUUGAAUACUAGGUUGUCAUCCCCAGCAUGGCACUAGAGUGUACUAUGGUAUUUAUACACACACAGAUAAUCCGCAAGCGCACGGAUACCAUUGAAGCUUUUUACUCAGUUAAAGGUUUUAUCGUAUCCACAGGGAAACGGGAGAACAAACUGCGCUCUAACUUAACUAAGAUAGAUAGAUAGGUAUAAAUAGGAAAGAUGGUAGAAUUGAAUAAGAACAAUAUUAAAGCUAAAAUAAUAAUGGGGGAAUAUAGAGUAGAGCAAUCUAAUAUAUGGAUAAUAAUAGGAGAAUAGAGAGGAUAACUAGGGUUUGUCUACUUCAAAGGGGUAUGUCUAUCUGUGGCGUACCAUAAGUAUAAAACAACAUAGAGGAUGCUUAUACCUAAGGUCGAGGACUCCUACCAGUCCUGCUAAUGGGAGGUGGACUACAGAGGACCAUCGUAGCUGUCACCUACGCGGCCUACCACGCGAUCUAGCUAACAGUGGAUAUCCACAUGUAAUCUAGGUCUAAGCACCACGCUUACACCUAUACUACAACUCUCACCUAUAGCGUCCUAUAGAUUAAAGUACUCAAAAGAGAGUUGUGAACUAGAACAUACAUGGAUAGUAAUUGCAUAAUGAAAUAGAAGUAGAUUACCAGAGUCAUCCCAUGAGUAAGCUUGAUUAGAGCUUGAUCAUGGCAAAGUACAACUGGAGGAAGAACCAACAGGCCGGCCUCUCCUUCAAUCCUCCCUCGCUCUCCAUCUCGCUACUAUCUAGAUCUACUCUAGUUUAGAGAUGAGAGGAGAGCUAUCAUCUCCAAACCCUAGCUUUUGCUCUGUCUAUGAAUAAUGAAUAGGGAUGGAGAGGUUUUUUCUCCAAGGGCCAGGGAGCCUGCUUAUAUAGCCCUUCCAAAUGAAUGUGGGCCGUCGGAUCAAACCGACCUUAAUCGCACGGUUUUCCUUCAUCCAUUAGGCCGGUGGAUCAAAAUCCAAGAGGCGGAGCCUGAUUGGUUCCUGUAGCAGGGUGGGCGCCCUGUCCCCGGGCCCGCUCAACCUCCCGUUCGUUCCCGUGGCUUCUGGAGUCUUCUAGAUGAUAGAAAAUUACCGCGCACAUUAAUAUCUAUAUGUAAACCCGACGUGUGGGCCUUUCCUCCAUAUUUCCUGAUAACCCCCUGCAGAAAUAGACAAACACGAAAAGUCGUGGAAUUUUGUCAGAUAAAACCCUAAGUCUGGGUGUUGGUUGCAUUUGGAUCCUUUUCUUUAUUUAUUUGAUAAUUAAAUUUUGUACUUAAGCAUCGUCAACAACUCCCCCAAGCUUACCUCUUGCUCGUUCCUGAGCAAGGAUGGACUCAAGAGUUUCUACAGUGGUUCCAUGCCUUAAAGGUACACAUGCGUUCAAAUAAGAUCUCAUCUCUGGGUUAGGGUAAACUGUUAAGAUUUAAACUUACUCAUAUUACGUUCCAUCAUGGGACUUUUAACCGUCACUCGUGUCUUGAGUAGUAAAAGGAUAGAACGGUCAAGUCAAGCGGCAUGUCUCUUGUUCUUGAUCAACUAUAGCCCUAGAGUUUUUGUAGAUUUUCAAAAUAAAACUCAGAGAUUCCUUGUAUGACUCUCUCAAUUCUCUCUUUUGUGGUAUUUCUAGAUUCUUAUCAAGGCAGUGAUGGUUGUUGACGGUCCUUAAGUACCAAAUAUAAUCAUCUAAUAAAUAAAGAAAAGGAUCCAAAUGCAACCGACACCCAGACUUAGGGUUUUAUCUGACAGAAUUCCACGAGUUUUGGUGUUUGUCUAUUUCCGCAGGGGGUUAUCAGGAAUUAUAGAAGAAAGGCCCACACGUCGGGUUUACAUAGAGAUAUUAACGUGCUGCGCAAUUUUCUAUCAUCUAGAGGACUCCAGACGCCACGGGAACGAACGGGAAGGCGAUCGAGCCCGGGGGCAGGGCGCCCGCCCUACCCCCUAGGGCGCCUGCCCUGGUGCAGAGUCCAAUUAGGACCCGUCUCGCGGAUUACGCUACACCGACCUAAAGAAUCAAGGAUAACCGUUCAAUCAAUGUCGGUUUGAUCCGACGGCCCAGAUUCACUUGAGGGGACUAUAUAAGCAGACCCCCUGGCCCCUGGAGGAGAACAAGUUCAUCAUAGAGUUGAGAGGUGCCUUCAAAGGAUAACAUUUCCUCUAAAUAGACUUAGGGCUUAGCAUCCAAUGUGAGAGUAGACUAGUUCUACUAGAUUGAGAGAGAUAGAGUGGAGGUAUAGAUCGAAGGAAGCCCGGCCUGUCGGUGUCUACUCUGAGGUUGUACCUACGGGAUCAAGUUCUCCUAACCCGAGGCUUGCUCCUAGGAUUCUUCAGUAAUUUGACUUCUAAAUUAUAGUAAGUUCUUGUUUUAUUGUUCUUUGGUUUAUGAGUUUACUUUACUCACUUCCGGUUGAGUUUAGAGUAAUCAUUGCUAGCGUAAACGUGGUGUUUGGGCUAUGGUACUCAUAGAUAUCCCCUGACUAUCUGGACCGUGGUAGUAGCGAGGAACGUGACAUUUCUGAGUUACCUUUGCAGCCCACAUCUCGUUAGCAAGAUGGGUAGGGUUUAUAGGUGUGGGUCGAACAUCCUCUAUGGUGUCUAGAUUCUGUGAGCCUCCCCAAUAGAAAAGUAGAUCAUCCUUACCAAGGUUAGAACGAGACUAUGGUUGUAGUCUUCUCUAUACAUCUCUCACAUUGAGUCACAUUCUUUGUAGCCUAAAGGGUAGUAGCAAUAGAUUUGGUUAGUCAGAUGCACACUUUCUCCCAGUGGUAAAAAUAUAAAUACGAUACUCUGGAUAACCUCCCGGGUGAAGUUCUCACCGAUAUCCGUGCGCUUGCGGAUCAUUUCCUGAUGUUGUUAACAAAUAUCAACAAGCAUUUCUGGCGCCGUUGCGAAGAAAGACAGUUUGCUGAGAUAACUUUGAGUCUUGCUAUUAUCUUAUAUUAUACUUUUAUUCUUUUAUCUUUUUAUUUUUUCCAUCUUUAUGGAUAACUUAAAUUCCACACCUAUUAUUGAAUUCUUUGCACCUUCGGAGACCAGCCAUAGACCAUCGGAGUCAACAAGUCCUUUCUUUGCACCUAAUUAUGAUUUGUGUCCGGAGUUGAUUGCAAUAGGUCAAAACCAACCCUUUUCUAUAGCCGAGGUCCUAUCUUUUAAUCAAAAAGAUAAUGAACUUUUAGCAACAUCUAGGGCAUGUGUUAAUCUUUCUAUAGAUUCUAGUUUAAAUCUAGCCCUACAAGACCAUGUUUUUCCUCGUUAUUUGCACAUUGGUCUUAAUCAUAUACCCUUUGGUAGAGUUUUUCUUUCUUUAUCUGUUAGUAAAGCAAGGUAUGUCUUCAUUCAUGGACAUCCUUCUUGUACUAGUCUUCAUAGAAAAAUCUUAGAGAUAGAGAAGGAAUCAUCUCCCAGACGAGGAAAGGAAGUUUCAAUAGCCAAUUUCCAAACAUUUCAAUCCCAUGAUUCGGCUAUCCAACCCAUCCUUGAGCUUAAUAAUUUCUACUAUGCUCUUUCUCUUGAACCUCCCGAUAAUCCUAUGAAUCUCUCUGGACAUCCGAUCCAUAAGAGUCACCAAUGUGACAGAACCGCCCAAUUUAUACAAGUUUAAGUACGACUGUCCCCGUUUAACACAUUGACAAGCCCAUACUCUCACUUAUAUAAACCCGGUAGUCUGCCGAGUGUCACGAAGGACCUCGGUAAAUCAACCUUACACCAAGAUCGCAAGAUUAAGCAAAUACACAUCACAUACACGGAGAUUUGCAGCGGAAAUAAUAUUACAAAAGAGUUCACAAAUAAUAGGACAAGUUUGGAUUUUCCCAAUUGAUUAGAAAACAACAUAGCUUUCAAAUGAUUACAAUAACAUAAGUUCCAAAUACAUUGCUAGCAUAAGUGACAUCCUCCGACAAAAGCUUGUAGAUGAGAACACUAUAUAGAAUCACCGAGCCCACCGGCGGUUAGCCACCAUCUUUAGCAGACUGAAGACUUCACCUGCAACAUGGUGGGAUAAACCCUGAGUACUCGAAUGUACUCAGCUAGACUUACCCGACAGGAGAGAAAAUAAAAGACUCUCAAGGAUAUGCCAGACUUUUUGGUGGAGUUGGUUGGAUAGCAUAACUUUGCCAAAAAGAGCAUUACUAUCAUGAGUCCUUACUUUCAACCUUUUAGUUAGUAUUUUAGCAUCAAGUUCAGUUAAGCUACCAUAGCUAGAUUUUGCACCUAUUCUAUAGCAAUCACUUGAUUAAUAAGCAUCACAUUAAUAACUAUAUCCGGUUUAUCAUAUAGCCAUCAUCGUCAUCAUAACCAUUAAGUUUCAUUUAGUUUAUCUACGUUGCCGCUGCUCGAGUCAAGUUCUCACUAUCCGGGAGAGACGGCGAUUCGAAUCGAUUCCUAUCCAGCUAGAGGGGUAUUCCUAGCACUCACCCAAGCAUACCUCGCAAGGGCAGCUCGGAUCACCUUUAGCACAACUCCGGACCAAGUCGCGGGUCCGUCCAGCGCCGCACCCCCAGGGACCGCCAAUCUGCCAGGGCAGGACUCUAACCUGACACCUUGGGCUUACGCCAUUGACUCCCCGCACAUCCGGGGUGCGCACUCAUACAAAAUAGGAUAUCCGGCCUGAGUUGCACUCGUAGGCUUCGCGGUUGGAACGACUUAUCCAGCCAACUAAGUGUUAGGCAUGCGUUCAACAUGACACGAGGACGUACAGCGAUUCGGUCCUUAACCGACACAGACGGGGAUAGAUUCACACCCAAGACCUCAAUGCCUUGUUGCUGCACUAUCGUUAUCCCGCCCGGUCUCAAAUUCAUUAUUAGCACAAGGUUAUUUCUACGAUAGCAAAUAUAGCCAACCGUGAUCAAGUAUCCACCUAUCUCUCGCAGGUGACAGGAAAUCACCAGGCUUCUACCGAGCUAAGCACAACUAAGCAUAGAACGUCUUCCUUAUACCAGUAAGGGUUCAGGUAGUUUCAUAUAGUGGACAAGGUAGGAAUAUAUGCACCAACGGUUUCAUUCAACUCCUAUCACCUAAUGCAUCAUAUAAAGUUAUACUCUUGUGCUUUUAUAAAAAGAGAGGUAGGAGACUUAGAAUGCUCCGGGGCUUGCCUGGAAUCCGACACAAGUAAGUAAGUUAGCUUGCACCGUCUUGACGACAUCUAAGGUGACAACACUUGUGCAGUCCUUCCACCAUCCCGAUAGGUCCACCAUCACGUCCUUCAUGUGGUUCAUCUAGCGUACCUAAAUGAGAUGCAAGAUGCAAGUGUAUGAACACAUAGAAGUGCAAUAGACAAAGCAUCACACACAAGAAGCAUGGCAAGAGCAUGGUUACACUAAACAUACUUAAGCACAUCUCACUGCUCACUUAAUGAUUACACAACCAACAUGCUAAGUCAACAAAGAAUGCAACACUAAACAUAUUAGACAUGGCAUACAUGUUUCACAAGGUCUCAGGUAUAUUAACUUGGCCAUUACCAAGGACAUGAGUCAUACAUAGCAAUAUACCAAGCAAGAACAAUAAAAGGAAUCUGUCAUUUUUAGGACUGUUAACAGCAGCUGAGAAAAUAAAUCAUAACUGGAGUUACACAACUCUAAAAUACAUGCAAGAAGACAUUCUGGAAAGCUUAAGAAAUUAUCUACAUUUGAUAUUUAGACAUCAAAGCAUGAUUGUCAACUUAAUCUGGUCGAAAUUACAAAUUUCCAGAAUCGGUCCCUGACAAACAGAGAGCAGCCGCUUUCUGGAUCCAACUUUGAACAGAUAUAACUCACAAACCACAAAACCAAAGACUACCAAAUUUUGACAGAAGCUAGAUAAAUGAAUUAUCUACAACUUUGCUAUAAACAAGAUUCCCAGAAAACAUCAUUUACAAAUUGUAAUCCAAACAGUUGCAGAAACUGUCCAGAAACAACAAUUGCAAACAAUUAAUUAUUAACUUAUGUUUCAAACAUGCAUUUGAGCAAAACCAUUGUUACCAACAGUUUGCAUAUAUCUAAAGAACACCAGAAAACAUAGUGGUCAUUACCAAAUAAAUUUAUUUAUUGCAUUUCUUAAUUUAUUUGGAUAACAAGGUGAAUCAAAGAACAUAUACCAAACAUGCACAGUAAUUUAUACAAAAAUUACAGUAGCCUCUGAAUACUAUGAAUAGACUGCUGUAUAAAUUUCACAAUAUUUGAAUAAGCACAGCAAAAUCUAUGAAAAAGACAAAUUGCUAUUGCAAUUAACUAUGUGAGAGCAAGAUAAAUGCACAAAUCAUAUUUUCUUCAAACACAUGGCCAUGUCAUACAUAAACAUGAUACAACAAUAUCAUAGGAUUGUAUUGGAGCAACAUUUUCCAUUUUCACAUUUUUAUUUAUAAUUAUAAACCAUUUAUCAAGCCCUAUGCAAGUUAAAUCAAUAGCUCAACCAUACUGCAACCAAAAAUCAUGAAACCUUUACCAUUCAUCAAGCAUCACAAGAAUAGCAUGCCACAAAAGUUUCACUUCAAUUGGACCUAUACAGAAACAGUUAUAAAAAAGACAAACUCAACUAGUAUUAAAAACCUAGCUGCAUAAAUCAUUUUCUACAGCUAAAUCUUUAAACUAAAACAUAGCAUAUUAUAGAUCUACUGCAUAGAGAAUUUCACAACGAUUCCAAAAAGUACAUAUUUGCUAAUUCACGAUUUUUCUAUGAUUUUAUAUGGAUUUUCAAAGUUCCAGGAUUUCUCCAAAACAAAUAGGUCCUCGGAGUACUAUUCAUCUGAGUCCAUGACAGUGCAGAAAACAUCCUGGAUUUAGUCAAAUUUACAACCGAGGUCCUUGGUCGCGAGGAAAAUAUAGGAACUCGUCGGAGCUCCCUGUUCCGGCCGGCUGAGGCCUCAUCGGCGGCGAUGGAGGGGUGGGGAAGCACCAGGGGUGUCUUGCGAACUCGCUGAGCCACCUUCCUCGACCCAAGACGGUCCAUGGCGGUCUGCCCACGGAAGCAGGUGGCGGCCACCGCGGUGGUGCCCGCACGGCGGCGCUUCGGCAGCGGAUUUGGGCAGCGAAUACGAGCACCGUGUGCAUGAGAUGGAGGCGAAGCCGAUGGCGGUGCUUGCGGGAAGCGAGAAGGCGCGGAGCCGCGAGAAUACGGGCGGCGUCGAGCUCGGCCCGCCGGCCAUGGCGGAUAUGGCUGCGUUCUUGCGGUGUCGGGCGAGGGCAAGGCGAGGGAGUGGCAGAGGGAGUGUGGAGAGGGUGCUCAGGGCUCUCCACAUCAGUAGCGAGCGCGGACACGCGGAGGGCACGCGGCAAGAUGAGGAGGCGCAAGCUCUGCAUGGCUGUCCAUGCGUUCUCCCUUUGACGCAUUUUGCCGAACAGCUAGCGGGCGACGGUGUGGCCAGUGUGGGACGUGUUUUUGGGCUCCUUCCGCGCAGAUAUGGACAUUGGGCCGAAAACAAGAAUUGCUCUACUCGGCCCACUCUACAAUUUUGGUUUAAGGGUCAUGGUCAUUAGUCUUGUAGAUUAGCAGAUAAUUUGAUGCCAACCUUUGAGUGUCAUGAAUUAAUAAUGAUUAACAAAACUCAAAAUUGGUGACCAAAACAAAGUUAAACUGGUGUCAUCUUUCGGUAUGCUCUAGCCCACAAUAUGUACUCCAACUUUUAUUUUGGGACCCAAGGAAGUUGUUUAGUAAAAUUUGGAGAACGCGGAAUGCCAACGUGAUGAACUGCAAACCUAGACUUAGAAACUCUAAGUGCUGGAAAUUAUAGCAGAUUCAAUUUUGUGACUAUUAUUUGACAUGCUUAGAAGAUGAUUCAGACUUAGUAACUUUAAUAAAGAUUGUAGUAUGCAAACUAUACUACAACGUUUACAAAAGGACCUUUUACUGGUUCAGUAUUAUUUGGAAGAUACAAGGCUCCCAACUAGGGUACCCGAAACUGAGCACCUCAGGACUUGGCCAAAAUUCUGGAGUUCCAAAACAGCACUGCAUCGAAUCUUGUCAAGUCAAUUUGACUAGGUUACGGACCAAACUAGCUCUUGACCGUUAAACAAAGUUUGUUCUACAGAAUCUAAAGUACAACUUUCAUUUAAGGUCAAACCUCAGAACUAGUAUAGAAGUCAAAAUUUCACUUUGGUCAAUGCAGCAACUUGAUAAAGCUCAAACUAAGGUUUUAGGCUAAUUGAAGCACUUUCUGGGCACAAGCUCAUCAUGAACCCUUCAUGACUUUUGUUGUAGAGUUCAUCUAGAGUCAUUUGGGCAAGGUUGCAAGGAUUGGUUGAUGACCUAUGGUUCUAUUCGCUUAAUGAGGUCAUUCCAACAAGCAUGUAACUUAUCAUUUCAUGUGACCUUUUGAUUCCAACUUCAUGAAACUUUUUGAGUGAUCACUAUAGGUCGUGAUGGAUGUGGGACACAUGAAAGAGAUUCCAUAAACAUCACCUAAGCAUGAACUUUGAAAAGGUACUAUAUGUAAGCAAGGGUGCAUUCUCUAAGUUUAACUUCAGGCUCACUUUCAUGGAUUAACUUUAACAUGAUCAUCACCACUUAUCAUGACAUGUUUGAGCUCAAAACCUAAAGUCUAACUCGUGGCAAACACCUGGGGUGUUACAACCCUCCCCCCUUAAGAGAAUCUCGUCCCGAGAUUCAGGACAAAAUACUUCUAAGGGUAGAGAAGUAUGUUAUUCACUUCUAACAUUGGGGAUAACUGUCAACUACUUAUCCCCGAGCAUCAGAGAGGCUAAUUUGGUCAGGAUACUUUCUGAUACUGGUUCUUCAUAGUGAACUUUUGUUUAAAGAUUUUUCUUCAUUGACUUCCACGAUGUAUGGUUACUUCGGGAGGAAUUCAAGACAACAUAGUUAUUCAUUCCUAAUGUAUGAUGGAUAAUUCAGAGCACAGUAAACUACUCAUUACAAUGUUUCCAUCUAUGUUCACAAGGCUCGAAAAGCAGUCCUCUACCAAAAUGGCUUGAGUACAACCUUCCGUAGGGGAUGAGAUCAUGAACUAGAUAAAACAUCCUUUGAGGUUAUGAGAAACCAACUAACCAACAAACAAUGUCUAUUUUGGUCAUAAGGUCUAAUCACUCAGAUGCCCAUCAAUGGAAAGCUACAUAAGGUUCCACGUGUGCAGUUCUCUUUCACUGAUAUCAACACUUUAUUUUCCAAGUCUAUCGAGUUAGUGUUGACCAUUCAAUGAAUUUAAUGGCUCCAAGUGUUAACAGUGGUCUAGGUCAUAUCACAUACAACCUCUUAGGUAAAAAGGAACAUAGAAAACACCAAACGCAUGUUACCAUUAGAUAAGCAUUGCUAAGGAUGGAUGAUAGCAAGGUAUAGAGGACAACAAAAUAUUCAAGUAUUCACCAAGCUAGGGAAACAAGCUACUACCAAGCAAGUCAACUAUGAAUUUUCCCAUCACUAAGUAGUUGCUUAGUAAGUUGGGUCGGUUUGCACAGCAGCAAAAUAGCUUGGUGAAACUACUUUCGACAUUGAGGAUUCCUUUCUAGGAUCAAACAACAGCUCUAAGAUAAUAAUUCUAAGAUUUGUUGCUUAAUACCCUUCCAAUUAUUUUGACUUGUAGAACUCCUAGAUUGCUCAUCUAUCGGUUGAUGUGAUAGGGGAACAGCUAGGUGUCCAAGGGUGAAAGGAGUCUUUAUAGGUCAUCCUAAGGUUUAUCUUGGUUCAAUUCACACCGCGCAAACUAGCUUCAUUAUGCAUGAAUUGCUAGUGUGUAUAGAGAUCCAAGAGUCUUAUGAUCAUUAACCAAAAUUCAACUCAAGCAAACACCAUAUGGCAACCAAACAAAACAAAACCUUUGAUAGCACCACACAUAUUAUGAUGCUAACGGAGACUAGGGGUGUGCUUUUCUCUAGCGUGUGACUUAGAUAUAGCAUUUGGUACCAUCUAUGUGAUUGUCCGAGAUUGAAUUGACUCGACAAAGGGCCUAGAGAAGGAAAUAGUAUUUACAUCGUUGAUCCACUUAUUGUUUUCUUUGCAUGACACUAUUUUAUGAGACGUAGCCUUCAGGGAUAUCAUGGAGUCAUUUCCAAGGUAGUGAUUAAACUUCUAACUAAUAACUAAUCAGUUGUCUCUAGACACUAAAAAGUUCCAAAACUUUCUUCUUUGGUGGCAACAAUUGUAGUCGACGCAUUUUUAGGCAGUCAAGAUCAAAGUCAGCCAAAAAGAGAUCACAAUAGAGAUGGCUGAUUAUGACUGUGUGAUCACCAUGAUCAAGAUUUGGAUCAAUUCUUGUCUGACUGAUAACUUGUCCAACUUUAAGUGUUGUGUGCCCUUUGGAUUCAACAGUGGACGACAGAAGUUACUCACCAAACAACUGAUACCGUUACAUGGGUAACAAAUAGAGUCUCUUAUCUACCACCCCUUGCAGUCUGCUAAGGUUUAUGUCGGUAACCUAUUCUUCAAAGGUUAUCUUCUUAGCAACUUCAGAAGGUAGUUCUACUACAUAAAUAUGAUAUAGACCUUCUGAUUGGACAUAAGGAAUGAUAACCAAGGAAAAAACUCACAAUGAGAUGACACAUCAGUGUAGUUUCAUAAUAGAUCAUGGCUAGCAACCACGAUACCAGCGCGUGCCGAGCAGCACAGUCUUGUGUGUGCACCCACAAGAGGCUCUCUGUUUCGUCAUGGCACCAUUAGUCUUCAAUCACGACGCUAUUACCGAUCUUACAACCAACAUGAAAUCUCACAUGACAUAGGUAGGUCUUGCAUGUACAAGGAUCAUGUGCAAGACAAAAUUAAGCAAGCAAAGAUGACAACAAGAUUUGGAGGUAACAACUAGAAGGUCAAAGGAUAAGAACAAGACGCAAGACAUAAAUGGAUACGCCUUAUGCCCAUUAAGGUCAUUACCCAUUGAUUAAUUUAUGAGAUGCGGUCAUGUUGGGUAGGAACAUGAGAUCAAAGCUGAUAAGCAUCUCAAGACCUAGGGAGGUUGGAGGUGAAUUAAGAAAACUCCAAAGGUAAAAUCAUUACAUCGAUGAGAGAUUGAGUUGAUAAGGAGCUACAUGAUUUGUAACCAAAGAAUUAGAGAUCGGCAAUAAGAGAUUGCAUUACACAAGCUAAGCUUUGGGAGAUACAACCGGGAGGUCCAACAUGGAUUUGGUAUGGUCUCCGUAGCCAGCAAGAAUAACCGUAGUCGAAAGCUUUCUGUAGUGAGAACUUAUCCUAGGCUAGUUGGCUAGACAAGGAUAUUUGCAAACGCGUGCAAGACAACCAUGGUAUAUGCAAGCAUUUGAGGGUCUGGACAUUGGUUUACGUAUCAAGCACAGGCACGGAUGCUCCAACAUUCAAAAACUAACAGUCAAGUCUAUAAGCUCGGCUCCUAAGAAAGGAAGCUAAUCUGAUACAACCAGCACACAAUCAACCUAAUUUGAGUGCCAUUCUAAGAUAAAGCUAUUUAACACUCGUGCUUGUCGAGGACAAAACAAGAAACAACCAAGGCACGAUCUAGAUAACCAACAUCCACACAACAUAAUAGUUUUAAGCAAGUACUUGAGAAAACUCAAACAAUCACGCUUAAACAACCAUUACUAAGCACAAGGCUUACACAUAACAAGCAUCUAUCUACAGCAAUACAACACAUUUAUCCCACAUACAAGGAUUAUGAUACAAGACGUGCUACAAAGCAAGUGGACACGAUUCAGUCUUUUAGGGAGAAUAUGACUUGGAGAUAGGUAGUGAAAGGGCUCCAAAAGAUUUUGGCAUGGCUGCACUAUCAUGCAAAUGGACAUACCACAAGCAAGAGUUUAGCAUUUAGGAAAACUCAGCGGGAAAAGAUUAUUAAACCUAUAGAGCUAAUUCAAAACUUAACAUGGUUGAAAAGAAUAGCAAUCAGCUCUGCCUAAACUAGGAUAGAGAACAUGAUAUGAGUUUUAGAAAAUGAUAACUAAAGUUCCAUUGAUCGAACAAACAUGAUCUUUAAUCUUAUGGAAACUUAUCAAGUUAUCUAUAAUUUUAUCAUUAUCAUCUUAAGGUGCUUCUACAGCUAACAAGCACAAACAAUACAAAGAAGGCAUAUCUAUUCAGAUUUUUGACAGAUUCUGUCGUUCUACUUCAUAGGCUCAUAACAGAAGAUUUAAACCACCAAAAGUAGUGAUCUAAGACAUUUUGGAAACCUUAACAAAAGUACUACACUUCUUCUAUUAACUUCAAGACAUGAUUCUGUAGGCACACUAGUCAAACAAACUGAACAUUCAAUUCUGUUCAGAACACGAUCAGGAUCUGACAACAAACUUCGAAAGUUCAUAACUCCUAAACCAUCAGGCCUAUGGUCAUGAAAUUUUAGGAUAAACUAGAUAUGGAGGUUGGCUACAACUUUGGUUUUUACUGUAAUUACAGAAAACACCAUUAUUGUCAUGAAAACACCACUAGAAUACACACUGCUCUAGCAGCCAAAAUUCAACACACAUAUCAAGCAAUGUUUCCCUUGUUCUAUUAACAAGAGAGCACACACAUGUAUAACUCCAGUAGCUACAAACAUUUUUACAUAGACAACAACAAUUUAUCUUGGUGACAAGGAGGGAUUGACAUAAGAAUCACAAUUGCUUAAGUGAGGUUAAAGCAUUUGCAAACUCUUGCAUGAACGGCAUAUUCACCACUUGGCUAAACAAGCUGACACCUACAAAUUCAAGCAUAUAGCCUUAACUAUUUCUAUUAUGGGUAGGCCAUACUUUUAGUUAGUUAAUUAACAUUAGAGGAUUCAUUGGAACACAUUCACAUACAUGUUCACCGACAAGCUUUAGUUUUCAAAGGAUUGUAGUUUCUACUACUACUAAUUUAGCAUUCCUAUAGAAGAAAACAUUUCAAGGCUAGACACAUCGCACACUACUUUCAAGCAAAACUAUUCAAGUAGCAUGGACUAAGGCAAUUUUUGUAUGGCUUCACACACGGAAAAGAGUAACAUCACAUCACUCACAAGUUACUAAUUAUUGGAACAAAGGUGGGAGAAGCAUAGUCAUGCAUAAUGCAACAAUCAUGACGAUGCAUGCUUCGUCUUAUUCGUCCUCACAAAAUUGCCAGCCUAUGGUGGCAAUCACGUUCUAUGUCGGUGGCAUAACACAUACUCUCUCGACAUAUAGCUAGUCGUCAACUACGUUCAAUCUAUGUAUUCGUGGUUAGUGUACCUGCAGAAGAAUUUCAUUUCAGCCCAACCCAACAAUAAUAUAUGUGCAGAAAUGAAAGUCUGGUCUCUAAAUUGAAAGCUAAGUACUCCAAUAUAUAUUCCCGAAUAUAUAUUGCAGCAUACUACCCAUGUGAAGCACGCCCAUGUAUACACAGAGACAUGUAUACACUGUCAUACCAACUAACCCACAAUUAAGUACCUUCAUAUAGACAUGUGUGUAACAUAUAAAUAUUCUAGUAACCACAUCUAACUCUCCCCUAGACCGACGGUUGGACGGUCAUGCUCUCACAACUCACAUUCUUACCUUGUGCGUCGAGGCAUAUAGAUCCAUACAUUACCACUCAAGCAAGUGGCAUCCAUACAAUUUCACGCCUUAUGGACGACGAAAGGAAAAUAUUGCUUACCGUGGCGUAGAGGUAUAUGAUUAAUUCAUUACCACUUAAGUAAGUGGUAUCCAUACUAUUGCACGCCGUAUGGAUGACGAAAGUAAAAGUUGCAAUAAAGUAAACCCCCCAUAGUUAGUAUCAGUUUACAUAAAGCCACCUAGUACUCCUUAAUUGGCAUAACUGGAGGUUGUCGGUAGCAUAGUUUUUGUAAAUUAGUUUUGACAAGUUCUGCCUGUAGCUAAAGUUUUAGUCAAAAUAAAUUUUUAAAAUCAAAACUUUGUUUUUAAAACAGUGUACCUGAUAGUAUUAUACUUAAUCUUGCUUUGAUACCAGCUGUGACAGAACCGCCCAAUUUAUACAAGUUUAAGUACGACUGUCCCCGUUUAACACGUUGACAAGCCCAUACUCUCACUUAUAUAAACCCGGUAGUCUGCCGAGUGUCACGAAAGACCUCGGUAAAUCAACCUUACACCAAGAUCGCAAGAUUAAGCAAAUACACAUCACAUACACGGAGAUUUGCAGCGGAAAUAAUAUUACAAAAGAGUUCACAAAUAAUAGGACAAGUAAUUAUUUUCCCAAUUGAUUAGAAAACAACAUAGCUUUCAAAUGAUUACAAUAACAUAAGUUCCAAAUACAUUGCUAGCAUAAGUGACAUCCUCCGACAAAAGCGUGUAGAUGAGAACACUAUAUAGAAUCACCGAGCCCACCGGCGAUUAGCCACCAUCUUUAGCAGACUGAAGACUUCACCUGCAACAUGGUGGGAUAAACCCUGAGUACUCGAAUGUACUCAGCUAGACUUACCCGACAGGAGAGAAAAUAAAAGACUCUCAAGGAUAUGCCAGACUUUUUGGUGGAGUUGGUUGGAUAGCAUAACUUUGCCAAAAAGAGCAUUACUAUCACGAGUCCUUACUUUCAACCUUUUAGUCAAUAUUUUAGCAUCAAGUUCAGUUAAGCUACCAUAGCUAGAUUUUGCACCUAUUCUAUAGCAAUCACUUGAUUAAUAAGCAUCACAUUAAUAACCAUAUCCGGUUUAUCAUAUAGCCAUCAUCGUCAUCAUAACCAUUAAGUUUCAUUUAGUUUAUCUACGUUGCCACUGCUCGAGUCAAGUUCUCACUAUCCGGGAGAGACGGCGAUUCGAAUCGAUUCCUAUCCAGCUGGAGGGGUAUUCCUAGCACUCACCCAAGCAUACCUCACGAGGGCAGCUCGGAUCACCUUUAGCACAACUCCGGACCAAGUCGCAGGUCCGUCCAGCGCCGCACCCCCAGGGACCGCCAAUCUGCCAGGGCAGGACUCUAACCUGACACCUUGGGCUUACGCCAUUGACUCCCCACACAUCCUUGCUACCAACCGGGGUGCGCACUCAGAACGGGGUAUCCGGCCUGAGUUGCACUCGUAGGCUUCGUGGUUGGAACGACUUAUCCGGCCAACUAAGUGUUAGGCAUGCGUUCAACAUGACACGAGGACGUACAGCGAUUCGGUCCUUAACCGACACAGACGGGGAUAGAUUCACACCCAAGACCUCCAUGCCUUGUUGCUGCACUAUCGUUAUCCCGCCCGGUCUAAAAUUCAUUAUUAGCACAAGGUUAUUUCCACGUAGCAAAUAUAGCCAACCGUGAUCAAGUAUCCACCUAUCUCUCACAGGUGACAGGAAAUCACCAGGCUUCUACCGAGCUAAGCACAACUAAGCAUAGAACGUCUUCCUUAUACUAGUAAGGGUUCAGGUAGUUUCAUAUAGUGGACAAGGUAGGAAUAUAUGCACCAACGGUUUCAUUCAACUCCUAUCACCUAAUGCAUCAUAUAAAGUUAUACUCUUGUGCUUUUAUAAAAAGAGAGGUAGGAGACUUAGAAUGCUCCGGGGCUUGCCUGGAAUUCGACACAAGUCAGUAAGUUAGCUUGCACCGUCUUGACGACAUGUAAGGUGACAACACUUGUGCAGUCCUUCCACCAUCCCGAUAGGUCCACCAUCACGUCCUUCAUGUGGUUCAUCUAGCGUACCUAAAUGAGAUGCAAGAUGCAAGUGUAUGAACACAUAGAAGUGAAAUAGACAAAGCAUCAUACACAAGAAGCAUGGCAAGAGCAUGGUUACACUAAACAUACUUAAGCACAUCUCACUGCUCACUUAAUGAUUACACAACCAACAUGCUAAGUCAACAAAGAAUGCAACACUAAACAUAUUAGACAUGGCAUACAUGUUUCACAAGGUCUCACGUAUAUUAACUUGGCCAUUACCAAGGACAUGAGUCAUACAUAGCAAUAUACCAAGCAAGAACAAUAAAAGGAAUCUGUCAUUUUUAGGACUGUUAACACCAGCUGAGAAAAUAAAUCAUAACUGGAGUUACACAACUCCAAAAGACAUGCAAGAAGACAUUCUGGAAAUCUUAAGAAAUUAUCUACAUUUUAUAUUUAGACAUCAAAGCAUGAUUCUCAACUUAAGCUGGUCGAAAUUACAAAUUUCCAGAAUCGGUCCCUGACAAACAGAGAGCAGCCCCUUUCUGGAUCCAACUUUGAACAGAUAUAACUCACAAACCACAUAACCAAAGACUACCAAAUUUUGACAGCAGCUAGAUAAAUGAAUUAUCUACAACUUUCCUAUAAACAAGAUUCCCAGAAAACAUCAUUUACACAUUGUAAUCCAAACAGUUCCAGAAACUGUCCAGAAACAACAAUUGCAAACAAUUAAUUAUUAACUUAUGUUUCAAACAUGCAUUUGAGCAAAACCAUUGUUACCAACAGUUUGCAUAUAUCUAAAGAACACCAGAAAACAUAGUGGUCAUUACCAAAUAAAUUUAUUUAUUGCAUUUCUUAAUUUAUUUGGAUAACAAGGUGAAUCAAAGAACAUAUACCAAACAUGCACAGUAAUUUAUACAAAAAUUACAGUAGCCUCUGAAUACCAUGACUAGACUGCUGUAUAAAUUUCACAAUAUUUGAAUAAGCACAGCAACAUCUAUGAAAAAGACAAAUUGCUAUUGCAAUUAACUAUGUGAGAGCAAGAUAAAUGCACAAAUCAUAUUUUCUUCAAACACAUGGCCAUAUCAUACAUAAACAUGAUACAACAAUAUCAUAGGAUUGUAUUGGAGCAACAUUUUCCAUUUUCACAUUUUUAUUUAUAAUUAUAAACCAUUUAUGAAGCCCUAUGCAAGUUAAAUCAAUAGCUCAACCAUACUGCAACCAAAAAUCAUGACACUUUUACCAUUGAUCAAGCAUCACAAGAAUAGCAUGCCACAAAAGUUUCACUUCAAUUGGACCUAUACAGAAACAGUUAUAAAAAAGACAAACUCAACUAGUAUUAAAAACCUAGCUGCAUAAAUCAUUUUCUACAGCUAAAACUUUAAACUAAAACAUAGAAUAUUAUAGAUCUACUGCAUAGAUAAUUUCACAAGGAUUCCAAAAAGUCCACAUUUGCUAAUUUACGAUAUUUCUAUGAUUUUAUAUGGAUUUUCAAAGUUCCAGCAUUUCUCCAAAACAAAUAGGUCCUCGGAGUACUAUUCAUCUGAGUCGAUGACAGUGCAGAAAACACCCUGGAUUUAGUCGAAUUUACAACCGAGGUCCUUGGUCGCGAGGAAAAUAGAGGAACUCGUCGGAGCUCCCUGUUCCGGCCGGCUGAGGCCUCGUCGGCGGCGAUGGAGGGGUGGGGAAGCACCAGGGGUGUCUUGCGAACUCGCUGAGCCACCUUUCUCGACCCAAGACGGUCCAUGGCGGCCUGGCCACGGAAGCAGGUGGCGGCCACCGCGGUGGUGCCCGCACGGCGGCGCUUCGGCAGCGGAUUUGGGCAGCGAAUACGAGCACCGUGUGCAUGAGAUGGAGGCGAAGCCGAUGGCGGUGCUUGCGGGAAGCGAGAAGGCGCGGAGCCGCGAGAAUGCGGGCGACGUCGAGCUCGGCCCGCCGGCCAUGGCGGAUAUGGCUGCGUUCUCGCGGUGUCGAGCGAGGGCAAGGCGAGGGAGUGGCAGAGGGAGUGUGGAGAGGGUGCUCGGGGCUCUCCACAGCAGUAGCGAGCGCGGACACGCGGAGGGCACGCGGCAAGACGAGGAGGCGCAAGCUCUGCAUGGCUGUCCACACGUCCUCCCAUUGAUGCAUUUUGCCGAACAGCUAGCGGGCGACGGUGUGGCCAGUGUGGGACGUGUUUUUGGGCUCCUUCCGGGCAGAUAUGGACAUUGGACCAAAAACAAUAAUUGCUCUACUCGGCCCACUCUACAAUUUUCGUUUAAGGGUCACGGUCAUUAGUCUUGUAGAUUAGCAGAUAAUUUGAUGCCAACCUUUGAGUGUCAAUGAAUUAAUAAUGAUUAACAAAACUCAAAAUUGGUGACCAAAACGAAGUUAAACUGGUGUCAUCUUUCGGUAUGCUCUAGCGCACAAUAUGUACUCCAACUUUUAUUUUGGGACCCAAGCAAGUUGUUUAGUAAAAUUUGGAGAACGCGGAAUGCCAACGUGAUGAACUGCAAACCUAGACUUAGAAACUCUAAGUGCUGGAAAUUAUAGCAGAUUCAAUAUUGUGACUAUUAUUUGACAUUCUUAGAAGAUGAUUCAGACUUAGUAACUUUAACAAAGAUUGUAGUAUGCAAACUAUACUACAACUUUUACAAAAGGACCUUUUACGGGUUCAGUAUUAUUUCGAAGAUACAAGGCUCCCAACUAGGGUACCCGAAACUGAGCACCUCAGGACUUAGCCAAAAUUCUGGAGUUCCAAAACAGCACUGCAUCGAAUCUUGUCAAGUCAAUUUGACUAGGUUAGGUACCAAACUAGCUCUUGACCAUUAAACAAAGUUUGUUCUACAGAAUCUAUAGUACAACUUUCAUUUAAGGUUAAACCUCAGAACUAGUAUAGAAGUCAAAAUUUCACUUUGGUCAAUGCAGCAACUUGAUAGAGCUCAAACUAAGGUUUUAAGCUAAUUGAAGCACUUUCUGGGCACAAGCUCAACAUGAACCCUUCAUGAAUUUUGUUGUAGAGUUCAUCUAGAGUCAUUGGGGCAAGGUUGCAAGGAUUGGUUGAUGACCUAUGGUUCUAUUCGCUUAAUGAGGUCAUUCCAAUAAGCAUGUAACUUAUCAUUUCAUGUGACCUUUUGAUUCCAACUUCAUGAAACUUUUUGAGUGAUCAUUAUAGGUCGUGAUGGAUGUGGGACACAUGAAAGAGAUUCCAUAAACAUCACCUAAGCAUGAACUUUGAAAAGGUACUAUAUGUAAGCAAGGGUGCAUUCUCUUAGUUUAACUUCAGGCUCACUUUCAUGGAUUAACUUUAACAUGAUCAUCACCACUUAUCAUGACAUGUUUGAGCUCAAAACCUAAAGUCUAACUCGUGGCAAACACCUGGGGUGUUACAACCAAGACCACAAGGAGGAUCGAGAAGAGCAACAUCAAUGGCUAGAGGGCAUUAAAAAUCCAUGUGCUAUCACCAUUGAAUGGAUGGAUAAACCAAACUUGAGAGACAAUCCUAUAGGAAUUUUAAGCAUUCAUGAAGAAUCAUCCGUGUAGUUUGAGAAUGAGAGAAACAACAGUGAGCAUCGAAGUUAUUUCAUAAAUACCUCACCAAGUCCUUGCUCAUAUAAAACAUCUCCCCAAUCAAUUGGUCUCUCCAACCUUACCACAUUUGAGAUCUCCAACCCACUCUUCCUUUCUAUUUAUAAAAACUUUAAAGGGGUGGUUAUCGAUGUAUAUGUCUAUAAUAAAUAUUGCAGAUAUCGUUGAGUCGAUCUUGAUAUAGGCACGCUUAGGUUGGUGUUGGAGGGGAAACCACUUCACCAACAUAAAUUGAUGGUUUCCCAAGGACAAGCUUAGUGUCCUAAAACAAGCACUUAUCAGAUCGUAACAUGAACUGCAAAUUAUUUGCAACAUUGCCUUGUGUAUUGAGCAUAUAAAGAUAAUUGUAGAAAUAUUCCUUUGGGUAUUCUUGUCACUAACCUUUCUAGGAUUGGAGCAAGAAGAUCGGAUGAAUGACAAGCACAAGGUAUGUCCAACCAAUCACCAUGCAACAUUGAAUUAAAUUCAUCCAAUCUUGAAUUUUGCAAAAUUCAAGCUUGGGGGAGUACUUCACAUGAAAACAUCCUUUGCCAUGUUGCUAUGUUGGUUGUCCCUACCGUUGAGACAUGCUUGAUUUGUUAAAUACUAAUCACACUACUUCAUCUCAACUUGAGUAGAUCUCUAUAAAUGCCAUCAUGAUACCUAUGUUUAUCCUAGUAAGUGUUGGUUUGGAAGUACUAGACAUACUUCCAUUGGCAUUUAAAUUAAGCGUGGUGCUUAGGUUAAAAUGCUCUCCUAAAAUAAAAUUAGACAUGGUGUCUAGGUUGAUUUUUGAGCCAAUAGUAUGCUAUAGUAGAUAUUGGAUAUUUUGUUGGACUAACCCCUGCAGGAAAACUUCCAAUAUCAACAUGGGAAGUCCUGAGAUACAAACUCACAUUGGAGACAAAGGAGACACAUGAAUUUAACAAUUUGCACAAGGAAGACAUAGCUCAUUCAUCAUAGAGAGAUGAUCCAUGGAAUGAGACAAAGUACAUAAACACGAUACACAGCCACUACGAAUGGGAAACUUCCACAAGGUGAGAUGGUACCAUCACUCUUCAAGUAAGGUAAUAUCUUAAGGUACUUGACUAUCGCUUUUAUAAGCUUCUCCUUGGUUCUGGCGUUCACAUAAGAUAAAGAGACAAACAUAUAUGAUUUGUAACUCCAAAUUAACCAACCCAAUUAAUUCAACAUGUUUAGUCCUUUACUCUUUGUUCUUAGUACUAUCUUCGUGAUCCCACUCCUAAUCACAUAAGCUAAAAUGUUGCACAUUCAAUCUCUGGAAGAUAUAAACAGAACAUAAAUAUAGAUAGAUUAUAUUUCCAUAAGGUUGAGCAAUCUGAUCUGACAAAUGUUUUAAAUUCUACACUCAUGAACUUAUCACCCAUCAACAUUGUCUUGCUCACUAUGUUUAAGGUUAGAGAAGAACAAAUACACUUUUGGUUCUAUUGGUUUUUUUCACCAACAGGGCCCAUGCACUUGAUCUCUGCCUUGUCUCUAUGAGCAGGUACACUUCGAGCAAAACCUGAAGGAGUUUUACAACUCCCAGACUACACCAAGUGAAGGGCUUGGAUCUACGAGCACAAACAUACUCGAGAUACUAGACACUCAGGCAAUCACUGCCCUGAGAUGCUUGAGGACGUAAACUACAACAACUACUACUACUACAACCGUCCUCAACAAAAUCAAAAGAGGCGAUCCAGGACGCCCGUCAUCCCGAUCUCCAUCGGCAUGGUAGACUUCCCAGAAGCACUCUGCAACUUUGGCUCCAGCGUCAACAUUAUGCCCAGGCUUGUAGAUCGGACACUAUGUUUCCCAAAGGUAAUAUUGAAGAACCUCUGUGUCUGAGGAGGCCAUUCCUGAACACCUCGUGAGCUGUCAUCUACGCUAGUGCUGCCAAGAUCAGUUUCUACAUCAAGGGGAGGAAGGACGUUUUCCUUCAAGAACAAGACUACACAAAUCUCAAAACAAUCCCAACAUGAACCAAGGAGGAGGACCAACAGGAGGAACAGGAACAAGCAAAUGUGGACCGAGUCAGCUAGAAUGGUCACUGCAGUUCAAGGAGGUCAAUAUCGUCGACUUAAGUCACCGUUCCUGACCAAAAAGGACAACCCAGCUCAGAUGGCAGAUCAGACAUUCCGAAAGGUUAUUGAUAUGGGAGAAGACGAGUACGAUCCACCCAUCAUCCUGAGGAGACCGUUGCUCAGCACCGUUAAAGCAAUCAUCUACAUUGGAACCGGAGAAGUCCACAUGUACUUCCCCUCUGAGAAGGUACGCCGCUAUUUUACUUACCUUAACUAUAUAGUUGAAGACUCUAAGCAGGUCAGGACAAAGAGGAGGCAAAUCAUCAAGGACGGAUGGGCAGAUUACGAAGGAGAACUGGUAAGGUCUGAAGACAUACAGCUUGAACGGAACUAUCCUGAGGAGACCGUAGCCCCGAGUCACGUGUGGAGAGAGAAGAUAGAUAUACUGGAAGAAGAGGUGCCGCCGAAACCACCGUCUACGUCAUCCAACGAAUCCCAGGAUGACUGAGAAAACAGAGAGUCCCGUUCGGAGGACUUAAAAACACCGAACGCCUUUCCAAGAGGUAAACUUGGUAGUUAUCCUUUUCCUUUCAAUAGUUUGCUUAGUUAAUCAGGUCCAUAUCAUUUCAAAAAGAAAACAAAAAUGUUAAAAAUAGUAAGCCCCAUGUGAGUAGACUUGUGGUUUAAAAAUCCAUAGGUAUAUUGACUGUGGUGGCAUAAAAUAAAUAUGUUUUCAUCUUACAAUAAACAUAUAAAUAAUAAGUGCAUGAUCCUGCUAAAUAAAAUUUAUUAGGAGGAAGCUCAAUAUGAUAAAGGCAAAGAGAUUUUAUGCUAACACUUAACCAGUUCCACAAAGCUUUGUUGUCUAUUUGAGCUCCACAAAAUUCAAGGAUCAAAGAAGACUAGCAGACGAAGGACAUCCUAAUCGCUGUCAGGGUGCUGCCGACAUUCAAAUACACCUCCGCCACCUGCUAGCUACAUCAGGUGAAAUUACAUCAAAAUCCAGCUUGGGGGAGAGCACCCUCAUUUAUCCUGCUAAGUGUUUCUACUCGCGUUUAUACUUUACUCAAAUAAUAAAAAGAUGCAUAAUCAUGAAAACCCAAAUAAAAAUAUUGUGCUUAUAUAUAUAUCUUUGCUUAGUUUGCUAAAUAAAUAAAUAAAUAAAUAAAGUUUGAUAUGAACCCUAAUGAUAAACUCUUACUUGGAUGUGAUAAAUAGUUGCUCUGCCAUAUACCUAGUUUUCAAGUUUCAGCUUUCUCUCAAGUUUAGGCAUAACUGUUAUAAUUUAAACCUGCUCUAAACCUGAUCAUGUGGGAAGAGUACUUGAUCUAAAGUCUAAGUUGUUAACGGAUAUGAUAUGGGAAGGUUGAGCUGCUGUUUAUCUGUUCCUAGAGAUGCUAGAAUUCUAGAGAAUUUUAUCUUUGAAAAAUCUUUAAAAUAACACAUGAUGAGUUCCUGUAUGAUGAGAGUUUAAAUUCCAACCACAGCCAUAUAUACAUGCUUGCUAGACUUUGAGCCACUGAAGGGUCGAGAUGGCGGACUAGAGGGGGGUGAAUAGUCCUUUCUAAAACUUAUCGCACCGGCUAACCGAAAUAAGUGCGGAAUUAAAACUAUCGGUCUAGCCAAGACUACACCCCUCUAUCUAAGUUCUCUAGCACCUUGUAAAAGAUCCUAAACAAGCAAACAAGGUGCUACAUUAGCAAGAGCUCACUUAACCAAUUCUAGAAGCAAGGUCACACAAACCUAUGCCACUAGUACUUUGCAAACCGGGGAGCUCCUACACAACUAGUAAGCAAAAGCACAAAGCUCCUAAGCUCACUAGCAAUGCUCAAUAACAAGGCAACCAAUGCCAAAUUAGAGAGCGCAAAAUACUUAGCUACACAAACUAAGCAAUGUGACUAACAAGGUUACACAAACCAAAUUAGUCACGCAAAGGAACUACUUCUAGCUACACAAGCAAGAAGGUAACUAGAAAGCUACACAAGCUAACUAAUUACAAGAGCAACUACAUAAGCACAAUUAUAUGAAUGUAAGAACAAGCUUGUGUUAGGGACUUGCAAACCAACGGGAAGAACAAAUGUUGACACGAUGAUUUUCUCUCGAGGUUCACUUGGUUGCCACCAAGCUACGUCCUCGUUGAGACAAGCUCCAAGGUUGCCGCCGGUCCUCUUGUUAGUGGUGACCCGCAAGUCACACUCUCCCACGUGGAGUGCUUACCACAAGCUCUAGCACUUGACCCAGCCGGACCACUUGUCGCUCUUCACGUCUCGCUCAACUAGAGUUGCUCUUCGCGAUCCCCGCGGGGUGAGCACUGUACCCCUCACAAUCUCUUCUCUGGAGCACCGCACAAUCUCCUUGCGUGCUUCGACGGAGUCACAAGCCACCAAGCCGUCUAUGAGGUGGCAACCUCCAAGAGUAACAAGCACCACCGGCUUGCAACACAAACACCUAGUGCCACUCGAUGCAAUCUCUCAAUGCAACGCACUAGAAUCGCUCACUCACACAAUCGGAUGAUCACUAUCAAGCAUAUGUGAGUUAGAGGCUUCACUAGCACUCCCCAAGCAUGGACACUAAGUCCCAAGGGUGCUCAGCACUGGCCAAGGCCGGCCACCACUUCUAUUUAUAGCCUCAAGGACUAAACUAGCCGUUGCCUCUUCACUGGGCAAAACACGUGGGCACCGGACGCUCACAGGGAGCCAUCGGACGCUCCCUCAGCGUCCGGUGCUCAGGCGUCUGCCACGUGUCACUAGCCGUUUGAAUUCAACCGUUGCCGCCAACGGCUACUGCGCACGCGCGCUAGCACAGUGUUGACACUUGCUAACACCACUUGAAUACUAGGUUGUCAUCCCCAGCAUGGCACUAGAGUGUACUAUGGUAUUUAUACGCACACAGAUAAUCCGCAAGCGCACGGAUACCGUUGAAGCUUUUACCCGGUUAAAGGUUUUAUCGUAUCCACAGGGAAACAGGAGAACCAACUACGCUCUAACUUAACCAAGAUAGAUAGAUAGGUAUAAAUAGGAAAGAUAAUAGAAUCGAAUAAGAACAAUAUUAAAGGUAAGAUAACAGUGAGUGAUAAUAUGGAAAUAGAGAGUAGAGCAAUUCUAGUAUAUGGGCGAUGGUAGCAGAAUAGAGAGGAUAACUAUGGUUUCUCUACUUCAAAGGGGUAUGUCUAUGUCUGGGACGAACCACGUGAUAAGAGUACACCACAAAGGAUGCUUAUCCAUAGGCCGAUAAACCCUACCCGUCCUGCUAACGAGAGGUGGACUACAGGGGACCAACGUAACUGUCACCUACGCGGCCUACCACACGAUCCAGCUAGUCAGGGGAUAUCCACAAGUAAUCUAGGUCUAAGCACCACGCUUACACCUAUACUACAACUCUAACCUAUAGGGUCCUAUAGAUUAGAAGUACUCAAAAGAGUUGUGAACCAGAACAUACAUGAUUAGUAAUUGCAUAAUGAAUUAGAAGUAGAUUACCAGAGUCAUCCCAUGAGCAAGCUUGAUUAGAGCUUGAUCAUGGCGAAGUACAACCGGAGGAAGAACCGACAGGCCGGCCUCUCCUCUAAUCCUCCUUCGCUCUCCAUCUCGCUACUAUCUAGAUCUACUCUAGUUUAGAGAAGAGAGGAGAGCUCUCAUCUCUAAACCCUAGCUUUUGCUCUGUCUAUGAAUAAUGAAUAAUGAUCAAGGGGUGCCUCCUCCAGGGGCCAGGGGGUCUGGUUUUAUAGUCCCCUCAAGUGAACCUGGGCCGUCGGAUCAAACCGACAUUGAUUGAACGGUUAUUCUUGAUCCUUUAGGUCGGCGGAGCAUAAUCCGCGAGAUUGAGCAUGAUUGGCCACAACUCCUGGGCGGGCGCCCAAGGGGGGUGGGCGGGCGCCCUGCCCCCGGGCCCGUUCGCCUUCCCGUUCGUUCCCGUGGCUUCUGGAGUCUUCUAGAUGAUGUAAAAUUGCGCAGCACGUUAAUAUCUCUAUGUAAUCCGGACGUGUGGGCCUUUCUUCCAUAUUUCCUCAUAACCCCCUGCAGAAAUAGACAAACACCAAAACUCGUGGAAUUCUGUCAGAUAAAACCCUAAGUCUAGAUGUUGAUUUCAUUUGGAUCCUUUUCUUUGUUUAUUUGAUAGUUAAAUUUGAUACUUAAGGACCGUCAACAAACUCCCCCAAGCUUACCUCUUGCUCGUCCCUGAGCAAGGAUAGACUCAGCAAUGGAUCAGAAGUUGUUGCAAUAUCUUAAAUAUUUGACGGUACACAUGCUUUUAAAUAAGAUCUCAUCUCUGAGUUAGAGUAAACUGUCAAGAACUAAAACUUACUUACUUUACCUUUCACCAUGGGACUUGUAACCGUCACUUCUGUCUUGAGUAGUUAAAAGAUAGAACAGUCUAGCCAAGUGCCAUGUCUCUUAUUCUUGAUCAGCUAUAGCUCUGGAUUUUUUGCAGAUUUUCAAAUAAAACUCAGAGAUUCCUUUGUAUGACUCUCUCAUAUCUCUCUUUUGUGGUAUUUCUGGAUCCUUACCAAGGCAGUGACGGUAUAUGCCUUCUCUCAAGAUAUGUGGUAUUUGUGGUAUAAGGCAUAGUGACAUUGCCUUCUCUCUCACCCUACUCUAAUAAGGCUUUAAUAUCUGGAGCUCAUAGGUGGGAGAUAAAGUAUACAUACUUACAAGACAUUUAUUGUAUAGUCAAACCAUGGAUCCAAAGAAACAAAUCAAUAAGCCAAAUCAAGAUGUGCAUGUGUGGCGAAUGAAUAGUGUAUGGUGAUGAUGGUGAUAACAAUGGUGAAAGUCUAAUUCUACUUUUGCUCUUUUGAGGGGAUACAUACCUUCCUUGCUUUUUGAAACUUUAUGAGGAGAAUGAGAUGCUCUUCUUUUUCUUUUUCUUUUCAGGUGGGUAUCCUGUACCCCUAAUUCUACUGUCGGACACUUGUCCAUUUUUACCUCUCGUCUCACUCUUUUUCUUUUCUUUCGAGGUUUCGGGCACUUGCCCCUUUUUAUUUCCUCGUUUAUUUAUUAUUAGUUUUUUCUUUUCUUUUUUUUUCAGAGCACUCAUCUCCUGAAAUAAUGUAGCAAGUGGUAGUAACCAAAAUAACUGGAGUAUUUAUUUCACAGGGAAUAACAGGGAUAGGAAAAUGUUUUUGGCUAUUCUCUCCCGGAUUAGGAGUAGAAUGAUUUUAGGUGAAACUGGAGGUGGAAAUGGAUGGAUAUAUGUGGAUGGUACUUCCGGAGUAGAAGUAGCAUAUAUGAGUGAACGUGCAAGUGAAUCUUGAUUUAACCACAUGACAAGCUCCUAAGGGUCUACACAGCUUGACCACACUCAAUGCUCAUAAGCAGUAAAUAAAUGUGUGGCUCAAAGUCUAGCAAGCAUGUAUAUAUGGCUGUGGUAGGAAUUUAAACUUUCAUCAUACAAGAACUCAUCAUGCAAUAUUUUAAAGAUUUUUCAAAGAUAAAAUUCUCCAGAAUUCUAGCAUCUCUAGGAACAGAUAAACAACAGCUCAACCUUCCCAUAUCAUAUCCGUUAACAACUUAGAUUUCAGAUCAAGUUUUCAUCCCACAAGUUUAGAUCUAGAGCAAGCUUUAAAUUAUAACAGUUAUGUCUAAACUUGAGAGAGAACUUCAAAUUUGCAAAUUAGACAGAGCAACUAUUCAUCAUAUCCAUGCUAGAGUUUUAUUAUUAAAAUUCAGAUUAGCAUGGACACUUUAUUUAUUUAUUAAACACACUAAGCAAAAGAUAUAUAUAUAAGCACAAAAUCUUUAUUUGGUUUUUCAUAGUUUAUGCAUUUUAAUAUUCUAAUAUAAUAUAAGUAUAAAGAUAGGUAGAAAUACUUAGCGAGAUAAAUGGGGGUGCUCUCCCCCAAGCUGAAUUUUGACGUAAUUUCUCUUGAUGUAGCUAGCAGGUGGCAGAGGUGUAUUUGAAAGUCAGCAGCAUUGUGACAGCGAUUAGAAUGUCCUCCAUCUGCUAGUCUUCUUAAUUCUUAAAUUCUGUGGAGCCCAAAUAGACAACAAAGCUUGUGGAACUAAUUAAGUGUUAGCAUAAAUAUCUAGCCUUCAUCACGUUGAGCUUCCUUAAUAAAUAUUACUCCUUGUUUUUAUAUUUUUAUUUUAUAAAGUAAAAAAGAAAUAUUUAUUUUAUUUUUAUGCCACCACAGUGAAGGUACUUAUGGGUUUUGUGCCACUCGUAUACCCACAUGGGGCUUAGUAGUUUUUAAAUUUUUUUUUUCUUUUCAAGAUAGCAUGAUUUACUAAUAAUCUAUUUAAGGAAAGUAAAUAAUUAAAGGGAAAAGGGAAUGUAGAAAGGAUAAAUAUGGAUAACUACCAAUCUUACCUUUCGGCGAGGGUUCAAUGUUUUAAGUCUUCUUUACAAGACUUCUCACCGUGUUUAUUCUUCAGGUGCGUCAUUUGAUUCAGGUGCGGACCUUGACGUCUGCACCUUUUAAUACGGUGUCACCCAUGUUCUUCGUUUGCCCAGCAGUUCGAAGUGAGGUGUUAGCAGUAUCUUGCUCAGUGUGUUUGUGCUCGUAGUGUACCUGCUCAUAGAGACAAGGCAGAGAUCCAGUGCAUGGGCCCUGUUGGUGGAAAACACCAACAGAACCAAAAGUGUAUUUGUUCUUCUCUAACCUUAAGCAUAGUGAGCAAGACAAGUUGAUGGAUGAUAAGUUCAUGAGUGUAGCACUUAUAACAUUUGUCAGAUCAGAUGGCUCAACCUUAUGGAAAGAUAAUCUAUCUAUGUAUAUGUCUUUUUCUUUAUAUCUCUCAAUGAUUGAAUGUGUAACAUCUUAGCUCAUAUGAUUAGGAGUGUGGGAUCAUGGAGGUAGUACUAAGAACAAGGAUUAAAGGACUAAACAUGUUUAAUCAGAUGGGUUGGUUAAUCUAGAGUUGUAAAUCAUACACGUUUGUCUCUUUUAUUUAUAGGAACGCCAUAACCAAGGAGAAGCUUAUAAAAGUGAUAGUCAAGUACCUUAAGAUGUUACCUUGCUCGAAGAGUGAUGGUACAGUAUCAUCUUGUGGAAGCUUUCCUUUCUUAGCGGUUAUGCGUCGUGUUUGUGGCACCCUCCAUGGAUCAUCUCUCUAUGAUGAAUGAGCUAUGUCCUUCUUGUGCAAAUUGUUAAACUUCAUGUGUCACUCUCUUCGUCUCUGAUGUGAGUUUAUCUUAGGACUUCCCAAAUCGGUAUUGAAAGUUUUCCUGCAGGGGUUAGUCCGACAAAAUAUACCAAUAUCUACUCAAGCAGUUUUUUUUAGUUCAAUAACCAAACUAGACUCCAUGUCUAAUCAGAUUAAGGAAGGCUAUUUAACCUAAGCACCAUGCUUAAUUUAAAUGCCAAUGGAAGUAUGGCGAGUACUUCCAAACCAACACUUGCUAGUAAAUAGACAAAGGUAGCAUGACAACAUUUAUAGAGAUUUACUCAAGUGGAGAUGAAGUAGUGUGAUUAGUAUUUAACAAAUUGAGCAUGUCUCAAAGGUAGGGACAACCAGCAUAGCAACAUGGCAAAGGAUGUUUUUAUGUAAAGUACUCCCCCAAGCUUGAAUUUUACAAAAUUCAAGUUUGGAUGAAUUUAAUUCAAUGUUGUAUGAUGAUUGGUUGGACAUACCUUGUACUUGUCAUUCAUCCCAUCUUCUUGCUCCAAUCCUGGAAAGGUUAGUGGCAAGAAUACCCGAAGGAAUAUUUUUUUUUGCAAUUAUUCUUAUAUGCUCAAUACACAAGGUAAUGUUGCAAAUAAUUAAAGGCUCAUGUUACGAUCUGAUCAAUGCUUAUUUUAAGACACUAAGCUUGUCCUUGGGAAACCAUCAGUUUAUGUUGGCGAAGUGGUUUCCCCUCCGACGCCAACCUAUAUCUAGAUCAACUCAACGAGAUCUGCAAUAUUUAUUAUAGACAUAUACAUCGACAACCGCCCUUUUAAAGUUUUUAUAAAUAGAAAGGAAGAGGGGGUUGGAGAUCUCAAGUGUGGUGAUGUCGGAGAGACCAAUAGAUUGGGAAGAUGUUGCAUAUGAGCAUGGAGUAAACGAAGUGGCUAUGAAAUAAAUUCCAUGCUCAUUAAUGUUAUCUUCGUCUCCAAUCUGAAUGUUCGAAGUUUCUCCUGGAUUGGUCUCACCUAUAUCCUCUUCUGUAGUUGGAUGAAUCUCAUCUUCAAAGGGAGUCAAGAACUCACCAUUUGAAAUUGAGCCAAAGUCAGAACCCAUUAAGGCUUCUUCCUUAUCCAUCCAUUUUACACAUUCUAGCCAUUUAGAACUUGUGAUCAAAAUAGGGGAGGUGUUAGAAUUUUCUAUAUGGCUUAGCUCUCCUUCACUUGAUAUGUCAUCCUCGACUUCUUCAUAACAGGAAUGAGGACAUUCUUUAAGAGAAACAUUAUUGCAAUGAUUUGAAUUAUCCCUGCUUGAAGGUCUCUUAUAGAACCAGAAGUCUAAACCAUCAGCAUCUAAAAGAUUUCAGGUCGGAAUUCCUUCCUCCCUUGGAGAAUUUUGGGGUAUUGAUGGUUUAGGAUCGAUAGCUAAAGUUUGGGAUUGAAGUGGUUGUAAUCUGGCUAUCGAAACUUCUUCUUCUUUUCUACGGACUGGUUCUUUCUCUUUCUCAGGGAUAUAAAAGCUAGGAGACUUUCCGCUCAUUAAAUCAAUCAAAUUCCAAGCUUCACUAGCGGAUAGGUGGUGGAAAGAUCAUCUAGAGGCCGCAUGAAGGGUUUGCUUAUUUUUCCUACUAAGGCCGUCAAAAAAGUGAAUUAGAAGAACUUCUUCUGGAAUAGAAAGUUUUGGGCCAGUGAGAGUAAGGUUAAUAAAGCGGUCCCAUGAUUUGCUAAGAGAUUCUUCUUCCAGUUGUCUAAAAGAAAGAAUCUCACGCCGAAGUUCCACCACUUUGGAGAUUGGAAAAUAUUUAGAAAGAAAGCUACUAUAUAACUCCUUCCAAUCUCCAUGAACACUCCCUACUUUGAGUUUAUACCAAUGUCUAGCUUUUCCCGUUAAAGAGAACGGAAAGAGCUUCCAUUUAAGGGUCUCAUCAGACAUGCCUUCUAUGCGAAGGAGGUCACAGACUCGAUAAAACUCUCUUAGGUGUGUGUAUGGGUUUUCCUCACCUUUUCCUGAGAAAGGUUGUUUUUGAAUAAAUUCUAUGUAUUCAGGGUCUAUCUCAAAACUAGAUGCUAUGAUAGGCUUUGAAGAUUUUGGUGGUUCGAGAUGUGUGCCCAUAGGUCUAUGAAAUUCAUAGAUAGACAUGUUUGAAUUCAUAAUAGACCACAGAUCAAGGAUUAGAUAAGAAGAAAGAAUAGCAGAGAUGAGGCAAAGGAUAAAAGGAAAAUAUUUUUUUUUGUUAUAUAUAUAUAUUUUUUAUAAAAUGAUUAAACUAGUUCGUAGUCAACUCAGCAACCGUUUCCCCGGCAACGGCGCCAAAAAUGCUUGUUGACACUUGCUAACACCACUUGAAUACUAGGUUGUCAUCCCCAGCAUGGCACUAGAGUGUACUAUGGUAUUUAUACGCACAGAGAUAAUCCGCAAGCGCACGGAUACCGUUGAAGCUUUUACCCGGUUAAAGGUUUUAUCGUAUCCACAGGGAAACAGGAGAACCAACUACGCUCUAACUUAACCAAGAUAGAUAGAUAGGUAUAAAUAGGAAAGAUAAUAGAAUCGAAUAAGAACAAUAUUAAAGGUAAGAUAACAGUGAGUGAUAAUAUGGAAAUAGAGAGUAGAGCAAUUCUAGUAUAUGGGCGAUGGUAGCAGAAUAGAGAGGAUAACUAUGGUUUGUCUACUUCAAAGGGGUAUGUCUAUGUCUGGGACGAACCACGUGAUAAGAGUACACCACAAAGGAUGCUUAUCCAUAGGCCGAUAAACCCUACCCGUCCUGCUAACGAGAGGUGGACUACAGGGGACCAACGUAACUGUCACCUACGCGGCCUACCACACGAUCCAGCUAGUCAGGGGAUAUCCACAAGUAAUCUAGGUCUAAGCACCACGCUUACACCUAUACUACAACUCUAACCUAUAGGGUCCUAUAGAUUAGAAGUACUCAAAAGAGUUGUGAACCAGAACAUACAUGAUUAGUAAUUGCAUAAUGAAAUAGAAGUAGAUUACCAGAGUCAUCCCAUGAGCAAGCUUGAUUAGAGCUUGAUCAUGGCGAAGUACAACCGGAGGAAGAACCGACAGGCCGGCCUCUCCUCUAAUCCUCCUUCGCUCUCCAUCUCGCUACUAUCUAGAUCUACUCUAGUUUAGAGAAGAGAGGAGAGCUCUCAUCUCUAAACCCUAGCUUUUGCUCUGUCUAUGAAUAAUGAAUAAUGAUCAAGGGGUGCCUCCUCUAGGGGCCAGGGGGUCUGGUUUUAUAGUCCCCUCAAGUGAACCUGGGCCGUCGGAUCAAACCGACAUUGAUUGAACGGUUAUUCUUGAUCCUUUAGGUCGGUGGAGCAUAAUCCGCGAGAUUGAGCGUGAUUGGCCACAACUCCUGGGCGGUCCCCCAAGGGGGGUGGGCGGGCGCCCUGCCCCCGGGCCCGUUCGCCUUCCCGUUCGUUCCCGUGGCUUCUGGAGUCUUCUAGAUGACGUAAAAUUGCGCAGCACGUUAAUAUCUCUCUGUAAUCCCGACGUGUGGGCCUGUCUUCCAUAUUUCCUGAUAACCCCCUGCAGAAAUAGACAAACACCAAAACUCGUGGAAUUCUGUCAGAUAAAACCCUAAGUCUAGAUGUUGAUUUCAUUUGGAUCCUUUUCUUUGUUUAUUUGAUAGUUAAAUUUGAUACUUAAGGACCGUCAACACACAGCACCACCGGACGCUCAACUAGUCCACACCGGACGCGUCCGGUGCACACCGGACUCGUGCGCAGAGAGCUCCGCAAACUCGUAGGGUCACCGGACACAAGCCACCAGACGCACCCAGAGCGUCCGGUGCUCACCGGACUCAUGCGCAGAGAGGGUCGCCAAACCGCCCGCUGUUGGGUAUUUUAAACGCAAACAGAAAAAUCUGCAAGCGCACGGAUACCGAUGUAGCUUUCACCCGGGAGUAUUCCAGAGUAUCGAUUUUCCACAGGGAACGUGAGUGUACUAAUUAAGAUUCAAGAUCGCCCAAGGAUAACUAUAUAAUUAUUUUUGGUGGGAAGAGAGGAAGUUUCCUGAGAGUUCUCUAGUUGAUCCAAGAAUCAAGAAUUACUUCAAGAUUAUCUAUAUCGGGACAUCAGAGCACUAACCACAGAAAGAGAUGAGAUGGGGGCUAGGAAGGUCUGACUACGGUCCUACAAACACCGAUCCGAACGAGGUGGAAUACGUCGACCGUUAGGGCUGUCACUACCCUAAGGCUACCACAACAAUCCGCAGGAUUGGGUGCAAUUCCAGGUAAUUGCAAGACUAAACACCACGUCUAAUCUAUUAAUUACUACUCUAAUGUUGCAAAGAUUAGAGCACUUGAUGCAAGCGGGAAUCCAAUAAAUAACUUGAAUGUAAACAAAAGUAAUUAAAGAACUCAGGAUUAUGAAUUGAAGAACCUGGAGAACGAUGAAGAACGAACCAGUUGCUGCAAAAGUACAAUGUUGAGGAAGAUCCGACAGAUCCGGCUCCUCCUCCGCUCUCCUCUUCUCUCUCCCUAUUUUCUAGAUUACAACUAGAACUAACUAGAACUAGAACUAGAGGAACUAGAACUAGAACUAGAUGAACUAGAUCUAGAUCUAGAUGGACUAGAGGUAGAACUAGAAGAACUAGAGGGAUCCUCUCUACUUGGAUGAAGAAUUGAAACCCUAGCUUUGAUUCUGUAGAAGAGGUAUGAUCUCCAGGGGCCAGGGGGUCUGGUUUUAUAGUCCCUUCAAGUGAAUCUGGGCCGUCGGAUCAAACCGACAUUGAUCGUGUGGUUUUCCUUGAAGUAUUAGGUCGGUGGAGCAUGAUCCCCGAACUUCACCCUGAUUGGUCCAGGGGGAGGGCGGGCGCCCAGUAAGGGAGGGCGGGCGCCCAGUGCCCGGCUCCGUUACGUCUCCCGUUCGCUCCCGUGGCUUCUGGAGUCUUCUAGAUGCUAGAAAAUUGCACGACACGUUAAUAUCUCUAUGUAAACCCGACGUGUGGGCCUUUCUUCCAUAUUUCCUGAUAACCCCCUGCAGAAAUAGACAAACACCCAAAACUCGUGGAAUUCUGUCAGAUAAAACCCUAAGUCUAGGUGUUGGUUGCAUUUGGAUCCUUUUCCAUGAUUAGUUGAUGGUUAAAUGUGAGCAUUAAGGACCGUCAACAAGCUCCCCCAAGCUUAACCUUUGCUCGUCCCUGAGCAAAGCUAAAAUCAUCAAGAAAAAUAGGGGUUACUUUUAUGCCUCUUACUAUAGGGUUUUUAAGUUAUCACUAAGGUCUUAAGUGAUUGAAAAACAGAACGAUCAAGUCAAGCACUAUGUCUCAAGUUCCUCUGUCUUACCUUUGUUCUGGAGUUUUUUAUAAGUCUGCAAAAUAAAACUGAGGCAUUUGCCUUCUUCUCGAAAGAUAUAUAAGUAGAGCUUUAAAAGUUUAGCAUACUUACUUUGCAUUUUGCUAUGUCAACGCUCGGAGUAAGGGAGAGGAAUAUCAUACUCCUAGAUCAAGACCUUUGACCUUUUUGAAAAGUUUGUCAUCUCUUACUGGCAUAUUGCUUAUUAGAGGGACCAUGGGCUAUCAUUUUAUUUCUUUUUUUUUCUCUUUUUUUUAAUCUUCUUUUUUUUUAAGUGGGCAGCAAGUACCCCUAAUUCUACUGUCGGACACAUGUCCAUUUUUUCCACUCAGGUGGGUAUCUUUGUACCCCUAAUUCUACUUCGGACACUUGUCCAUUUUUACCUCUCGUCUCACUCUCUCUUUUUUUUUGAAUCAAAUUUUUGCAUAGUCCCAUGCCUCUAACGCGAUAAUACUUCGGAAGAGUGAAUCUUUUAUAUUUUUAAAACAAAAAGAUCUUGAUCUUGGGAGCAUGAUAAUUCUCUCAACCAAAACUAUAAGAAUUAACAAUGGCUUGAACAAAGCAAGUGCCCACAGUUUUAAUAUUCAUAUCUUAUAAGACUCUAGGUAUUAUGAUCUCAUAUUUAUUUAUUUUUUUAUGAAUUUUUAGAUUUUCAAAAGAUAAAAUCUCCAGAACUCUAGCAAAACUUGGAACAAGUUAAAUAGUAGCUCAGACCUUCUCAUAUCAUGUUUGUCAAUUACCUAGACUUGAAUCAAACUUUCUUUUUAUUUUAUUUAAAACUUAGGAUUACACAAAACUAUUGUAUAUUACUCAAAAGAAAAACUUUGUUUGGUUUCAUGGUUUUGCAUUUUUAUUUAUUUAUUUAUUUCAGAAUACUAGUAAAUAAAACCAAGAAAGGAAAGUAAUACUUAUCUAGAUACACGUAGGGGUGCCUCCCCCAAGCUGGAUGUUGACAUAGUCGUUCACUCUUGUGGCCUGCAUGUUCGGUCUCACUCUUCUUAAGCCUCAAAAUCCUGCACAACCCAAAUAGACAACAAAACUUGUGGAACAUGUUAAGGGUUAAGUAAUUGUCUAGAGCUUAUGAGAGCUUAAUGUGAGAAUUCUAUGAACUCAAUCACAUCAGGUUCCUCUACCAGGUUGUUUUGUGGCUCGAGAUAGAUUUUCAAGCAUUGACCAUUUACCUUAAAAGUGUUACCUAUGUCGUCUUGGAUGGUAAUGGCUCCAUGAGUUGAAGUAUCAAUAACUUUGUAUGGUCCAUCCCACUUACUUCGUAGCUUACCAUGCCCAAAGAGCUUAACUCUUGAAUUGAAUAGUAGAACCUUAUCUCCAGACUUAAACUCCUUGUGCUUGAUUCUCUUAUCAUGCCAUCGUUUUGUUCUCUCUUUAUAGAUCCUUGAAUUGUGGUAGGCUUUCUCUCUCCAUUCUUCUAGCUCAGAUAGUUGCAUCAGACGAUUCUCACUAGCGAGGUGGAGAUCCAUGUUCCAUUUCUUGAGUGCCCAAUGAGCCUUAAACUCUACUUCGACAGGCAAAUGACAAGUUUUUCCAUAUACAAGUUGAUAAGGUGACAUGCCUAUGGGUGUUUUGAAUGCAGUUCUAUAUGCCCAAAGUGCAUCAGGAAGUUUGUCCUUCCACCCCUUACCCAUCUCAUCUACGGUCUUUUGUAAAAUAUUUUUGAUUUCUUUGUUAGAUGUUUCGGCUUGACCGCUAGUCUGAGGAUGGUAUGGUGUUGCGACGUUAUGUCGAACUCCAUGAUCGGCUAGGUACUUCCGGAAGAUUUUGUCGAUGAAGUGGGAACCUCCAUCGCUUAUAACUAUCCGGGGUAUACCAAAGCGAGGAAAGAUUACUUCAUGGAACAUUCUCUUGGCAUGUUUUGAAUCAGCUGAUCGACAAGGUAAGGCUUCUACCCAUUUGGACACGUAGUCCAUAGCUACUAAGAUAUACUCGCAAUUCCCGGACAUAGGGAAUGGCCCCAUGAAAUCAAUGCCCCAUACAUCGAAUAGUUCUACUUGAAGAUUAUUUGUGAGAGGAAUUUCAUUUCGUGAGUUAAUAUUCCCAUGUUUUGACACCGGUGGCAUCUCCUGACAAAGUCCUUUGUAUCUUCAUACAUCGUUGGCCAGAAAAAACCACUUUGCCAAAUUUUAGCAUGUGUCCGGAAUGCUCCAUAAUGUCCUCCAUAUGGCGAGGCAUGGCAUCUUUCCAUAAUUUGAGUAGCCUCAGCCAUAGGAACACACCUUCUCAAGAGUCCAUCAGUGCAGACUCGGAAAAGAUAUGGCUCAUCCCAAAGGUGGAAACAACUAUCGUGAAGCAACUUCCUUUUGUUUGCACUAGGUGGGACAUAGCCUUUUACUAUAAAGUUUACGAUGUCUGCGUACCAUGGAUCUGCAUGUGUUAUCUUAAGUAGGGUGUCAUCCCUUAGGUAGUCAUUUAUGGGAAGUUCAUCAUGUGUUUCCUUAUAUUGAAGCCUAGACAAGUGGUCGGCUACGGAAUUCUCAACUCCCUUCCUAUCUCGGAUUUCUAUGUCAAAGUCUUGGAGUAGAAGAAUCCAUCGAAUGAGACGAGGCUUAGCAUCUUUCUUAGUGAGGAGGUACUUGAGAGCAGCAUGGUCUGAAUAGAUGAUUAUCUUUGCCCCCACUAAGUAAGAUCUAAACUUGUCUAUAGCAUAGACAACAGCCAAAAGCUCUUUUUCAGUUGUAGUGUAAUUGAGCUGUGGUCCAGACAAGGUUUUGCUAGCGUAGGAUAUGGCAUAAUGCUUUUUAUCCUUGGUUUGUCCUAAAACGGCCCUGACCGCAAAAUCACUGGCAUCACACAUGAUCUCAAAAGGAAGAUUCCAAUCAGGUGGUUGGAUAAUCGGGGCUGAGAUGAGUGCUUUCUUAAGAGUUUGAAAAGAUUCAUGACACUCAUCACUAAAGAUGAAAGGUGCAUCCUUAGCUAGGAGAUUAGUUAGGGGUCUAGCAAUUUGAGAGAAGUUCUUGAUAAAGCGUCUAUAGAACCCUGCAUGUCCCAAAAAGCUACGGAUUCCUUUCACAUUCGUGGGAGGUGGAAGUUUUUCAAUAACUUCAAUCUUUGCUUUGUCCACCUCUAUACCACGUUCGGACACUUUAUGUCCUAGCACUAUUCCUUCCUGAACCAUAAAAUGGCAUUUCUCCCAGUUCAGGAUUAAGUGCUUUUCUUCACAUCGCUGCAAGACUCUAUCUAAAUUCUCCAAACAAUGAUCGAUGGUUUUGCCAUAGACGGUAAAAUCAUCCAUGAAAACCUCCAUGAUCUUCUCAAUCAUGUCCGAGAAAAUAGACAUCAUGCACCGUUGGAAAGAAGCUGGAGCAUUGCACAAUCCGAACGACAUUCGUCGGUAUGCAUAAGUUCCAUAUGGGCAUGUAAAGGUAGUCUUUUCUUGGUCAUCUGGGUCGAUUGGGAUUUGGUGAUAUCCAGAAUAACCAUCAAGGAAACAAAAGAAAGAGUGGUUUGCAAGCCGUUCCAACAUUUCAUCAAUGAAGGGUAACGGAAAGUGAUCUUUCUUUGUAGCCUUGUUGAGUUUUCGAUAGUCAAUACACAUACGCCACCCAGUGACAAUUCGUUGAGGGAUGAGUUCAUUUUUCUCAUUCAUAACAACCGUCAUUCCUCCUUUCUUUGGCACUACUUGGACAGGGCUAACCCACUCACUAUGUGGCACAGGAUAAAUAAUCCCAGCACGAUAGAGUUUGAGGACCUCUUUCUUAACAACCUCUCGCAUAGCAUUGUUAAGUCUCCGUUGUGGUUCCCUUGAAGGUGUAGAAUUGGGAUCAAUAGGGAUACGAUGAGUACAGAGAAUGGGACUAAUGCCCGUGAGAUCCUCGAGAGAGUAGCCAAAUGCUGAUCUAUGUCUUUCAAGAACAGUGACAAGUUGUUGUGUUUCAUAAUCGGAAAGCUUGUCACUAAUAAUUACUGGAGUUUUUGAGUUGUUGUGCAAAAAGACAUAUCUAAGGCCAGAAGGAAGAGGUUUUAAUUCUAUCGAAGGAGGUGAAGGUAGUUCAUUUUUGUCUAGCUCAACGGGUUCUACCAACUCUUCUUCUUCUUGAACAAAGUGUUCAUCAUUAAAGAAUGGUUGGGUCAUCUCCUCUUGAGUCACCAUUAAGAUCUCCUCAAUAGGAUCUGGGUCAAGUUUGGGUUCCACUAUCGUGUUAAUUGAUCUAGCUAGAGGAACAACAAUAGUGGAAUUCCCAACUUUGAAGUCUAAAUGACCUCGUUGUGGUUGUUCUUCUAGAAGUUUCAUGAUUGGUCUACCAAUCAAGAGAGGAAUCUCCGGUAUGUCAAAAAUGUGAAAAUCUAGACAUAUUCUAGAGUCCUUGAUUCUAACAGGAACUGCCCUUAAUACCCCAUGGCUUUCUAGAAUUAAUCUAGAUGGACUUUGUAAAAGUUUUUGAGAUGGGGUUAUGGACUCGUUGGGAUAAAGAGUGUCAGCUAACUCCUUGGAAAUAACAUUUAUCCCAACAUAUGGAUUGUAGUGGACCUUCCUAGGGGACCUUCUAAUUUGGCACAGAAGAAUGGUUGAAGGAGUGAUGAAUCGAGCUACCUCAGGAGACAGCUCAGCUUCUGUUAGCCAUUCAUAACUCAGAAUAGCCGAAAGGCUUUUGAUGUGUUCUAUGUCAACAGAUUCUACUCUUAGAACAGAUUGAGUGGUCCUUGCUAGAGGUCGUGUUUGGAUAGGAAAAUUCGAGGUGUUUCCAUAAUCUUCAAAAAGAUCUUCCUCGAAUUCAAAGGGAUGCUCUAAAGGUGGUGGUUCAUCAUCCCUUAGUUGGUUUUGCAUUCCUUUAUCAGGAGGUUUCUCUACAACCAAAUUAAUGGAUGGGUCAGGUGGAAUUUCUGUCUUGGUUGCAAGUUCCUCAUCUUUUGGUUUAGGAUUAGGCUCGACUUCUUUUUCUUCUUCAGGAAACUCAUCAUAAAUGCCUGUGUAAGGGGUAUUUUCAAGAAUUCUUUCUAGGAUAGCUCUCCCGUCAUCUGUGAGUUUGUGUGUGAAUGAGCCUCCUGAAGCAAUGUCGAGGUGAAGAGCAGCUUCCUUGUUUAGACCACGAUAGAAGUGGUAGUAUAGUACAUGGUCAGGCAGGGAAAGGUUUGGACCGGAAUUGGUAAGGCUUGUGAACCUAGCCCAAGCUGCUCCUAAAGUUUCCUUCUCUCUUUGUUUGAAUGUAAGAAUUUCAAUUCUAAGGUCAGCAAUUCGAAAAAGUGGGAAGAAAGCGAGACAAAAGUUGUCUCGAAGUUCAUCCCAACUUCCAUUAACGCCUCCUACAGAAUGAGCAUACCAUUUUUUUGCUCUUCCCAAAAGGGAGAACGGAAAUAACUUCCAUUUAAGGGUUUCUUGUGUCAUGCCGGAAAUAGAUCGGCAAGAACACAACUGCUCGAAUUCUCUAAGGUGGGUGUAUGGAUCUUCAUCUACUUGCCCAGAGAAGGAUUGCUCCUGAAUCAUGGCUAUUAGAUCAGGGCCGAGGUCGUAGCCAUCUGUAAGAAUUGGAUGUGAUGAUGGUGGUGGCUCUAAUAACUCGCCCUUUGGAGCAAAGAAUUUAUAGAUAGGAGUGAAAUCCAUGUGGUGUGGUGAAAAUGGUAAGGUGAGUGUGGUAAAAAGGAAAGGAAAAAGGAUACACGGACGACUUGGUUUGAAACUAGCACAGCUACCGUUCCCCGGCAACGGCGCCAGAAAGCUUGUUGGGUAUUUUAAACGCAAACAGAAAAAUCCGCAAGCGCACGGAUACCGAUGUAGCUUUCACCCGGGAGUAUUCCAGAGUAUCGAUUUUCCACAGGGAACGUGAGUGUACUAAUUAAGAUUCAAGAUCGCCCAAGGAUAACUAUAUAAUUAUUUUUGGUGGGAAGAGAGGAAGUUUCCUGAGAGUUUUCUAGUUGAUCCAAGAAUCAAGAAUUACUUCAAGAUUAUCUAUAUCGGGACAUCAGAGCACUAACCACAGAAAGAGAUGAGAUGGGGGCUAGGAAGGUCUGACUACGGUCCUACAAACACCGAUCCGAACGAGGUGGAAUACGUCGACCGUUAGGGCUAUCACUACCCUAAGGCUACCACAACAAUCCGCAGGAUUGGGUGCAAUUCCAGGUAAUUGCAAGACUAAACACCACGUCUAAUCUAUUAAUUACUACUCUAAUGUUGCAAAGAUUAGAGCACUUGAUGCAAGCGGGAAUCCAAUAAAUAACUUGAAUGUAAACAAAAGUAAUUAAAGAACUCAGGAUUAUGAAUUGAAGAACCUGGAGAACGAUGAAGAACGAACCAGUUGCUGCAAAAGUACAAUGUUGAGGAAGAUCCGACAGAUCCGGCUCCUCCUCCGCUCUCCUCUUCUCUCUCCCUAUUUUCUAUAUUACAACUAGAACUAACUAGAACUAGAACUAGAGGAACUAGAACUAGAACUAGAUGAACUAGAUCUAGAUCUAGAUGGACUAGAGGUAGAACUAGAAGAACUAGAGGGAUCCUCUCUACUUGGAUGAAGAAUUGAAACCCUAGCUUUGAUUCUGUAGAAGAGGUAUGAUCUCCAGGGGCCAGGGGGUCUGGUUUUAUAGUCCCUUCAAGUGAAUCUGGGCCGUCGGAUCAAACCGACAUUGAUCGCGUGGUUUUCCUUGAAGUAUUAGGUCGGUGGAGUAUGAUCCCCGAACUUCACCCUGAUUGGUCUAGGGGGGAGGGCGGGCGCCCAGUAAGGGAGGGCGGGCGCCCAGUGCCCGGCUCCGUUACGUCUCCCGUUCGCUCCCGUGGCUUCUGGAGUCUUCUAGAUGCUAGAAAAUUGCGCGGCACGUUAAUAUCUCUAUGUAAACCCGACAUGUGGGCCUUUCUUCCAUAUUUCCUGAUAACCCCCUGCAGAAAUAGACAAACACCCAAAACUCGUGGAAUUCUGUCAGAUAAAACCCUAAGUCUAGGUGUUGGUUGCAUUUGGAUCCUUUUCCAUGAUUAGUUGAUGGUUAAAUGUGAGCAUUAAGGACCGUCAACACCCGCACACCGGACGCUGAGCACCGGACUCACUUCGGUGCGUCCGGUGCACUCUGCUGCACCCGACAGCACACCGGACGCUAAAGGCCAGCGUCCGGUGCCUCCGCGUAGUGCGUCCGGUGAGUGUUUUCUACUCCCAUGACUUCUCCAAAUUUUCCAUCGGCGCAAUAGAAAAUAUACGCUUGAUUUUCUCAAAAGCGCCGAACACCAAUCUCAACCCUAGGAACACCACCUCCUUUGUAAAGUGUGCCAACACCAACAAGUGUACACCACCAUGUGCAUGUGUGUUAGCAUUUUCUCAAACAUUUUUUCAAAGGAGUUAGCCUCUCAAACUUGCCACGCCACUCGAUCCUAACACGUAUGCAGAGUUAGAUCACUCAAGUGGCACUAGAUGACCGAUAUGCAAACAAGUUUUGCCCCUCUUGAUAGUACGGCCAUCUAUCUUAAAUCCGGUCAUAAACUUCUCUACACACCUAUGACCGGUGAAAUGGAAAUGCCCUAGGUUAUACCUUUGCCUUGCGCAUUUCAUUUCAUCUCCUCCAAUGUUGAUGCAACACAUGCACCAACUAAUCACCAAAUGAUAUGAUCCACUUCAUAUCAUCACGUGACCGUAUUGGUUCAUCGAUCUUGACCUCACUUGCUCUUUACCGUUGCCUUGGUCCAUCGGCGCCAAGUCUUGCUCAAGCUUCACCGUCACACACGGUCCCUCGCUUCAAAGCCUCCGACUUGCCCUUCACUCUUGCAACCGGUCCAUCAAGCCAAGCCUCAUCUUGAUCUUCUCCACCUUGGUCACAUGACUCCAUGUCAUGUCUCAUAUGCAAUGAGCUCCUCCAUCAUCAUAUAAUCACCUGUGAACUAAUCUCCUGUGUAUCUCACAUAAACACUAUUAGUCCACCUAAGUUGUCACUCAAUUACCAAAACCAAACAAGGACCUUUCAGCCACACAUUUACUUUUUACUACUUAUGAGCAUUGAGUGUGGUCAAGCUGUGUAGACCCAUAGGAGCAUGUCAUGCGGUUAAAAUCAAGAUCCAUUUGCACGUUCACUCAUACAUGCUACUUCUACUCAGGAAGUAUGCAUCCACAUACAUCCACUCAAUUCCAUCUCCAGAUUCACCUAAAAUUAUUGUACACCUAAUUCGGGAGAGAAUAGCCAAAAACAUUCUCCUAUUUCUGUUUUUCCCUAUGAAAUAAAUGCUCGAGUUAUCUUGGUUACUACCAUUUGCUAUAUUAUUUCAGGAGAUGAGUGCUCUUAAAAAAAGAAGAGAGAAAGAAUACGAGGAAAUAAAAAGGGGCAAGUGCCCGGAACCUCGAAGAAAAGAAAAGGUGAGACGAGAGGUAAAAAUGGAUAAGUGUCCGAUAGUAGAAUUAGGGGUAGAAGAUACCCACCUGAGAGAAAAGAAAAAGAAAAUAUAUAGCAUCUCAUUCUCCUCAAAAAGCUUCAAAGUGCAAGAAAGGUAUGUAUCCCCUAAAAAUAGAAAAAGUAGAAUUAGACUUUCACCAUUAUUAUUACCAUCAUCACCAUACACCAUUCAUUCGCCACACAUACACAUCUUGAUUUGACUUGUUUCUCUGGAUCCAUGGUUUGACUAUGCAAUAAAUCUCUUGUAAGUAUGUAUUAUCUGUCUCCCACCUAUGAGCUCCAGAUAUCAAAACCUUAUUAGAAUAGGGUG